GUUUUUUUUUUGUUUUACACGCAGGCAGCCUCAGCCUGUUACUCUGGAUGGAUAGCUGACAUUCAUGGAUCAGGCGUGCAUCCAUGCGAUGCAAUGCAACCCUGAAGCUGAUUCCAAGGAGUCACUAAUUUUGUGCCAGGUGUGUUUUACUCCUUUUUAGCAAGUAAAGUGAUUCUUAUUGAGCUACAUCUUGUAAGCUGACAACUUUAAUAGAACAUUUUUUUCCAAGUAACAUUUGGCAUUGCCAGGGAACAAAUAGCUGGAUAACAAAAGGGCUCAACUGGCGAUAACAUAAGAAGUCUGACGAAUGCAUUAUUUGCUUAGCAAUAAUCAGAGAGUUACAUUUCAGUUUUGCUGAUAGUUAGCUAUUAUUAAUUUAUAAUGGCAUUUGCAAAAAAAGAAGCCAAAACAUCAGAAACUCUUCUAUAGCAUCGCAUAUGUACAUUGGAAUAGGUUAUACUAAUAUUAUGCAAAUAUCAGGUUCUAUCUGAGCUAAAAUAAAAUGGUUGCGAUGGACCUCAAUGAUCUCUUUUCUAGGAACACCACUCAGAACUGGAGCAUAAAUUUGACAGUAGAAGUAUGCGCUGUUAGUGCUUCUGAACUUUCUUUUAAACUCUACUGCUAAGCAUUUUAGUUUACUAUGAUUAUUACGUCAGAUAUAACACAUUGGCUUCUCAAAUAAUCAAACUGACUAACUGGCCAACUGCCAUCCAACAUCACCAUGACAAUUUAAGGUGUACAUCCAUAACUUUUGUUGAUAGCGGGACAAUAGGACAAACUUUGCCCAAGUGACACAAAGAAAUCAAGGACUGCAAACCGGAAGACUAAAUCAAACACAACCUCACAGCUAAACACGACAUCACUGCCGGUAUUAGCCUCAAAGAGGAGGCCUCAAAUAGCCCGGCGAACCUAAAACUAUGAUUCUUCUUCAGUCACAAAAAAUUGCUUUCAUACUAAGCUAUGGAAAGAUGCUAAUUUUCAAACUCAUGAGAUCUAGGCAAAUUUUCUAGAUAGGGAAAUUGGAAGAACAAAAAUAUGGAGAUAACACAUGAAGGGGUAACAAAUGCAUCGCGAGUUCAAAUCCUUGGCAAUCAAUUCAGCAAGCAAAUUCUGAAUCCCCACAUGGGAGCCGUAGGAUCCGCUUAUACGAUCGUAUCUUCCUAACGGACUCCGUAAACAAACCAGUUACUAAUUUCUUGAGAAUAUAGUAAACUUGACUGUGUUCUUCCAUAGCUAAAAUAAAAUAGCAGAAACUAAUUCUUACAGCAUGGGAGACGGUAGAUAAAUACUAACUUACUAUCAUCUAGCCGAGAUUGAUCAUAAAUUCAUAAUAUAAGGUAAAAGCGGAAUAUCCUAGUUUCAUAGGUGAGUAUUAGCGAAUUAAAUUUUGUACAUCAAGUGAUAUAAUGGCUGGGAGCGUGGGAGCAAAUGUAACCUGAAAUUGUCGCAAAGCAACAUCAACACCCAUCUCACUUCCAUCUUCCUAAAAGGGGUAACACCAUGUGAAUAUCAAACACCUCCGAGCAAUAGAAUACUCCAGUUUCAAUAAAAUGAUGUGUACAGAAUUAAACCGAAGCAAGUUUUAACUCAUACGCACCAAGCAUGUGAUUGUCAAUGACCAAUUAAGCAUCAGAAACGAAGGAACCUGGUUCGACAUGAACUUUGAUAGUGAAACUCAAUUGCAAAAUAUGCAAUUGCGCAAGGCUUGUACUACAACACCACACGGUAAUAGUUGCUUUGCAGCAAUAGUCCAGAUGAACCAUAUACCAAGUCAGUAGGCAGCCAAGACACAUGCAGAUUAACAAACAUAGCACGUGAUGCCCUUCCAGCAGAUUCAUGCCGGUUCGACUCACACGCCGACGAACCGGGAGGGGGCGAGGCUAGAGGUGAUGCAGGAUACCGAUGUGGUCGGAUCCGUCGCCGACUCCCAUAGCCGGCUUUGGGAGAGGCAUAGUAUUUGUGGCUGUGAGCCCCGUGGCGGGCCGGAGCCGGGGCAGAGGCGUGGAGAAGAGGUGCGGGAGGGGACUACGAAGGGGACACAGGCUGGCUCCCAUGGACAGCGAGAGAUAGGUUGGGGGUGGAGAGGACGCGUCGCUGCAGGAAGAAGAAAUAGAGAUGGAAGGAGGCGAUCGAUUGGCUGGGUGGACUGCCUCUCGAUAUUUCUACGGUGUUGGCCUCUCGAUUUUUCUACUGCAGCGGUGAACCAACCAGCCUAAAACAAGGAACAAACCGGCACUGAACCAGGAAAAAACCGGGACAUGUGUCACACAGGUGAUAGCCCUCGCCCAUAACUGCGGAAGCACGUUAGGGGCUCCUGCUUAGUAGCUUUAAUUCUUGUAUAUAUAUAUAUUUUCGAGCGGCUCCAACCUUUCAUUACAAAGAAAUAGAAGGGACUAGUUCACAUACAAAACUGGCAGAAACCAAAUGUAGUGUACAAGAAUAGUGUUGAUGUGGCUAGGAAGCAAGACAAAAUGAAAGAAAGAAGAACUAAUUAAGAAAGAAUCACACAGACCUGAAUGGCGCACAAGAUGCCUGCUGAAUCGUCGAUGAGGGGAACAAACAACCUCCUUAGCCAUGGUGAUGGCUUGAAGUCGCUAAAGUCAUCAACAGUUAGACGAGAGUGAGCCACAAGGAAAGGUAAACCCUUGCCGUUGCAGUCGAUCUUCAAUUUGCCCUUGGCGUCUGGCCUGAGACGGCCGGCCGGGGGUAGAAGGCCACGAGGGCCUUGCCCAAUGCCGUCUUCAACCUGACCACAUCAAAGUAGUUGUCCUCGGUGGUUCCGACGGAACCACGUCGUCGGUAGAAAUUGACAAGUGGGGUGUGGCCUUUGUUGGCUAGCAUGAGGUCGAGCGGCGACAGCCGGAGCGCUCUUCCUGGUGUGGCAACGGCCGGCAUUACAAAGCAAGACUCUACCACCUGCACCUCCUCCUCACCGGCCAUUCUAGCUAGCUCCUUGCGCUCUUUUCCUGGCCGUUCCUGAGCAGCAAUUAUAUAAAGCGUAAGGGCAUCUCCAGCCGCGCCCCAGGAAGGCCUUCCCAGGUGUGUUUUUUGCGCCAACGCCGAAAAAUCGGCCUAGUCGCGCCUCCGGGAGCCCGAUUUUCGCCGGCCUGGGCCGAAAACAGCGCCGGUGGACCCAGGCCGAACCCGGCGCGCUGGGGGGCGCCCGGGGGCACCGGGGCGAACAGUUUUGGCGCGAAAAAGCCGUGGGCCUGCCGCGUCAUCGACACGGCUCUCUUCUCGCCCCUUCGUCGUCCUCAUCGCCUCAUUUCCCGCGGCGAACCAAUGCCAAAGCUGCCGCGCCAGUCAGCCUGCGCCAUUGAUGCCUCACGGGCGGCGCAGUGAAGACCGGAGCGCGUCCCUAGCCCUCCCUCGCCCGCCACGCGUACACACGGCGCCACGCGCACGGGCGGCACCUCGGCCUAUAUAAGACGCGCCCCAGCGCACUCGGCGACUCGCACUCUCUCGCCGUCGUCAUUCCUCCCUCUCCUCUCUCUCGCCGUCUCUAGUUCAUCACACCCAUGGCCGAGCGCUUCCCAGGCGACGGCGCGGCGGCGAACGGCUUCGGCCGCCGCCAUCUUCACAAGGACGAGGCUCGCCUCCUUUUCGAGGCCGAGUACCCGGUCCCGCCGGACAUGUGGGUGCCCGGGGCGUGGAGGAUCAGCGCCGGCGGCAUGCCGGUGCCCCCGGUACCCACCGGCGCGGCGCGGCGUGCGGAGAUCGCACGCAUCCGCUCGUCCCUGCCGCGUGCGGCAAGGGAGGGGCCACGGUACGUCCCCGAGAGCCCGCUCUGGGAGCCCUAUUUCCGCCGCCGUCACGCCGAGCAGCUCGAGGCCACCAACGGCGUCGUGCCCUCCGGCAGGCUCAACGCCGCCGGCCGGCGUCAGUGGUGGGGCGUGCCCGGGCGCACGUUGGAGGCCGUCCUCGAGUACAUCGAGGGCGGCAACACGCCGCGCCUCGAGUACCCCGCUCCCCCGUCCUUCUCACGCCGCCGGGGAAGCUUCUGGAUGCCGAGGCGCAUGGAGACCGGGGGGUCCUCCUCCUCGUCCGGCGGCUCUCCCUGCCUCCACCUCCGCCCCGUCAAGCCGGAGCCCCAGGACACGCCUGUCAGCGCGCGCACCCGCAGCUCCAGCGUCCGCAUCAGCGACAAUGCCUCCCCCACCGGCCGCUUCGCCCUCGUCGAGCCCAAGCCGGAGCCCGGCCUCCCUGCGGAGUACGAGGAGAUAGCCCGGCGCGACUUCUCCGACAAGGACGCCCUGCGGUGGGCGCAGGAUGACUACCUCCGCGACGAGAUGGUCCGGCAGCGCCGGGCCCUGGAGGAGAUCGCCGCCCGCAAGCGUGGGCGCGAGGAUGAGCACGGCGUUGUGGUCCUCGACAGCGACGACGACGACGCCUCCGGACCGCCCAACCCACCGCGCCAACCGGGGGAGGGAUGCAGCAGGGACGGCGGAGGCUUAGGCGGGGGUGACGAUGACGACGACGACGGCGGUGACUACACGCGGUUCUACAGCCUCCUCGGCAUGUAGAACCGCGUGGGCAGGCGGCGAGGGAGACGGCGGGGGUAGCCCGCGGUAGUUUUUCCUUUUUUUGUAAAAUAUGUUUAAAUUUGAACGAACUCGCCGAUGUUUGCAUUAAAUUUGAGUCAUCUUUGCGCCGUAUUUGACUUUUUUUUAAACGUGGGCGCCGCGACUGGGGGACAUCACGCCCCCAGUGCGCCGUUUAGCGCCGGUGCGCCCCCAAGGGGCGAUUUUUUGCCCCUCCUGGGGGGCCAACGGCUNNNNNNNNNNNNNNNNNNNNNNNNNNNNNNNNNNNNNNNNNNNNNNNNNNNNNNNNNNNNNNNNNNNNNNNNNNNNNNNNNNNNNNNNNNNNNNNNNNNNUGACAAAAAAAGGGAAAGUAUUUUCAUCGAAUGUGACAUGACGAGAGAGAAUGAUACGACCAGAAGAUGGAUCGAAACAACGAUAUCCUUUAUGAUCAUCAGAAAGACCAAGGUGAAUGCAAGGUAGUGAGUGUGGUUCUAGUUUGUUGGAGGUGGUAGAGGCGAUGUUGGGAAAGCAUAGACAGCCAAAAACACGCAGAAAAGAAUAGUCAGGGUGGGAGAGAAAAAGAGAUUGGAAAGGCGAAUAAAGAGGGCAAGUUUUAGUUGGUCGAAUAUUAAGAAGUAGUGUGGCGGUACGAAGGGCUUCAACCCAAAAAUGGGAAGGAAGAGAAGCUUGUAAAAGCAAUGUGCGAAGAACAUCAUUAAUAGAGCGAAGACAUCGUUCAGCUUUGCCAUUUUGAGAAGAUGUAUAAGGGCAUGAAAAACGAAGAAGAAUGCCUUGAGAGAGAAAGAAGGUGCGGUUUUGGGUGUUAUCAAAUUCACGACCGUUAUCACAUUGAAUAAAUCGAAUUGGAAAGCCAAAGUGGGUGAUUACAUAUUGUCGAAAGUUGAGAAAGAUUGCAGGUACUUCAGAUUUAGCGCGAAGAGGAAAGGUCCAAGUAUAGUGAGAAUAAUCAUCCAAGAUCACAAGAUAAUAUUUAUAACCAGAAACACUAGGGACUGGAGAGGUCCAUAAAUCACAGUGAAGUAACUCAAAAGGAAAAGUACUAAUGGUAGUAGAGGUUCCAAAAGGUAAUCUAACAUGUUUGCCGCAUUGACAUGCAUUAUAGAGAGAGGGAUUAUGAGGACUGCUAGAACUAGGGAUACAAAAUUCUUGGAGUAAAGACGUCAAAGUGUUUUUGCUGGGGUGACCGAGACGACGAUGCCAUAGGUCAACGGAUGCGAGCAUGGCACGAGGGGUGGAUGUGGGCGCGCCAUGAAGAGGAUAAAGGUCGCCCGUGCUAUUGUACCAAGCGAGGACCGCCCCCGUUGUCAGAUCCUUCACAGACAAACCAAAAGGGUCAAAGGCCAGGAUAACUUUGUUGUCAAUGCAAAAUUGUCUAACAGAAAUAAGAUUUUUGAUGAUGGAAGGAACCACAAGAAUAUUGCGUAGAAGAAAAUUGGCAUGAGAGGAAGGGAUGUAAGAGUGACCGGUGCAUGAAACAGGGAUGGUGGAGCCAUCGCCAAUGGUGAUAGUGGAAAAAGCAGAAGGAAAACAAGCUGACAAUAAAUUCAUAUUUGAAGACAUAUGCAUUGAUGCACCAGAAUCGAAAAUCCAAUCCGUACCUGCGUCGUUGAGGACAAAAUUGUUCAUGGCGUUGAUGAAGGCGGCUUGGUCCCAAGCCGGCUGUUGGGGAGGAGCAGAGGGGCCAGGAGCUUGCAUGUUGACGUAGGGGAUAGCGGAUGGGUAGUAUGCGAUUGGGACCUCAAAGGCUGUUUAUAUAGAUUACAAAGUUUGGGCUCCAAGACUAGACUAAUAGAGAUAGAUUACAAUACGAAUAGACUUAUACUCUAAGAACCAGGUUGAAGAUGGUGUUGGGCAAGGCCCUCGUGGCCUUCUACCCCCUGGCCGGCCGUCUCGGGCCGGACGCCAAGGGCAAAUUGGAGAUUGACUGCAACAGCGAGGGUUUACCUUUGAGGCUCGCUCUGGUCUGUUGACGACUUUAGUGACUUCAAGCCAUCACCAAGGCUAAGGAGGUUGUUUGUUCCCUCGUCAACGAAUCAGCAGGCAUCUUGUGCGCCAUUCAGGUCUGUGUGAUUCUUUCUUAAUUAGUUGUUCUUUCUUUCAUUUUGUCUUGCUUUCUAGCCACAUCAACACUAUACUGGUACACUACAUUUUGUUUGUGCCAGUUUGUAAUGAAAGGUCGGAGCCGCUCGAAAAAAAAAAUAUAGUACCACACUACAAUAGUACAAACUUGUACUCCAUGUAAUGUGUGCUAGAAAUCAAUAUAUGUAGGUGACAUUUUUGAAGUGUGGCGGUGUGGUCUUAGGGACGGCGACGCACCAUGGUGCUAUGGAUGGAACCGCCGCAUUCCACUUCUUCCGGACAUGGUCAGCUUUCUCUAGGGACGGCGACCGGGCUGUGGUGAACCUCCCUUACCAUGACCGCACCCGCUUAUGUGCACGCGACCCACCCAUUAUUCACCCCGACUCACUCUCAACUUUUUUUCCGGAAGAUAAUCCUAUCCCACACGCUGGGGUCUGUUGUCAACGAGUUUCCACUCUUAAGCACGUUUGCGGUGGCGGAAGCAUGAGCACCUUCAGUGUCGCGAGUGCCCAUGUGUGGCAAUGCAUGUGUUUACCCCGGCGGCUACCACCGGACUCCACAACACGCCUGCGUUUGUGGCCAACAUCCGGCGCAGCAUGAUGCCGCCACUCCCGGAUGGCUACUUUGGCAACGCCCUAAUAUAUAUAAGUGUUGCUGAUGAAGCACGAUGUAUUGCCUUGGGUGAGCUGGCCUACAUCGCACGCCGAAUCAGAGACACCAUCAACCGGGUUAAUGGUGAGCUAGUGCAUUCAGCGGUCGACUACCUUGAGUUAGCCUUAACAAAGACAGACAAUCGCACUGCUUUAGGUAGUGUGCCUGCGACAGAUAUGUGAAUGGUCAGUUGGCUUGGCAUGCCGUUCUAUGAUUUGGAUUUUAGUUGGGAAAGCCAUUGGCUACAUUGUGUGCUGAAUCGAACCGCGGAGGCUUUGCGCACCUCCUGGAGAGCGCGCUGGGGGUGGCAGCAUGCACGCCAUCAUGUGUAUAGAGGCUGGAGUUCUCAAUCUGUGACAUAAAUAAUAGAGGACAUAGUAUAUUUGAAACUCAAGCUGCGCACAAACCGGAGAUUUAAGUUAGGGAAAACUUGAGCUCGAACCCAUGUAAAGACUCAAAUAAUCGAACAUCAAAGAUAUGCGAUCCAUGUUGGUUUGACCUAAUGGCUAAACAGGCAAAAGGAUAAUGUUAAGAGAAACAGGUCCACACACGGAUGUACGUAACUCCUCGUCCCUAACUAAUGUGCGUACGGUUCAUAGUUCACUCUUCUCCCCACAUUCCCAAUACGCUAUCCAAUCCAAAGGGACGCUGCAAUACAGUGCCGGUGGCGGCCUGAAGGGAUCAGGACAUCCAGGAGAUGGACUGCAUCGACAACACCAUCACACCACCUCGCCUUCAACGAGCAGGCGAUCAUGUUGACCUCCAUGACUUGUAAUCCCCCCUAAAGCCUCUCUGUUUAAUGUUCAUCGUGUGUUCUAAAUGUAAUCUGUUCAUGUUCACAGCAUCCUAAUGAUGCGAAAGAUCCAACACUCUAAGGUUGCUGCAAGCUGCAACAUGAAUGAUGCAUGACCAACGUACCGUUCCUUCUUCCAGAAAGAAGGGAUGCGCAUGAUGCUGUAUACGGUAGUACAAAAUAAUCAAGAGAGAGUGGAAACAAAGAGAACUGAAAUGGGGAACUGGAAAUUUAAAAUUGAGAGAUUCAGCUGGCACCCAGAAGUAAGGAAGGUGCGUAAAGGCUCAAAUAAUCGCAAAACAAAGAGAUGCACAUAGAAAAUGGACGGAUCCGAACAAAGAGAUUCACUCCAAAGUUGACAUGAAGCAAACAACGCAGCCGGAUGCAUGUCCACUCUUCCAUUUCCUCCUCCAGAAAGAAGAGAAGCACAUAUGAUGCAUGCGCGACUCAUAUACUUAAAUGUUAUGUGCUACAAAGCCUCGGGAAAUGUGGGAAUUGGGCACUGGGGAAUUUCAUCAUCUUGUCCGGUUGCAAAACUAUACAUACAUGCUGCCGAUGUGAAUGAGAAAUUAUACACUAUUUUCCAAUCAUGAUUCUGCCACAAAAAUUACGUCACGUGCAAUAUCAGUGCUGGAGAAGACGAUGCCUCACACUCCAGAAUCCAGAUGCUUCAACAGUGCCGACAAGAUUGUUUGAGCUGCUAGAGAAGCAACGGCUUUAGGGCCAUGACGACGCUGCUCAUGUUUGGCCGGAGGUCCGCCUUCGACUGUAUACAGCAUGCCACGAUUGCAGCCAUCUGGUUGCAAGAGUGUGUCGAUAAUCAUUAAAGGAAUUGAUAUUAUUUUCAGAAUUAAUAGUACCAUGAGGAUAAUAACAUGUCUGAAAAUUCCAACAAAGAGUAUAUAUAUUCUUUCUAAUUCCAAUAACCAAGCAGGGGUGUUGGCAGCGGGUGUGAUGUUGAAAUAUGUUAUUGGACUGGUCCGAGGACCAGGAGUGCUAGCACCGCUGGACAAUUCCUCCCUAUGCAGAUGUAUUACUUUAAUUUGCUCUAAAAAUGGACAUUUCACUCCUGGAGUUCUCUCACAAGCUAAUUGUACAACCCUCUAUGCCCUGCCUCUUUCAGCACAUGCCUACGAGGAGUUCCAACAGGUUGAGGAUAUUGUCAGUCAACUUAAGAAAGUGUAGACAUGGCUGCGCCUGAUUCCAGGAGCUUUCCUUUGCGGCCAAAACGAGAGAUUUCAUGCAGAGGAAAAACUGGUGCUUUGGUUCUUGGCCGGGUUGUGCUAGUGCUCUCAGAACGUUACUGAAACAAGGAAUUGUCUCUCUUUUUGGACUGUUCAUUUGCUCAUUGUUGUUGGUACUACUCGGGGAUAUGAUAGAUUAUUGUCUGUGCUCAUCAGAAUUUACUGUCCAUGUUUUUGGGAGAUCUGUGUCUUGGUCUUAUGAAAUAUUUGGAAGGAGAAAAAUGGCCUUACUUUUCAGCAGUGCACUCCUUCCUUUGUCAAAUGGAAAGUGCUUUUUAACAUUUCAUGCAUCAGCAGCCACAGGGAUAACAUUUUGAUAAACCAGCCUUGUUAGCUUGGUUAAACCCCCGACCAUUUUGUCUUUCUCUUUUUCUUUGUAAUCCCUCAUGUAAUUACUCCUUUUUCAUACUGUAUACAAUAAUUUAACCAUAAGGGGCUCCCCUGCUGUUUUUGGUAAAAAAGAAGGGGGGGGGGGGGGUUCAAGAACAUACCUUGGCGAUAGCCUCGGGAGGGUAAUCUCCUCCAAGCCUCGCAUCAACAAUUUCUUGCACCUUGCAUUCAUCAAGUCUUGGUCUAGCCUGCAUGAUGAUGUCAUUACAGUUUUGCUAUUGCAUCUUCUGAACAAAUUAUAUCGGCGAACGCAAUGCAUACGUACCCAUGUCACAAGAAAUCGUUGGGCAUGUGGUAGUGUACAAUCAAGUUCCUUUCGACCGGUUAAAAGUUCUAGCAGGACAACCCCGAAGCUGUGGACAUCGCUCAUCGUAGAAUGUUGACCGCCCGUUACAGUCCUGAAAGAACAAAAGACUAGAUAAGUAGGAGUGUAAUGAUUUUGCAAACCUGGUUGAGGAAUCUGACAGCAGGAAACAUUUUUUUUUUUUGCAUACUCAGGCGCGUCAUAACCACGAGAAACAAAACAGACAGCUUCUGUGCAGUAGUUAGCCUGUCUGGAAACACCAGGCCAACCAAUCUUUGCAACGUCCCUGUCAAAGAGAAAUAUGUUGCUGGACCUGAUGCAACUGUGGAUUAUGCAAGGCUGUGCUUUCUCGUGGAGGAACUCAAGCCCAGCUGCAGCAUCCAUGGCAAUCCUCAUGCGUUGCGUCCAUGAUAGAACAGGUCCUCGUUCAGCUCCCGAAACAUUGCUUUUACCUGUGAUCAUAAACCACAAGAAUAUCAGUUUUUUGGCGCGAGGAAUUAUUUUCUUAAUACAAUAUUCAUAGCAGUUGAUCAAUUUGGUGUUACAUAUUACAUUUGAGAUUUUUUUUAUUUGACUCAUAGAAGUCCCAUAUUGAUAUGACACAAACGUGAGCACAAACAUAACAAAGUGCCCCCCUCCCCUAAGGCCUUGCUUGGACUGAUUGUAAAAUUUGUUUGCUUCCCAGUAUUUCAGUUCAAAGUUGAGCUAAAUACAAGAGAGCACGAAAAAAUCUUUUAGUAACAACUCACCAUGAAGAAUAUCUUGCAAGGAUCCCCUGGAUGCGUACUCGCAAGCAAGAACCCGGUUGUCUCCUUCAACACAGUGUCCGAGAAGCUGGAGAACAUUCUCAUGUCUGAAUCUUGAGACCACCGGAACCUGCAGCAGAAGGGUGAUAGUUAGAAUGUACUGAUAAACGAAGAGCAUUAACUGGAAUGGGGAAGAGGCAAGGUAUGCGGCCAUGACCUCCAAAACAAUUUCUGUAGUAGGCCUAAUCUUCAUGAUCAUGGAUUUACGUCCAUCUUUCAGCACUCCAAAAAAGAAUUUAAUCUGUAAGCUCUGUCCUAUUAGAGCAUCAAUGCUAAAGUUCCUGGUUACUUCCUUCAGUUUAUCCAUGGAAAUGGAUGGUACCACUAAUGGUAUCACGUCCUCUGCCUUUCCACUUUUAGGAAGUCCAGAGUUGCUACCUUCAUUAAGGGAAAAUUGAGAAAUUGUUCAAGAAAGAUUUGAUUAUCCAGUUCUACCAUUUAGCACAACAAAUAUUUAUCAGCAAGUUUCUAAUGUGAUAAAUCUGAAUGAAAUUGGGCUCUAUCGUAGAUGAUCCUGUAGACGGAACUACUAAUAAGACACAUUUUAGCACAAGAGGGAUGAGAAUCACCAAACAUGUUUAUGGCAUACAAGGAAAUUUUACAAUAUUUAAAUCUUAUAAUAUUUUAAAAUAAAAAAUGAUGCAUUUUUAUUGCUUCACAAACUAUUGAGUUCACUAUUAUAAUUGAAUUUAAAUGUGAUAUAUAUAAUUGAAGGAGAGAGGAACUAUUAAAAUUGACACACAAAUUGGAAAGGGCCAUACUGAUUCCUUAUUACCUGUAGCAUUUAUGCCCUUGUGGUGGCGGUAGGCCUUUCUAAUUGUCCUAAGUCUGUCCGCGACUUCAACCAUUUCUGGACGCAUUUUAUCCUCCAUUUUCAAGCAUUCAGCUGCUAGUUUUGCGACAUCUUCAAGAAAUUUCAUGUUCUUUUUAUCAUUCGCAAUUUCCUCAUCAAACAUUUGUCUCACCUUUUUCCCUUUUCUCAGGGCUUCGGCAAAAUUUUGAGCAAGGAUGAUAGUCCCAUNNNNNNNNNNNNNNNNNNNNNNNNNNNNNNNNNNNNNNNNNNNNNNNNNNNNNNNNNNNNNNNNNNNNNNNNNNNNNNNNNNNNNNNNNNNNNNNNNNNNAGAGAGAGAGAGAGAGAGAGAGAGAGAGAGAGAGAGAGAGAGAGAGAGAGAUGUAGCAUUCAUAUGUAUAUAUACUGACUGCUUGCUUGAAAAUUUAUAUCAGAGAUGCUCCCUUUCUUCCAUGUGAACUAAUAAUGUACACCGUCAACAUGAAUAUCAAGGCCUCUAGUUCAGUAUUCAACUUAAGCACCAUAAUUUUAUUUAUUAUUUGCAUGACGACACAGUAGGUAGGUCAGUAUAUUUUGAUGUGUUGGGUGGAAUGUAUGACUGGGAGCGUUUUUACCCUCGGUGAGGCUGCUUGGGUCAUGUGCAACAUACGACCUGAGAGUAUGACACAAACUAUCAAGCACUAUGUACAGCGUUCAGGUGCUAGUGUCCUCGCAUCACUAAAAUUCCCUUACAUACACGUGCAUGUACACUACACAUCUCAUGUUGGCCUGUUUUUCAAAGAUUUUUUUUUCUGAAUCCAUGAAAUCAUUAAUUGACCGGUAAAAAGAGAGAGAAAACAUGUGUAUCCAUGCCACUGGAGCGUCUACACAUGCAGCCAUACUGGAUCGAUGUCCACGUACUCCAGCUAUGUGGGGUGCAUGCUGCAAUUGUCCUCCUCAACCUCUACGGCUGCAUAUGUUUCCAAAUAUUUUAGGCGGCGGUCUGCCUUUUUUUUUUGCAGGCGGCAGUCUGCAUCUUUGAUAACUUGACACUAAAAUAAACUAAGUAGAGGUGGGUAUAUACCUGAUCCUGCAUCCAGUGAACUGUUUACACAGUCGACUCAUGCUGGUUUGAUAGAUACAUGAGAAAGGAAGCAAGAUUUUUACCCGCCUUGGAGAGUGCUCUACUUGCUCAAAACCUGAGCUUUCUGCAAGGACAAUUGUAGCCUUAGCCAAAUGACAUGAUCGUUCCCUGUGCUAGCUAAUAGAAAUUGGAUAAUGAUUGAGAAGUUUUUACUACAUACAAUGAUUGAAAGACUGAGAAUAACCAAUUCAUGUAUUCUUGCUGAGACAAAAUAAUGUGAACAAUUACCUCAUGGAAUACUUGCAACUUUAUCUUGAUGAGACUGCACGUACACGCAUAGGCAGUCCUUAGGCAAUUGAGGAAAACUAAACAUGAAUGUAUCCAAUAUGCAAAUAACUUGGGAACAGGGAGGCUGCAAGGUCACAGUGGAUCCUAUUCACUACCCGUGAUCAAUCAUGAGCCAUACCUCUAACUUAGGCAAUGAAGGAAGAACUAUUCCCAAAUCUCUUCGUCAGAUCAUCUGCAAAGUUCCAUCCCGCCAUGGAUCCUGCAGCCCAUCGCUGUCAUGUUGCUCUUCCCCCCUUCCUCUGCAUCAUGCUUCCUUCCUUCUAUAGUCCCUGCUACCUUGCCAGGAGACCUUCUGUAGUCUAUGGAUAGUCUAUGGAGCGGGAGCUGCGUGAGAUCUUGACAUCGCAACGGCGGCGGCAGUAGAAGGUCGUAGGGCAGCCUCCACGUUUAUGUUUUCCAAGCCCACGAAACAAAUUUUUUUUACCUAUACGGGAGAAUUCAAGGAUAUAUAUUUUUGUAAUGCAAUGAAAAGAGGAUGGCAGUGGUGGGUAAUUUCUUCCGCUUUAAUGUGGAUCUGACGGUUAUGGUUAUCUUUUUUUUUUACCUAAUUCCUUGUAUGCGGGGCAAGAGGGGAGGACAGCAAUAGAGAUUGAGACUUUCAAAAAAAAAAGCAAUAGAGAUUGAGAUUUUAGACGUGAAAUAGGUGCAGUUUUUUUUUUGUUAAACCAAGGCCAAUUUCCAUGUAAGUAAUGGCAAUGGUGGGUAAUUUUAAUCACUUAAAUCAAAUGGCUAUUAAUCGUUAAUCCUCCAAAUAGAUGGUUAGAUCUUUCUAAUUAUUGUGGGAAUUUUAAUCUAUUUCUCUUUUUUGUGGUUAACCCGUCAAUUACUUUUUAUAUAUAAAUAGAUGGUGUGGUAUUGCUUGAAUGAGGAAAUGUGAUGUUCAAAUGAACUCAGCAGUAAGGAACGGUUGUGUGAAUGGUUUGGCUGUGUGACGUGAACGGCUGUGUGGUGUGUGUUGUUCGUAAGCUUGUGGUUUAUGUAUGUAUAUAUAGAGCAAACGGAGUGCAACAGCUAGUAUGUGCAAAGGCUAGAAAGUUUUUUCUUGUGAUCCGAACACCAUAUUUUUUUUAUUCCUCUACUUUGGAGACCUGUGAUUUGCACUGUACAUCCAACUUCACUUCCUGUACCUUUUCCCAUUCCUUUGCUUGGCUCUCCUCUAGUCCGAACACAGCCUUAAGAAAGAACCACACAUAUAUACCUGAGUGGCGCACAGGAGGCCGGCUGAGCCGUCGAUGCGGGGAACAAACAGCCUCCUUUUCUUUGGCGAUGGCUGUCUGUGAGACGAGAGUGAGCCAUGAGGAAGAGCAUGCCCUUUCAGUUGCAGUCGAUCUCCAACCUGCCGUCCCCGCCCUCCUUGAAGCGGCCGGCCAAGGGGUAGAAGGGCACAAGGGCCUUGCUCAACGCUGUCUUCAGCCGGCUCACGUCGAAGAAGUCGCCGGUGGCUGUUUGGUCACCGGAACGGCAAUGGUAGAAGUGGACGAGCCGGGUGUAGCCUUCGUGGACUAGCAUAAGAUUGAGCGGCGACAGCCGGAGUGCUUUACUCGGCGUGUCCCCGGCCGGCGUUAGAAAGCAGGACUCUACCACCUGCACCUCCUCCUCCCCGCCGGCCAUUCUGCUUGCUCUGCUCUCCCCUGCCAUCUCUAAGAUUUGAAAAAUAGUGCGCUAUAGCGUUUUGAGAAUUGUCUCGCUAAAUAAAUCGUGUACAAUGGCACGCUAAUAGCACGCUAUAACACGAUAUAGCAUGCUAAUAGCGUAUUUCAAGGCCUGCACUAUUUUGCUGUAUCGCGCUAUUUUUUUCACUGCUUCUCCUCCCCCCCUCUCUCUCGUAGCGUUAGCUACUGUGUCUGUGUUGGAAAUGGGGCGAAAGCUCAAAAGAAUAUGGAAGAAGAGAUCGUCUUCGUCUUAAAGAAAAAGGAGAGAUAUUCACAAGCAAUUAUUGAUGGAGCGAUCACUUCUCGCUGUUUUCCCACUGACCGGUCCGUCCAUCUGUGUGUCUGUCUGUCUUCUCACCUCUUCUUCCGGCGUCUAUCUCUCCCUGCUCUGCCUCUAACAGGGCCCGACAGAGAAUCAAUGGCGGGAUGUGCGCCUGCCUCCAAACAAUGUGUUUAGUUUCCUUCAAUGGGUAACACAGCAGCAUGGUGAUGGUACAACAAAAAUGCUAAGCUCUGCUCACUAUCAUACAACUGUAGGGAAAGAAAACGACGAGAGUUGAUAUCGCCAUGAAUGUCCACAUCAACCAGACCGCUUUUCUUUACCAUUAUCAUGUCUAGAAGAUAUGCAAUCACAUGCCAAAAGAUAUGCGAUCCUCACUGCCCAUUUCCAUCUGGGUAGCUAGAAGUAGCAGCAGCGCUAGAAGAAAAGCAAGACAACAUCCGGUAGUAGCUAGAGCAACAAGGAGAAACAACAACACAACUACUCUUAGGAAUGGCCGGCGAGGAGGAGGUGCAGGUGGUGGAGUCCUGCUUCGUGACGCCGGCGGCGGACACGCCGAGCAGGGCGCUCCGGCUCUCUCCGUUCGACCUCAUGCUAGCCAGUAGAGGCUACACCCCACUCGUCCACUUCUACCGCCGACCAGAAACCGCCGGAGACGACUUCUUCGACGUGACCAGGUUGAAAACGGCGUUGAGCAAGGCGCUUGUGCCCUUCUACCCCCUGGCCGGCCGCUUGAGGGCGGGCGCAGACGGCACGUUGGAGAUCGACUGCAACGGCAAGGGCACGCUCUUCCUCAUGGCUCACUCUCGUCUCACCAUGGAUGACUUCAGCGAUUUCAAGCCAUCAACGAAGCAGAGGAGGCUGUUUGUUCCUCACGUCAGCGACUCAGAUGACCUCUUAUGGGCAACCCAGGUCCGUUUGAUUCCUAUCUAGUCCUUUCUAUCCAAAUCAAUUACUAACUACACCUACAAUUAACAGAAGUAAUAUGUAGGAGGGUACUAUUCAGAAGCAAUUAGUAGUAUGUAAAACAAAUUAAUCCAUAUAUGUAUGUAGGUGACAUUCUUAAAGUGGGGUGGGGUGGUCUUAGGGUCGGCAAUCCAUCAUGCUGCUAUGGACGGAUCUGCUGUAUUCCACUUCUUAAGGACAUGGUCAGCUUUCUCCAGGGACGGCGACCGGGCUAUGGUGAACCUCCCCUGCCAUGACCGCUCGCGCUUGUGUGCGCGUGAUCCACCUGUUGUUCAUCCCGACGCACUUUCCAUUUUUAGCCCCAAGAUAAACCUACCGCCGCAGCCAGGGCCACUCGUCAACGAGGUUGUGGCCUUCACCCUUGGCAAGGACCAACUUUCCACUCUAAAGCACAUAUCUGGUGGUGAUAGCGUGAGCACGUUUAGCGCCGUGAGCGCCCACCUGUGGCAAUGCAUGUGUUUAGCCCGGCAGCUACCCCCGGAUGCUGCGACACAACUUAUGUUCUCGGCCAACGUCCGCCGCAUCAUGAGGCCACCACUCCCAGACGGCUACUUCGGCAACGCGAUAAUAAACCUAAGUGUCGGCGACAACGUGCAUGCCAUCACCUCGCGCGAGCUGAGCUACAUCGCGCAGCGAAUCAGAGACACCCACAGACGGGUGAACGACGAGCUAGUGCAUUCGGCAAUCGACUACCUCGAGCUAGCAAAGAGGGACGACGAGCGCCCGGCUACAGGCAAUUUGCCGGUGACUGUCAUUAGAGUUGUCAGCUGGCUUGGCAUGCCGUCAUACGAUGCGGAUUUCAGCUGGGGGAGGCCAUUGGCUAUGUUCCGUGCUGAACCAAACCGCGGAGGUUUUGUGCACCUGAUUGACAGCGCACAGGGUGAUGGCAGUGUGCGCAUCAUCAUGUCUAUAGAGGCUGCAAUUCUCAGCGAGUUGAAGCGUUUGUUGUAUGCCAAAUUCGACAACAUGUUGUAUUCUAAGUUUUAACCUGCAUGUACCAGGUGUGUUCGAGUCAUGGAUGUUCGAUAAUUGUACCCUGUUAGGUGUUUGUACACCAAGAAAUAAUCUUAAGCAGCUUACACUAGGCUUAUACAAUUGAAUUCAAUCCUUCUGGUCUCAGCUUCAGAGUACAGUAGUUGCUCGUGGAAUGCACGAUUAUUUUUACUGGGAUGAAGAUAAUUACUGCAAAUGGGAUGGUUUACGUGCUCAAGCACUCUUGGGUUAUUUAUUUUUAGUCCCUGUGCUCUGUCUGUGUUGGUGCUCACUCUACCCGGUCACCUUCAGCCAUGGCAGCGAAAGUUAAUUGAUUUGAAUCCAUCUAUAUACUGGGAUGGGAGGAAGCUUGCUGAGCUCGGCGAGGGAGUAAUUUUUAGUUGUAACAAUGUAAGUAAUGCGACGCGGUCACUCUGCAUACAGGUCCAGAUGUUCCCAGGUGUGAUCAAGAAAUCAUUUAAAAUAACUGAAAACUUUAUAAAAUUUAUGAUUUUUUUAUGGUGCUAGAUGAUCGAAUGCGUGAUGCCCGUGUAACUGAAAACUUUAUAAAAUUAUGAUUUUUUUAUGGUGCAAGAUGAUCGAAUGCAUGAUGCCCGUGCCAAAUUUGGUGGAGUUUGGACAUUCGAGGAACUCAUGGCAAAAAGGAAAAAAUCAGGUCUGUGAGAAAGUUUGAAAAAGCGCAGUUUUCAUAGCUGAUUUUGUCCAUUUUGGCGCGAGCUCCACGAAUGUCGUUUAUCCAUGAAUUUUUGCACGCACCUAGAGGUCCACCUUUAGUCCCGGCCGGCGACACACCGAGGAAAGCGCUGCGGCUCUCACCACUCGACCUCAUGCUAGCCAACAGAGGUCUCACUCCAGUCGUCCGCUUCUACCGGCGGCAUACCACCGACGACGCCUUCUUUGAUGUGACCAAGUUGAAGACAGCGUUAGGCAAGGCCCUCGUUGCCUUCUAGCCUAUGGCCGGCCGCCUCAGGGCUGACGCCCAUGGCAGGCUAGAGAUCGACUGCAAACAGCAAGGAUGUGCUCUUCGUCGUCACGCACUCUCGUCUUACCAUUGUUGACCUCAGCGACUUCAAGCCAUCACCAAGGCUAAGGAGGUUGUUUGUUCCCCACGUCGAUGACCCAGCCUAUAUCGUGUGGGCCACCCAGGCAGGGUCGGCCCUGUGUUUCAGAAGGCCCUAGGGUGAACUCGACCCCUAAGUUCUAAGACCAUAUAUAUGUAUGUGUGUGCAUGAUACACAAACAUAUGUAUCUUUAGUUUGAGAUUUGAUACAUAAACAUAUAUAACUUCAUUUGCAUAACAUUACAACUAAACUUUCAACCACAAAUCUUUAGUUUGAGAUUUGACUAUAAUAAUUAUUGAAAUGUCAUAUUACAAUAGAAAGACUAAAAAGACGGGAAAAUGAAGCUAACUUGACAUGAUUACCUUAAAUGCGAACCAAAUUCGACUAACUUCAAAAUUUUAUACAUCGGACAAUCAGAACUCUAGACACAUACACAUAAUGACAAAAAAUUAAGAUGGUUGAAUACAUAUUGUGAAAGAUUGAAUUUGAAAAAAGUAUACAUAAAAAAUUUGAAACUUUGUGCACACUGAAACUGAAGAGAUAUUCUGAUACUAGUAGAAAAGGGGGCUUUGGUCCAGGCGGGUAACCCCAUUAGUCCCGGUUCAGUCCAGAACCGGGACCAAUGGGUGCAUUUAUCCCGGUUCGUGCGGCUAAGGCAUUAGUCCCGGUUCACCUGGGCCCUUUAGUCCCGGUUCGUGCCACGAACCGGGACUAAAGGGUGUGACGCCCAUUAGUCCCGGUUGCCAUUAGUACCGGUUCAUGUCACGAACCGGUACUAAAGGUCCCAUUUUCAAACCCCCCCCCNNNNNNNNNNNNNNNNNNNNNNNNNNNNNNNNNNNNNNNNNNNNNNNNNNNNNNNNNNNNNNNNNNNNNNNNNNNNNNNNNNNNNNNNNNNNNNNNNNNNGUCUAAUUGCUAUGUGCUCUGACUUGUUUGGAGGCAGCUAUCUUUGCUGAUCUCUUCCUCUCCUUUUUCUUGGGCACACCUUCCAGACCCUUCCUUAACCCAUGCCCCAGUGUUCCCGGGCUAAGCAAUGUACGACCGCCGGCUAGUUGAGGCGGCAUCUUCAGGCGUGUCCUGUGAGGAUUUCAUGAAGUGAGACUUUUUGCAAUCCCUGCUACGACCUUCCUGCCCGGGCAGAUCAUCCAUAUCCUCAUUAGCAUGCUAAUAGCCCGAUUCGUCAUAUAGUUGACACAUCAUAUCCAAGUCACACUCAUACGUGUUUGUAUUGAGGAAAGCCAAUUGGGCCGACCUCCAUCUCAUCAUCCAUUCUCUGUUCUAUAGGACCGAUUACAUCAGCCAGUACUAUUGCACCCGCUUCAUCACGUCGUCCGCCGCUCUCACCCGGCACUACAGGAGAUAGUAAUUGCGUAGGCGGGGUGGUGGUCUCCGCACAUGCUUGUUGAUGUGUGGUUAUUGGUGUGCUCUCGGCCGGCUCCAGACGAAUAACAUUCUUCGGCCAUAGCAGCACCCAACCCUUGUAGCUUCCAAUCCGCGGCGGGGUCUCGUCGUGCUCUCCCACAUGUUGUACUGGAGGAGGCAAAUCCUCGUGCCCCGAUUUCACACUGGACAAGUUAACCCUGAAGUGCCCAGCGGGGAUCGGCUGGUUGUGGAACGUGGGUUGCAAGGGGUUCAUUAUCAUCCCCUUUCCCACAUCCAGCUUCUGGCCUUUGAUCAAGUAGAGUAUGGUGCACGGGGUUUCUUCGGCCUGCAAACACAUGUUUGUGGCGUAAAACAUCUGAAAGGCAACGAAAAUGGAAUAUACGUUGGUGCGACAUGUAAUUACCGUGAGGGCGUCGAGCUCAGCCAAAGACGAAGGCCCACCUAGCGCGCCAGAGAUUGAGGACGGGCUGCUAUGAGCGGGAGCGACUGCGAGAGGAGGCCCGGUUGCAUGAGCAAGUGAUGGUGCGGUGAUGUUGUUGUUCACGGAGUUGCUCCCGACGAAACUGGGCAAUGGGAAAUCAUGUACCUUCUUGUCUGGAUUUUCCUUCGUCCAGUUGAUGAUAGCUGGAACCAAGUAAGUAGCGAAAUCAUUUCUACAGGCAGUUACAACUGCAUUGACUACCUGCUGUAGCAACUCAUUUUUCUCCUCGGCUAUUUUUUCGCGUCCUCGGCUGCUUUUUUCUCAACUGCAAGCUUCACCUUCUCGUUGAUGUCCACCUGACUAAACUUCUUUUUCUGCUUCUUGGCCUCUGAGCCCUCGUUGUAAAAGACCUUACACGUGGCGUCAUCUCCAGCGCCGUGCACACGACCAUAUUGCGGCCGCUGACCCAAAGGGAGUCCCUUAAGUUCGUUCAAGGCCCGCUUGAGAGGGGUGUCCCACUUGGGCCUCAUCGGAGAAGUAGGGCUUUCGGCUGCAAGCUGGUGUUGAUUCUCCUGCAGAAGGAGCGUGAACUGUUUAGGAAUGUGUAGUCGACUAGAUCUGGAGCUAAGGGCCAGUUAUUUUGGACGAUUCUACCAGAAUCGUCCCCCUCCCCAGCUUCUCACAGAAUCACCACUUCAUAUGUUUUUUACAAUCCUAGCUAAUUAGACCUUAACUAGAUAGGAAAGUAAAAAAAUAUAGAGUGGUGAUUUUAGGAGAAGCUGGGGAGGGGGGCGAUUCUGGGAGAAUCGCCGAAAAGAACUGGCCCUAAAUGUAAGGUGGUAAAAGAAUAAUUACCAGUAGUCUAAUCAAUCUCCUCGUGAUCUGGUCCAUGUAAAAAACCUUCUUUUCCUUGUACCCCUUGUAGCGGGCCCUGAUGAAGUCACGCUUCAAGGGGGUGGUGAACUUCGCGAAGGGGUCUGGGAUACCCGUGGCUUCACGUUCCGCGUCCUCCAUAUCCCAUAUGGGCCUUUUACCGAGGUAGCCAUGGCUUCUGAGGCGAUGCUUCCCCGUGUUCCUUUGCUAAAGGCUCUUGAAUUUCGCAGCCUUAGCCUUGGCUGCCUCGAUAGCGCAAGUGUCCUUGAACUUUUCAUACUCCUCUUCCGUAAGUGUCGGAUUUUCCUCCAGAAUCUUAGACAGGGGUUCCUGAUACGUCUCCAACGUAUCUAUAAUUUUUGAUUGCUCCAUGCUAUAUUAUCUACUGUUUUGGACUAUAUUGGGCUUUAUUUUCCACUUUUAUAUUAUUUUUGGGACUAACCUAUUAACCGGAGGCGCAGCCCAGAAUUGCUGUUUUUUGCCUUCAGUGUUUCGGAUAAACAAAAUAUCAAACGGAGUCCAAAUGGAAUAAAAUCUUCGGGAACGUGAUUUUCUCACCGAACGUGAUCCAGGAGACUUGGACCCUGCUCCAAGGAACAAAAGAGGCGGUCACGAGGGUGGAGGGCGCCCCCCCUAGGGCGCCCCCUGCCUCGUGGGCCCCUCAUUGCUCCUCCGGCUUACUUCUUCCUCCUAUAUAUACACACGUACCCCCAAACGAUUAGGAAAGGAGCCAAAAACCUAAUUCCACCGCUGCAACUUUCUGUAUCCAUGAGAUCCCAUCUUGGGGCCUGUUCCGGAGCUCCGCCGGAAGAGGGCCGUCAUCACGGAGGGCUUCUACAUCAUCAUAGCCUCUCCGAUGAAGUGUGAGUAGUUUACCUUAGACCUUCGGGUCCAUAGUUAGUAGCUAGAUGGCUUCUUCUCUCUCUUUGAAUCUCAAUACAAAGUUCUCCCCCUCUCUUGUGGAGAUCUAUGUAAUCUUCUUUUUGCGUUGUGUUUGUUGAGACCGAUGAAUUGUGGGUUUAUGAUCAAGUCUAUCUAUGAAUAAUAUUUGAAUCUUCUCUGACUUCUUUUAUGCAUGAUUGGUUAUCUUUGCAAGUCUCUUCGAAUUAUCCGUUUGGUUUGGCCAACUAGAUUGGUAGUUCCUGCCAUGGGAGAAGUGCUUGGCUUUGGGUUCGAUCUUGCGGUGUCCUUACCCAGUGACAGAAGGGGCAGCAAGGCACGUAUUGCAUCGUUUCCAUCGAGGAUAACAAGAUGGGGUUUAUUUCAUAUUGCAUGAAUUUAUCUCUCUACAUCAUGUCAUCUUGCUUAAGACGUUACUCUGUUUUUAACUUAAUACUCUAGAUGCAUGAUGGAUAGAGGUCGAUGAGUGGAGUAAUAGUAGUAGAUGUAGAAUCGUUUCGAUCUACUUGUCACGGACAUGAUGCCUAUACACAUGAUCAUGCCUAGAUAUUCUCAUAACUAUGCUCAAUUAUGUCAAUUGCUCAACAGUUAUUUGUUCACCCACCGUAGAAUACUUAUGCUCUUGAGAGAAGCCACUAGUGAAACCUAUGGCCCCCGCGUCUAUUCUCAUCAUAUCAAUCUCCAUCACUUUAAUCUUGCUUUGCUUUUUUACUUUGCUUUUACUUUUUACUUUGCAUCUGUAUACCAAAAAUACCAAAAAUAUUAUAUCUAUCAGAUAUCACUCUCGUAAGUGACCGUGAAGGGAUUGACAACCCCUAAUCGCGUUGGUUGCGAGUAGCUAUCGCUUUGUGCAGGUACGAGGGACUUGAGUGUGGGCUCCUACUGGAUUGAUACCUUGGUUCUCAAAAACUGAGGGAAAUACUUACGCUACUCUGCUGCAUCAUCCCUUCCUCUUCGGGGAAAACCAACGCAAGCUCAAGACGUAGCAAGAAGGAUUUCUGGCGCCGUUGUCAGGGAGUCUACGCAAAAAGUCAACAUACCAAGUACCCAUCACAAUCCCUAUCUCUCGCAUUACAUUAUUUGCCAUUUGCCUCUCGUUUUCCUCUCCCCAAUUCACCCUUGCCAUUUUAUUCGCCCUCUCUCUCUCUAUCCUCCCUCUCUAUUUGCCUUUUUUGCCCUCUUGCCUUUUGUUUGCUCAUGUGUUAGAUUGCUUGUUUGUCGCGAUGGCUCAAGAUAAUACUAAAUUGUGUGACUUCACCAAUACCAAUAAUAAUGAUUUCCUUAGCACUCCGAUUGCUCCUCUUACCGAUGCUGAAUCUUGUGAAAUUAAUACUGCUUUGUUGAAUCUUGUUAUGAAAGAUCAAUUCGCCGGCCUUCCUAGUGAAGAUGCCGCUACUCAUUUGAAUAGCUUCGUUGAUUUAUGUGAUAUGCAAAAGAAAAAAGAUGUCAAUAAUGAUGUCGUUAAAUUGAAGCUAUUUCCUUUUUCGCUUAGAGAUCGUGCUAAAGCUUGGUUUUCGUCUUUGCCUAAGAAUAGUAUUGAUUCAUGGAACAAGUGCAAAGAUGCUUUUAUCUCUAAGUAUUUUCCUCCCGCUAAGAUCAUCUCUCUUAGAAACGAUAUUAUGAACAUUAAACAACUUGAUCAUGAACAUGUUGCACAAGCUUGGGAGAGAAUGACAUUAAUGAUACGUAAUUGCCCUACUCAUGGUUUGAAUUUGUGGAUGAUCAUACAAAUUUUUUAUGCCGGAUUGAAUUUUGCUUCUAGACAUCUUUUAGAUUCGGCCGCGGGAGGCACUUUUAUGGAAAUCACUUUAGGAGAUGCUACUAAACUCCUAGAUAAUAUUAUGGUUAAUUAUUCUCAAUGGCAUACUGAAAGAUCUUCUAAUAAAAAAGUGAAUGCGAUAGAAGAAAUCAAUGUGUUGAGUGGAAAGAUGGAUGAACAUAUGAAAUUAUUUGCUACUAAGAGUGUUUCUUCUGAUCCUAAUGAUAUGCCUUUGUCUACUUUGAUUGAGAAUAAUAAUGAAUCUAUGGAUGUGAAUUUUGUUGGUAGGAAUAAUUUUGGUAACAACGCUUAUAGAGGGAAUUUUAAUCCUAGGCCAUAUCCUAGUAAUCCUUCUAAUAAUUAUGGGAAUUCCUACAAAAACUCUUAUGGAAAUUAUAAUAAGAUGCCCUCUGAAUUUGGGAAUAGUGUUAAAGAGUUUAUGAAUUCACAAAAGAAUUUUAAUGCUUUGCUUGAGGAGAAAUUGCUUAAAGUUGAUGAUUUGGCUAGAAACGUUGAUAGAAUUUCUCUUGAGGUUGAUUCUUUAAAGCUUAGAUCUAUUCCUCCUAAACAUGAUAUCAAUGAGUCUCUGAAAGCCAUGAGAAUUUCCAUUGAUGAGUGCAAAGAAAGAACCGCUAGGAUGCGUGCUUCCAAAGAUGCCUUUAUUAAAGCGUGUUCCUCCAAUUCCUAUGAAAAUCAAGAUGAAGAUCUAAAAGUUAUUGAUGUGUCCCCUAUUAAAUCUUUGUUUUUCAAUAUUAAUCUUGAUGAAACUGAAUAUGAUCUUCCUUUACCUAGAAGGCGUUCUAAAAAUUCGGAGUAUUUAGAUCUUAAUGAUGAAAUUGAUGAAAGUGGGAUUGAAAGAAAUAAAAAUCUAGAUGUUGCUAAACCCACUAUAUUGGAUUUCAAGGAAUUUAAUUAUGAAAGUUGCUCUUUAAUUGAUUGUAUUUCCUUGUUGCAUUCCGUGCUAAAUUCUCCACAUGCUUAUAGUCGAAAUAAAGCCUUCACCGAACAUAUUGUUGAUGCCUUGAUGCAAUCUUAUGAAGAAAAACUUGAGUUGAAAGUUUCUAUCCCUAGAAAACUCUAUGAUGAGUGGGAACCAAAUACUAAAAUUAAAAUUAAAUGUCAUGAGUUCUAUGCUUUGUGUGAUUUGGGUGCUACUGUCUCUACUAUUCCCAAGACUUUGUGUGAUUUACUAGAUUUCCGUAAUUUUGAUGAUUGCUCUCUAAACUUGCAUCUUGCGGAUUCCACUAUUAAGAAACCUAUGGGAAGGAUUAAUGAUGUUCUUAUUGUUGCAAAUAGGAAUUAUGUGCCCGUAGAUUUCAUUGUUCUUGAUAUAGAUUGCAAUCCUUCUUGCCCUAUUAUUCUUGGUAGUCCUUUCCAUAGAACGGUUGGUGCGAUUAUUGAUAUGAAGGAAGGGAAUAUUAGAUUUCAAUUUCCAUUAAAAAAGGGCAUGGAAUACUUUGCUAGAAAUAAAAUAAAAUUACCAUAUGAAACUAUCAUGAGAUCCACUUAUGGAUUGCCUACCAAAGAUGGCAACACCUAGAUCUAUCCUCGCUUUUAUGCCUAGCUAGGGGCGUUAAACGAUAGCGCUUGUUGGGAGGCAACCCAAUUUUAUUUUUAUUCCUUGCUCUUAUCUCCUGCUUAGUAAAAAAUAAAUUAUUUAGCCUCUGUUUUGGUUGUGUUUUUUGUGUUUAAUUAGUGUUUUUGCCAAGUAGAACCGUUGGGAAGACUUGGGGAAUGUCUUGUUGAACUUGCUGUAAAAAACAGAAACUUUAGCGCCCACGAGAACUGCUGUAAUUUUUAUUUGAAGAGUAAUAUUUAGUUAAUUAUUUUUGAAUAUGAUUAAUAGAUAAAUUCCUCACGUCCAGAAAUUUAUUUUAGAAUUUUUGGGCUUCCAGAUCUUGCGCUAGCUACAGAUUACUACAGACUGUUCUAUUUUUGACAGAUUCUGUUUUUCGUGUGUUGUUUGCUUAUUUUGAUGAAUCUAUGGCUUGUAAAAUAGUUUAUAAUCCAUAGAGAAGUUGGAAUACAGUAGGUUUAACACCAAUAUAAAUAAAGAAUGAGUUCAUUACAGUACCUUGAAGUUGUCUUUUGUUUUCUUUCGGUAAUGGACCUCAUGAGUUUUCUAUUUUGAGUUUUGUGUUGUGAAGUUUUCAAGUUUUGGGUGAAUUCUUUUGAUGGAUCAUGGAACAAGGAGUGGCAAGAGCCUAAGCUUGGGGAUGCCCAUGGCACCCCCAAGAUAAUCCAAGUACACCAAGAAGUCAAAGCUUGGGGAUGCCCCNNNNNNNNNNNNNNNNNNNNNNNNNNNNNNNNNNNNNNNNNNNNNNNNNNNNNNNNNNNNNNNNNNNNNNNNNNNNNNNNNNNNNNNNNNNNNNNNNNNNAUGGAUUCUGAAGAGCUUGUACCCGUGAAAGGUGUGGCCAUGUUCCAUCUCACGGGCGAGCCGAUGCUACCACCGAAACUGAGGCACUAUCAGGGGAUCUCAGGAGACUGCACGACCAUGUGCUGUCGAGUGAGAAAAGCCUACUAGCCUCGAAGGAUCCAGGAUAUCCGACAUACGCGGCUCGUGUGCCUGAGGGGAAGUGCUACGCCGACACACGGCCCGCGGAGGUGUUCUUCCUGCGGUUUGACCAUAUCUUUGAGAUGUAUCUGACAAGGCGGCUUGAUUUUACAAUCGUCUGCCUUUUUGCGCUACAUAUGAGCUCCGUCAUGAAGAGAGAAGAAGUCUCACAAAUCUGUGUGGCGGAUCCGUACUACAUGCACGAGUCUUUCUUGAGUCUCGGCAACUUUGAGCGUGAAACUACUAGAGACUACCUCCAAAACUUCAUGGUACAGAAUAAGGACCAGGAAAUUGUCCUCCUACCUUAUCAUCCAAAGUAAGUCAGUUCCGGACAACCCUUUCUUACAUUCCAAUCAUUCCUUCUCGCUCAUAUGGAGAAUAAUUUGAGGUGUCGUUUCCCCGCAGCAACGGGCGUGCCAUCCUUAUAGUUCUUUACCCGCAAGUCUCCGACGCUGUGUAUUUCGACCCUUCCAUAGACUACGAGAAGAAGGACUACACCCACAUAAUGAAUAUUCUAGAUGAUGCUCUCCAAGGCUUCAGCAUUAACGGUGGCCACAUGCAGAUCAGGAAACAAAGGAGUAAGAAGAUGGGUUUGACGCAUAAAACUAACUUCUGCUGCAUCCAUGUCCCAAAGCCAAGCAAGAAAGAUGGAUUCUACAUCCUCCAUCUCAUGAUUGAGUUCAGCACGGAUCACCAAAAGCUUCGCAUGACAACCAGAAAUGAUGAUCAUAUCCACAAGUGGGUAGAAUCUCAUGGAGAAGUGGAUUAUAAACUUAGAGAUGACUUCUUUCGCAUCCAAAGGGACCUUGCGACGAUCAUCAUGAAAGUUGUCGAAGAGAAGGGGAUGUUCCACCACGGCCCUAUAUCGCGAGCUGACGUCCGAACUCGCAUAGGCAUGCAACGUCAUGACCUCACGCUAUUCAAGAAGCUAGGGUCCAUCCUCGAUGAUAUGGAAGGAUGGAACUUCUAGUGAUUUACGAUGCCGAUGAUGAUGAUAUGUGUCGGUUGAACUUGUAUACUUUCUGUAGCGAUGAAACUUUGUGAUGUCCACGGUCCCUGCCGAACUUGCGUAAUGCUACUUUUUUAGUUUGGGUACGAUGACCUGUGUACCUCUAGUUAAUUAGUUUGCGUACUGUGUGUUGCAUCUAGUUGCUAACCCUUUCUUUUUCGUGUUGCUCUAGUAUAUUUUGUUGCAUAUGAUUGUACAUCCUCGUGAUGAAGAUGCAUAUCUAACAGGUAUAUGAAGUGCUAUGUCGUGUACAAAGGGAAGGUUCCGGGGUGUACAACGAGUGGCCUGAGUGUCAAGCGCAAGUGAAUAGGGUCUCGGGCUGCCAUAAAGGCUUCAAAAGCAGACAAGAAGGAGAAGCUAGUUACUUGAGGUUCACGCUAGCGCGAGAGAGGACUCGUAACCGCCGCCUCAUGUACUGCAUAGUUCUGCUCUCACUCAUAGUGAUAGCUCUUCUCGUGUAUCCCAUUGUUUAGAUGGAUGACGUUGUAGUUGCAAGUAUUCGAGACUUGCAUGUAUCACUAUUUUCGAGAUGAUGACGAGAUACCACUUUGUGUUGGAUGAUGAUUAUGAUGAGACUAUUUGUAUGUAUAUGCUAUGAUUACAUUUGUGGUCUCGCAGCCAUUUGUAUGUGUAUCAUGAUGACAUUUGUAUCUGCUAAAGAUUCUUGUAUAAAGCCUGUUCAAAUACAAAACAAAUAUGCAGAAAACAAAAUCAAAGACUACUAAAAUUAGCAGUAGCGAGUGGAGAAAAGUUAGCAGCAGCAUGAUAGUAGCAGUAGCGCGUCCAGCCAAAGCGCGCUAGAGCUAUUAGCAGUAGCGAGCUUCCACGCAGCACGCUGCUGCUACACUUGUAUAGUAGUAGCGUAAGCGUGCACGCGAUGCUGCUACAGGUUAGCUGUAGCGCCGGUCCCCGCGCUACUGAUAUACCGAGAACCCGCGCUGCUGCUAGGCUUUUUCCUAGUAGUGCCACGGAGUCCUUCCCAUCCUUUCCAACUCUAAUCACGAUCGAACCUGGAUUGGAAUUGAUGAACGCCGAAGUUUUGGCCUUCAGCCGCCGCCGCACACACUGCUCCGGAUCUCGCGCUCGCCGGAGGAUCUCCCUUCCCCGCCGCUUGAAGGUGCUCCAAUCCACAGAGGAGAGGCCACCCAACUCACCGGCAUCCGCCUCCCAAACCUGUGCCCAGUGGCGCCGCCGCCAUGGCCCCCUACCCCUCAGUCCGCCUUCCCCAUCUGCUUGACGACAAUGGAAUUAGCAAAGCACUAGACGACUACGGAACAAAUAAAGAAAAACUUAAAAAUAGAAUAUUUAUAUAAUUGAGGCUCAUUUAGUUGUUGGGGAUGGAAAAACCUAUAAAACUCCAUUCUAUACCUACUAAUAAAGUACGGUGCAUUUCUCCAAAUUUUUCAUCCGUUCACCAUUAAUUUUUUUCUAUCCGAGGUGGUACUAAACAUUUGACGUCGUCUGUUAGCAAAGGAAAAACGAUUUCUGCAGAAUUACGUGCGUGGGCCGCGCGCGCUAUAGCCCAGUAAAGUCAGCCCAGUUUUCCCUGCUCACGCAGCAACAAAAAAAAUCAUAUUUUCCGCACAAUGCGACAAAUAGUUUCAGCUACGCACAGGGCGCCCAAGACUCGGCCGCCCAUUUUUGCUCGUUUUCCGUUUCAAUUUUUAGUUUUCUGUUUCUUUCUCUUUGUAGUUCCUGUUUAUUUUUUAUUUUUUCACAUUCUAAGUCUAUUUUUUACUUUUCUUCUGAAAUUCGAAAUUUUCAAAAAAUAUUUGCAAUUUCAAUUUUUAUUUAAAAUUCUUAAAAAGUUACGAAUUAAAAAAGUGUUCCUAUUCUAAAAAAUGUUUGGAUUUUUUGCCAUGCCAAUAAUUUUUCAAAAUUUGAAAAGUAUUCCCAUUUUUCCAAAAAAAUGUUGUUAUUUUGCAAAAAAAUAAAGAUUAAAAAAACAUUUGACAAAUGUUCCAAAUUCGAAAAAUAUUUUGUUUUAGCGAUAUGUGCAAAAACUGAAUGUAAUGUUGGCAUUAAAGAAACACAUUUUCUAAAAUUCUUCUGAAUUUGCAAAACAUAAUCUAAUUUCAAAAAAUUGUUCGCAACUUAAAAAAUGUUCAUAUUUUCUAUAAAGGUUCAUGUUUUAAAGAAAUUUAUGUGAAUUUCAGGAAAUGUUCCGUUCAAAUUUUUUAUUCUUGCUUUGUCUUAAAAUCUAUGGAAUUUUCAAAAAAUUGUACAUGUUGCCAAAUAUAUUUGGUAGUUCAUGUUACCAGUUCCAAAAUUGUGUUCAUUCUAAAAAAUAUUUACAAUUUAAUUUCUUUUGUCAUUCUGAUUUUUUCUGAAUUUUAAAAAUAAUUCCAAUUUUUUUGGAAAAUAUUUACUUUUUUCGAAUUUGUGGAAGAUUUAAAAAAUGUUACAAAUUUGAAAAAUAUUCUUGUUUUUGUGUUAUAUUGUAAAAGUUGAAAAUAAUGUUUGCAUUAAAAGGCACAUUUUCUAAAUUUCUUCUAUGUGUUCAAAAUAUGUUCCCAUUUCCUAAAAUUGUAAACAAAUUAAAAAAAUAUCUUACUUUAUAAACUCUCCAUGCUUUUAAGAAAUGGUUGUGAAUGUCAACAAAUGUUCCGCUCAAAAAGAAAUCGUGUUUUUUAAAUGUAUGGAAAUUUCAAAAAAAUGUUCAUAAUUUGGAAAAUUGUUCACGUUGCCAAGUAUAUUUGGCAGUUCAUGGAUAUCAGUUUCUGAAAAGUUCAAAAAAAAUGUUUUGAAGUUGACGUUGCAUUAUGUUCUUUAAUGUUCGCGCUGACCAUUGGUUAACAAGACGUGUCUGUCUGAGUGGCUAGCAACAUGUGGUCGGGUUUUUGAGGUCGUGAGUUCGAUCACUCCCAUACUAGGCCUGCUCCGUAUCUGGACAUCGAGAUAAGUCAGCUUGUUCAGAUUAAGGGACACCAUAAAUUAUUAACGGUGAUAGCUUCCAUGUGCCAAUAAAAAAGAAUGUGCAGGUUAAUUAUAAUUGAAAGAAAUUAUGGGCAUGUGCCAGUACAACAGAAAAUACUGGUUCGGCUCUAAUUAAAGGGUGCCAUGUUGAACUAGAGAAUACGGUCAUGUGAGGGUCUUGAUCCAUUCUUAUAUUAAGCAAGAGGCAUGCAAUUUCGUCAUCCCGUAGCAACGCACGGGCAUGUGUGCUAGUACCUACUAAUAAAGCAGUGCGUUUCGUCGAUUUUUUCAUCCGUUCACCAAUGAAAAGAAUUUUUUUCUGUCCGAGGUGGUUCUAAAUUUUUCUACGUUUGUCUGCUAGGAAAAGAAUUUUCGUACAUGCGCCGCGCGCUGUGGCCAGCGAAGCAAGCCCCUUCUUUUUCUUCCCACACAGCUGAGAAAUUUUUAUUUUCCACACCCGGCGACAAAUAGUCGAAGUGUCGGACGUGACAAUCUUUAUUUAUGUGUUUUACUUCUAUUUUUGUUCUCUUUUUCGUGUCUCUUUUUCCCUUCCAAGUUUAUUUUUCUUUUAGAAUUUAUUUCAUAAAUAAAAAAUUCUCAAUAAACUUUGAAAAUUAAAGAAUUUUUUUGGAAAAUGUUUAGAAUUCUGAAAUUUUGUUUCAUUUUGAAAAAUAUUCGAAACAUGCAAAAAAAUUCCGUUUUCUCAUUUUUUGUCAAAAUUGUUUGAGAAUUCUAAAAAGAAGAUGGCAUUUCAGAAAAUGCUCUAGAUUCAAAAAGUUUUCUUGUUUUACUGAAAUUUUGACAAUUAAAAAUAAUGUUCAUGUAUAAAAGAUAGAUAUUUUUUAAAAAUCUUAUGAAUUAUAAAAACAUGUUCCCUUUUUAAAAAAUGAUCAUAAAUUCAAAUAAUGUUCAUGUUUUUAUAAAAAAAAGUUGGUAUUUUCAGAAACUGUUUGUGAAUUUUAUAAGAUGUUCCCUUUCAUAUUUUGUUCGCGUUUUUCCAAAAGUGUACAUAAUUUUUGAAAAACUAUUCAAGAUUUAAAAAAUUGUUCAUGUUUCCGAGAAUGUUUAGAAAGUUCAUACCUUAAAAUCCUCUUAAUUGAUAGGAUUGAAGGGCCUUCUCUGGCAUACGUUGACGUAAGAAAACUCUUAAAUGCACUCGAUCAAUGAAUGGGAACAUAGUGGAUGGAUUCCUUCACACGCGGCAAAACCGAGAAGCUAAGGGCCUGUUUGGUUCCGAGCCUAAGUUUGCCAUGCCUAAGCUUUAGUCAUGGGACAACAUCUUAGGCAUGUGUUUUGUUCAUUACCACACUUAUGGUUUCUGACACUUCUCUAGUUAUAUGGUCCACAUGUCAUAGGCUUAAUUUUUUUUGCCAAAUCUUGCCACACUUGUGGUGGCCAUUUUGUUAGCCACACUUUUUGUGGCAGCCACACAUUGCCUAUGGUUAGUUGUGGCAAAAUUAGUCACGAACUAAACAUGCCAUAAAUGUUCUUUUUUUGUGUGCACACAGAGUUUUUCUUGCGCAUAUAAUUCUGACUGACUCUAAAUGCAUACUAUUUUAUUUCCAAUUGCAACACACGGGCAUAUGUGCUAGUAAGUCCCUAUGUGUAAUUUCCCUGAUGACAUGGGAACCACUCCCACCAUGUGGAAGAUUUCCACCUAUCCUGUUGGCUAUUUCACUGGUAGAAAAAGGGCCUAUAGUGCCGUUUCGUAAGGGCCUUUAGUCCCGGUUCCUGAACCGGGACUAAAGUGUCGGUACUAAUGCCCCGACCCUUUAGUCCCGGUUCAAUCCAGAACCGGGACUGAUGAGCCUCCACGUGGGCAGUGCGCAGAGCCCAGGCAGGAGACCCUUUGGUCCCGGUUGGUGGCACCAACCGGGACCAAUAGGCAUCCACGCGUUAGCAUUUCUGUGCCUGGGGUUUUUGUUUUUUUUGAAAGGGGGGGGUUGGGGGUUUUGGGGGGUUAAUUUAGGUGUUUCAUAUAUUGUGUUAGCUAGCUAUAAUUAAUAGAGAGAAGUGUCCUCUCUUACGUCCGUGCUUGGUCGACGCUACGUACUAUACAUACGUAUAGAGAGGACUAGACACGCUAGUUAGCUUGUAAGGAAACGAAGGAAACAGAAGAUCGUCCUGAACAUAUAUGCAUACAGAGAGAAGUGAUAUCGACCACCUCUCCUUCUCCGAGAGAUUGGUCGAACAACAAGUUCUCGUAUAUCUAUCCGACACUACCGGCUACAUAUAUACAAUAAUUAUCUCUUACAAAUAUAAUCAUACGGACUCAUGGUCCACAUAGUAUUCUCCGUCUUCAGCGAUCACUUGGUCAAGAAAGAAUGCCGCCAAUUCCUCUUGAAUUGCUCGCAUGCGAGCUGGUGCUAGGAGUUCAUCCCGCUUCCGAAACAUCUAAUUUGAAGAAGGGGGUCAAUACAUAUAUAUCUAUAUAUAUAUAUAUAUAUAUAUAUAUAUAUAUAUAUAUAUAUAUAUAUAUNNNNNNNNNNNNNNNNNNNNNNNNNNNNNNNNNNNNNNNNNNNNNNNNNNNNNNNNNNNNNNNNNNNNNNNNNNNNNNNNNNNNNNNNNNNNNNNNNNNNCGAUUGGCGUGCGUCGUGGGAGCUCAAUUGGGCUAAGAAGUUCAGUGGGCUGACCGGCUGAGGCAUGGGGCUCGGGAUGGGUUAGCACGCCUAUGGCUGGGCCUCUAUAAGGCUACAAAUCUGACAAAAAGUCCUAUUAGAUGUAUAGCACUACUUGGGCCAUGCCUGGGGCUAUAGCCCCAGCUGCCCCAGGCCCAAUUCCGCCCUGCCCUCUCCUGCUCUCUCCUCCUCCUCCCUCCUCCUCCUCCUGCCUCCUCCUCCCCCUUUCUGUAAAUAGGUUUUAGUUUUUGUUAAAUGUAGUUUUUUCUUUUUAGUAAAUGUAUAGGUUUUUAGUAUAUUUUUUUAGAAAAUUUGAAUAAGUAAUUUGAAAAGAAUAAGUAAAUGUAGGUCUUUUGAAUAGAAUAGGAAUUUUUUAGAAAUUUUGAAUAAGUAAAUUUGAAUAGAAUAAAAUAUAGAAUUGAAAAUUUUUAGUAAAUGUAGGUCUUUUGAAUAGAAUAGAAAUUUUGUAGAAAUUUUGAAUAAGUAAAUUUGAAUAGAAUAGGAAAUUAUAAGUAAAUUUGAAUAUAAUAAUUAAAUGUAGCUUAUGGAGUUUCACUAAGUCCUAAGAUGACGAUAAUAAUAUUUUUUUUCAUAUUUUGUUUUUGCAGAAAUCAAGGAGCCCCUGCAUCAUCCCCGCUGUCGUCCUCAUCACCGACCCCCUCCGACCUCGAUCGAGGUGAGUCCAGCCACCUCAUGUUGUUAAUUUAAUUUAGGUAUUUUAGGUGUUUAAUCUUAGAAUAAUGUAGUAUGAACCGUAGUUAUGAAUUACUCCACCAAUGACUCGUAACUUGGAAUACGUCAUGGCUCCGAACGGACGUAGUAGUAGUAAUCUCAGGCAAUCGGACGACAAUGGAAUGGAAGCAGCAAAGCACUUGACGGCGGUCCUACAUGAAGGAAAUUUCCCCAUAUCCGUGGAAACCAUAUCAUAGAGCAAUAAUGGAUACACAAACAAAAUAAUAGGUUUGCAACAGAACACCCACCAAUACCAGACCAGCAUCAUUUUCGUCGUAAGAUUCCUUACAAGCACAUAGACAUCAGCUUCUCAUCAGCUCGGGUACUCAUGAAAAAUAGCAGCAAUGAAAUAAACGCAACAACAUAGUUGCCCAUGUCUCGGAUACACAUACAGAAUAUUACUAGAUCUGGAUUAACCAAGACUAAAUUAUUGGACAAAAACUUAGAUAAAAACAAAGAUAGGCAUGCCCAAAGGGAAAGGCAAUUUUUUUGGAGCUGGCUAGAACUUGGAAUACAUCAUGGCCCCGGACUUGGCAUAGAACAAACACUCGAACUCCUUGAGAACUGCAGCCUCUAUACACAUGAUGACGCGCACGCUGCCAUCCCCCUGCACGCUCUCCAGCAGGUGCGCAAAGCCUCCACGGUUCGAUUCAGCACACAAAGUAGCUAAUGGCUUUCCCCAACUAAAAUCCAAAUCAUAGAAUGGCAUGCCAAGCCAACUGACCAUUCGCAUAUCUGUCGCCGGCAGACUUCCUAAAGCAGUGCUGUUGUCUGUCUUUGUUAAUGCCAACUCAAGGUAGUCGACCGCCGAAUGCACUAGCUCAUCAUUCACCCGGCUGAUGGUGUCUCUGAUUCGGCGUGCGAUGUAGGCCAGCUCGCCCAAGGCAAUGCGCCGCGCUUCGUCGGCAACACUUAGAUUUAUUAACGCGUUGCCAAAGUAGCCAUCCGGGAGUGGCGGCAUCAUGCUUCGCCGGAUGUUGGCCACAAAAGCCAAGCGUGUUGUGGAGUUCGGUGGUAGCCGUCGGGCUAAACACAUGCAUUGCCACACAUGGGCACUGACGACACUGAAGGUCCUCACGCUUGCGCCACCACAAAUGUGCUUAAGAGUGGAAACUUGGUCCUUCUGAAGAGUGAACACCUCGUUGACAACAGGCCCCAGAGUCCGGGAUAGGAUUAUCUUGGGGAAAAAAGUUGAGAGUGCGUCGGGGUGAACAAUGGGUGGGUCGCGUGCACAUAAGCGGGUGCGGUCAUGGUAAGGGAGGUUCACCACAGCCCGGUCGCCGUCCCUAGAGAAAGCUGACCAUGUCCGGAAGAAGUGGAAUGCGGCAGUUCCAUCCACAGCGCCAUGGUGCGUCGCCGUCCCUAAGACCACCCCUCCACACUUCAAGAAUGUCACCUACAUAUAUUGAUUUCUAGCACACAUUACAUGGAGUACAAGUUUCUACUAUUGUAGUGUGCUAAUAUUUUUCUUGAGGACCUUUCAUUACAAGGAAAGAGAAGGGACUAGUUCACAUACAAAACUGGCAGAAACCAAAUGUAGUGUACCAGCAUAGUGUUGAUGUGGCUAGAAAGCAAGUCAAAAUGAAAUAAAGAAUAACUAAUUCAGAAAGAAACACACAGACCUGAAUGGCGCACAAGAUGCCUGCUGAGUCGUCGACGAGGGGAACAAACAACCUCCUUAGCCUUGGUGAUGGCUUGAAGUCUCUAAAGUCAUCAGCAGUUAGACGAGAGCGAGCCACAAGGAAAGGUAAACCCUCGCCGUUGCAGUCGAUCUCCAAUUUGCCCUUGGCGUCCGGCCUGAGACGGCCGGCUAGGGGGUAGAAGGCCACGAGAGCCUUGCCCAAUGCCGUCUUCAACCUGGCCACAUCAAAGAAGUCGUCCUUGGUGGUUCCGACGGAACCACAUCGACGGUAGAAAUGAACAAGUGGGGUGUGGCCUUUGUUGGCCAGCAUGAGGUCGAGCGGCGACAGCCGCAGCGCUCUUCCCGGCGUGGCAGCGGCCGGCAUUACAAAGCAAGACUCUACCACCUGCACCUCCUCCUCACCGGCCAUUACAAAGCAAGACUCUUCCCGGCGUGGCAGCGGCCGGCAUGUACCAUUUGGGAACAUGCAUGUGAUCGGUGGUCUCUAGUACGUCCAGAAGUUGAUGGAGACAUUGAUGGCAAUAUCAUUAUCGCCAGUACAUACGGGUACUAUUAUGCUGCUUUCUCCUAUUGAUUGCAAUCAAACACUAGAAGGUGGGCCAUCUAUGUCGGCAGAUACUGACGGUUAGUUAAACAUCAAUAUAUUCUAUGGUAGAUCUAAGGCAUCUUCAAGGGCUAUGUAUGUAAACAAGACGUGUAAAAGAAUUCAAAUUUAGAUGUUUCGAAAAAUUCUUAAACUUUUUUGAAUGUUCACCAGACAUGUGAGCACACCAUCUAAAAUUUCAAACCAAAUCCAGAAUAUAUACAGAGAAAAACAAAAAACAUUAAUUCAGCAAGAUAGUGUCAAAAAGUCAAAAGCAAAAACCACACUAUUCACACAUGCAUUUGUUUUUUUACAAGUAUAUCAUUACAAUCACAACCUUGGUAACCUGCCUUACUUACACACUUGCCCAUCUCGAAUACACUCCAAGACCUAAAAUUAUUAGUUCUUGAUUUACUGAAACUAAUCAGUCGACAAAAUAAUUGAGUAAAGUACACUGAAAGUUGUCAUGACAGAUCAGCUUCAUACAUUAGCUUAGAAAUCUCACAAUUUGGUAUAAGUGAUGCACUGAUGGCUCGAUACCAGUCGACAUGACUUUGUAGGGUGGGUAUCUAAAAAAUCACAUUGCAAGGUUACACCACUGUCUUGACUAAUCGCUGGCGGUAUUUAUUAUGGACGAUGCUACGCGUCGCCGGCGGAUCUUUUUUAAAGAUCUGCCACCUCCACAACCGUACCGUCUGAUCAUGUGCAUUCAUGGUCCGACCCUUUCCUCAUAUUUGCAACAAAGGCAGUGUUGCAUAACCCUUUACAGCAUACCUCAUGUUGCGGAAAUAUCUGCAACAGAAGAUUUCUUGCAUAAUUUUUUCUAUCUUAACUAUGUUGCGGAAGGACUUCUGCAACAUAGACGAUGUUGCAGAAAAAUUACAAGGUGGUAAAGGCAUGCGGCCAAUGGUCGGAUCGAACUCGGAUCCAACGGCUGUGUGGGCGGCGAAACUUUACAUGUGACCUGUCGACUGAUUCUAAUCAUUUCCCAUUUAUUAUAGGAUAAUAGCGUGCAAACUUCAAGUCUCCUAGACGUAUUACACCACAGGUUAUCUGCCUUACUACAUAGUUGUCCAUUUCUGCAAUACAUUUCGAGCCAUACACACCGUUAGAUCUGGAUUAACUGAAACUAAAAUUAAUUAUCCAGAAACAUUUGGAUACAAAUAACCAUGACUCGUUACAUUGGAGGUGCUCAAAGAAAAGAAAUAAAUGGAGGCAGCGAGCUAGAAUUUGGAAUACACCAUGUUGUCGAACUUGACAUACAACAAACGCUUGAACUCCCCAAGAAUUGCUGCCUCUAUACACAUCACCAGGUGCACACUACCAUCCCCCUGCAUGCUCUCCAUCAGAUGAACGAAGCCUCCACGGUUUGAUACUGCAUGCAACAUAGCCAUUGGCUUACCCCAACUGAAAUCCAGAUCAUAGAAUGGCAUACCAAGCCAGCUAACCAUUCGCAUGUCCAUCGCCGGCAGAUCGCCUAAGGCUGGUUAUAGUGGGGAGUAACUUAUACUAGUGUCAUGCAUAUGACACUAGUCUAAAUUACUACAUUUAUAGUGCAAAAUAACAUACUAGUAGUGUCAUAGAGGACUUCAUUAAUUAGCUUGUAGACUCAUCUUGUCUUGGAAAGCGUUAUGUUAUAGUAACAUAUUAUGUUACCACUUCUCAUUAACUACAUGCCACAUAAGCAAAAAAUUCUCGGAGUGCACUAUGUUACUUGCUAAGUUACUCCCUCUAUGACUAGCCAAAAGCAGGGCGGUUGUCCCUCUCUGCCAAUGCUAGCUCGAGAUAGUCGACCGCCGAAUGCACUACCUCAUUGUCCACCCGGCUUAGGGUGUCUCUGAUUCGGCACGCAAUGUAUGCUAGGUCGCCCGAGGAGAUGGUCCGUGCUUCGUCGCUGACACUUAGAUUUAUUACUGCAUUGCCAAAGUAGCCGCCCGGGAGAGGUGGCGUCAUUCUACGUCGGAUAUUCGCCAUGAAUGCAAGGCGCACUGUGGAGUCUGGUGGUAGCUGUCGGGCUAGAGACAUGCACUGCCACACCUGGGCGCUCACGGUGCUGAAGGUGCUCACGCCUUUGCCACCACAUAUGUGAUUAAGGGUGGAAAGUUGGUCCUUGCGGAGGAUGAGAACCUCAUUGACGACGACAGGACCUGGCGCCUGGGAUAGGAUUAUCUUGGGGCAAAAUAUGGUAAAGGUGUCCAGACGAACAACAGGUGGGUUGCGUGCACACAGGAGGGUGCGGUCAAGGUAGGGGAUUCUCACUACAGCUCGGUCGCCUUCUCUGGAGAAUGCUGCCCAUGUAUGCAAGAAGUGUAAUGCGGCAGUGCCGUCCACAACUCCAUGGUGUGUUACCAUCCCUAAGACCACUCCACCACACUUCAUGAAUGUCACCUACAUAGAUGGAUUUGUGAUACAUGCUAUAUAAAAUUAUGAACGAUAUUUUUUUUGAAAAGGAGGAUUACCUCCGGCCUCUGCACCGAUCGAUGCAUGAUAUGUUUCUAUUUCUACUCAUUUUUUCCUGGAGCAACCAGUAACUAGGAAAACUGACCAAAAACGAAAUAUAGUGUAUGACUGUAUUAUGCUUGACUUGAUUAGAAAGUAGUAAUAUAGAAAGAAUCAGACCUGGGUGCAGGGCCGGCUCUGGCGUAUGGCCAGAGGGGCGACGACCCAAGGCCCAGGCCGGAGGGGGCCCAUGAUGCAGUGUACAUAUAUAGUAUAGCCCAUCAAAAAAUUAAGUAACGAAAAAAAUAUGAGAGAAAAUAAAGGAGAUGGGCUAGGCCCUACAGAUAGCUAGCUAACGAAGCAUCGCGCUAGACGCAAGGCACGGUUGCACGCCGCACGCGUACGUGUGUGAAUCAAAUCAAUCACACUAGUAGAAAAAGGGCCUUUAGUCCCGGUUCAUAAGGGCCUUUAGUCCCGGUUUUUUAACCGGGACUAAAGGGUCGUUACUAAAGGCCCUCCACGUGGCCGCUGCCUGGAGGUCCACCUUUAGUCCCGGUUGGUAACACCAACCGGUACUAAAGGAAAUUUUCUGAUUUUUUUGAAUUUUUUUAUUUUUAAAUUUCUGAAUUAUUUUAACCUCUAAUCUCUAAUCACCCCUCAUCACUGCUCAAUUUAAUCUCUAAUCACCCCUUAUCAUUCCAAAUCAUCUAACUUCCCGGACGGUCACCCAUCCUCCCACUCCCCCAGCCUGAGCACGCUUAACUUCUAGGUUCUAUUCUCCCUCGUUUUCAAGUCUGCACUCGUUGUUUUCGUGACAAUAGUAAGAUGUUAAUCCUAUUAACCCUCAGGAGUUUAGCUUGAGCAUGAAGUCACACAUUUCACUGUUUGAGUUUGAAACUAUUGUUCUAAAACACAAUAAUUAUUUAGUAACACUAAUAUUUCUUGAAUAAGUAGUUUGACCAUUGUUUGACCAUAGUUUGACCAUAGUUUGACCAGAUUUGACCAAAAUUCAAAAAACUGAAAUAAUUAUUUAAUAACACUAAUAUUCUUGAAUAAUUAUUUAGUAACACUAAUACUUCUUGAAUAAGUAGUUUGACCAUAGUUUGACCAGAUUUAAUGAAAAUUUUAAAACANNNNNNNNNNNNNNNNNNNNNNNNNNNNNNNNNNNNNNNNNNNNNNNNNNNNNNNNNNNNNNNNNNNNNNNNNNNNNNNNNNNNNNNNNNNNNNNNNNNNUGUUAUCGGAGAUGGAAAACAUGGAGCUUCUAGAUUUUUUGAGAAAUACCAUCAGACAAGGCAUGACAAGAGCUUAUCAGGGACAAGAAGCAACAGUACAGUAGCCUGAAGAGCGUCACUAUUGAUGGGUUAAACAAUAUCUCUUUUAGGCCUUGUUCGGUAGGCAGAGGACAAACCCCCUAGCAGAUUCAAUCCACCCAGGGAUCGGGUGAUCCCUACACCGUCACCCAAUCCCAUGCACGGAUUAAACCCCAUAUCUCCUAAAUCCGUCCCUCAAUAGAUCAACGUUCGGUUAACCCGCUUUGGGCUGCGCCGCAAGCGAGAGUUCCCCUCAGAUCGCUCGGGGUUUCUUUCCGCGAGUGGGGAGACGAUGAUUUUUUCCCCGCGCGUUUCGCGAAGACCGGAGGGGUUUCAGUCGGGGAACGGACCCACGCCAGGCUUAACCGAAUAUGCAUUAACAGAUGGGCCGGGGUCACACCCAGGCGGGGGCGAUCCCCGUGGAUCCGCGGGGGUUGGGCCCCAAACCUCGCGAGGGAGGGAGUAAACGAACAAGGCCUUAGGGGGCUGCAAAGAAUUGGCAAACGUGUUCUUGAAAGGACUAUAGAGGGUUCUUGGGGAGCUGGAACUCUCAGGCACAAGAGUGAACUCCCCAAGCAGAUCAUCCUGUUAGCUGGCUGUAAGAAGCUCCAUGCAAUAAUAUUGACACCACAUCUCCAUCAACAACAGCUUACGGAGGGGAGGCACCACUUGUGCAUCCACAUGCCGAUCUAUCCCUCCACCAGUAGAAAGAAGAGAUGUUCAAGGGUGGAUGGCGGAUUUGUCUCACGGAUGCAAGGCUCCUUAGGUCUCUCUCUCCUAUAGAAAGUCUUUUAGAAGACACAUCAAUACAUAUUGAUAUCUGUACUGCAGCUGCUGUUGAUGGUAGCAAUAUCCAAGGAACAACCAGUAACAAACUAGUCCAAGUCCAACCAUAUACAAGCGUCUUAAUGCCCUCGAAGUACAGAGAUGCCUUUAGGGAUGAUCAAGUUGCAGCAGUGGUUAUGCGGUACUGUCCCAAGAUACAGAAGGAGUGGCUGACCAAAUAUACAUGUUUCAUAAAGGUGGUGAUGCACAGGCAGGACAACAGACUCUUGGAGUUGGAGGAUGCUGCAGAAGCUAGUACUAGUGCUUUAAUAUUGCCUAAAUUUAUACGUGAGUUGGUUACACCAUUGCACGUGUAUGAUAACUUGUCCAUCUUUGUAUCCCUGAACCUCCUCAAGGAUCAAGAUGGCUUAGACUAAGAUGGUGCACGUGCUGAUUUUUCUAAGAUGGAGAUCGUAAGAAUUUUUUGAUGCUACGAACUCCAACCUUGUAGAGUCCGUCUCCGACCUCGUCGUUCCGCAGACCUUUAUCUCGUUGCACCAUUACUUCAUCGCCGGCUCAUCAUGGCCGAGUAUGACUCCUCAUCGCACUUGGUUCGAGGGCUCCCCCUCACCGCGUUUGGCUUCAGGACUCUGACUCGCCAAGCCCAACUCCGUCUAGUCAACAUCGCUAGGCCGACUCCGGCUCUGCCUGGCUGGCUUCACAAAGCUAACUCCGACUUGCUAAGUCCAACCUCGCCUAGCCGACUCCGACCUCGCGGUGACCCAAGGACUUCGACCAGAUCGAGUCCGACUCAGGGGACUAUGACCUCGGCGCAUCUGGCUCGGGGAAUCCAUGCCGCCGGGUCUAACUCGGGACUCCACCACAUGGCAUCACCGACGCAUGGAGCAUAAAAAAGCCAAGUCACUUUCAUUAUUCAGCUUCAUAUUUUCACUCCAUCACUAAUUUGUUUGUGUGUUGAGUCUUUCGAGCAACGCUCGAUGGCUACUCAGCACCCACUCCUACCAGGUUAGCUGCGCCCCGACGCACUAAAUUUGAUCCUCAUGAGGCAACGCCUGGUUGAGCUGUAUCAGCUCUAGCUGUGUGCGCUAUAAUGAGUCCAGAACCCUGGUUCCCAUAUGCUUAUGCUUCAUUGCAAAGAGUUUCACCGUUUGUAAAGAACGGCCGCCCACUCUUUACCCAGGACAGAUCGGGAUCCAGAUGGACAUUUGACAGGAGCAUUUUUUGAUUCAACUACAGACUAGAAUCCGGCUGAUCGGUUGGCGGGAGCCAAAGGUAAGGCUAACCAACACAACACUAGACUCCGCGUAAAGCAUAAUGCAGGGCUAAGAAUAUUACAUAAUUAAUUAAUCAUGCAUAUAAAUGUUCACUUGGUACUCCAAUAUGUGACAAAAUGCAAUUCCAUGUUCACUCUGUUUUCUUGGUCUUACUGGUGGUGCAGAAACAUCGGCCGGCUUCAGGACUCCGACCUCGCCGUGUCUAGCUCCGCCUUACCACGUCUUGGUGGGCUCGAGGGCUUUGACCUCGCCGCUGGCUCCGGGUGCUCUGCCACGCCAUGUCGGCUGAAAGACUUUGACUUCACCGUGUUUGGGUCUGAUAUGGGUCUGAUAGUUACCAUCAUCGAAGAGCAUGCGCCCGACUCUUCGAGAGCCUGCGAAGCCUCCAAACCCUCCUACGAAUCGUCCCACGGACCUUGCCGUUAACACUUGAUCACACACAAGCUAAAAGUAUGAUCUUCCUUUCUCAUCGUGACCACUUGGGUCCAUGAUCAUGACCUUGCUGAUUUUCCAAGCUCUUGAUUCUUUCACCAUAGGCCGCCUUCCUAUCACUGAUACUAUGGACGAGCAAUCACGGACAAAAGAGGUGAUGCAUAAAGAGAGGCAACCAGAGGCAAAGAUUACUGCAUUGCAGUUGAGAUUUUUUAUGAUACAUCGUAACUACCCAUUAUGAUGGGUAGUACUUUAGUAGAUCCAAUGGCCAGUAUAGAUGGGUCAAAUUUUCGCUCUAGGACAUAUUGGUAAUUUCUAAUUAGAAAUAGAUUUAUUCUUUGUUAGUUCUAAUCGUAAUUAAUGAUCUGAUUAAUUAAAUUAACCCAUCCUAUCCGAUGCGGAGCCACGGGCGAGUGCGUCUGUGACCUCGUUGCCACUGCUCCUUCGGGUUGCCGGAGCAGCCCCGCAGGUGAGGCACAAGGUGCGGAUCCGGGGCAGGUAGGCCAUGAGAUGAGCCUCCUGUCAAAGCAGCUCGUCGCUCCAGGAGGCGUCCCGGUCGGAGGAGCAGAAAUGUGCCGGAAUGACCGACGAUGAAGGCCUAGUGUAUCGUUUGCCUCAUCGAUCCGCCCUCAUGGAGUUUUGCUUGCCAACAUCGGCCUUGUAAUCACAUAGUGAAUUGAGGCAAUAAAAAAAAACACCGGAGACGAUUCGUGCCUGUGGCCAUCAACAAGCGUCUAGGUGUGUUAAAAGAGAAAUCAGCGAUCUGAUUGUUGUGUACUUGCGUACAUGUGACGUGCUUGUGUAUCCGGCCGGCCGCGAGUCUACUAGCGUAGCUUUUCUAGGUCGAUGUGUGUUGGAAUCGCAGCCCUUUAGUUAUCUCUCUUCUCACUCAAAUGAAGGUGGAAGAAGAAGAACAGUGGACACAAAAUUUUCGGCCGGCACACAAACGCCGCCACGAGCGCACGAACAUCCCAAUCCUUUUCUGGCUUACAUUAUCUACAUGGCUACAAACUGAAGGCACACACACGCACUCAACAAACUCAGGUCUGGGCUUUUUUAUACCUGCGCAUGCGCAGGUACACACCGCAUCCCACCUCCCCAUGCUAGCUAGUGCUCACGAUCCGCCCGGCCACGCGCGCACGACGCGCCGGAAGCGUACUGCCGCUAACAGCCUACAUGCAUGCGUGUUACACACCAUGACGACUCACAUAUGCAUUGACGCCCGGCUAAGUAGCUAGCUAACUCACGCGACGCACACAACUGACUGGAAAACAAAUCCAAGUCACGAUUACUCCUAACUGUAGAAGACUAUAGGAUGCAACUUAUUGUAUUUUAUCGGAGUCGGUUACAAUAUAUAUAGAUGGUGUCUUGCGUGACAAGCCAACUAACCCUACAAUAUCUCUAGAAAUCAGCUACACAAGGCUAAAGAUAAUAGAAAAUCAGUCAGAAAUAAAUACAAAAAUAUCACGUUUCAACACUAACAAACUCCCCUUAAUCUUGACUUGCCUUCUCGCUGCACCAUCACAUGAGACAUGGCUCGUCGUCAACCGUCGCGAGGAGCACAUCCGCUUGCAGUGCGCUCGCCUUUGCCGGGUUAAUGCAGCUCCCAUCCUUUUCGUCGUCAUAACCGUGACCCAGCCUGCGGACUCGACCUGACACACCGACGUCGAUCGCACCGCCACGGAGCCCACCUCACGCACUGACGCCCGGUCGCACCAUGCUCCGUCACGACUCCGGCGACAUACGCCAAGCUCCUUCUCCGCCGGUGACACACGCAUGGCGUCCCACGGUGCGCAGCACGUCCCGCGCGCACCCGACAAGCCCGACCGCACCAGUGCGUCCCGCACGUCCCGCGCGCACCCGACGCGUCCGACGAGCCCGACCGCACCAGUGCGUCCCGCACUGUUAGACUAUGUAUAGCUUCUGUACCUAUGUACGUAUAUGGUACAUAUUGUAACACAACCAUUAUAUAUAACGAGAUAAGCCACCCCUAGAGGGUUGUGCUGGUUCCCCAAAACUUAUUGUCUUACAUGGUAUCAGAGCUAGGUUACGAUCGCUUCCGCUUCUAAACCCUAAUACCCACACCGCCGCCGCAGCCGCCGCCGCCUUCACCGCCGCCGCCGCGCCACCGAUCGCGCCGCCGCCAUGUCGAGCGCCGCCACCACCGGUUCCACUGCUGCGGGCUUCCUCCUGGCCUCUCUUGCCGCUCUGCUCAACCUCCCGCUCGAUGUUGUCUCUGUUCCGGCUCCGAUCGGGACAAGGAGCAUCGGCUCCGUCUUCUCCACGCCGCCGGCGCCCUCGCUUGGGCGUGACCUCGUGGUCCACACCGCGGCGCCGCCGUCCGCUGCGGACUCCGCAGGCGUCGUCCCGCCGCUCCUGCCGCAAGCGGAUCACACUGCCCCGCUGGCGGGGUUGGCGGCGUCCGCCCCAGCCNNNNNNNNNNNNNNNNNNNNNNNNNNNNNNNNNNNNNNNNNNNNNNNNNNNNNNNNNNNNNNNNNNNNNNNNNNNNNNNNNNNNNNNNNNNNNNNNNNNNCGGGGACGGCCGGGGCGCGCGCGACGACGGAGACGGGGACGGCCGGGGCGCGCGACGCCGAGGACGGCCGGGGCGCGACGACGGCGAAGGGGACGAGGCGCGAUACGGGGCGGGGCGGCGACAAAGACGAACAUGAUCUAACUGAAAAUUUUCGUAAGUGUUGUAUAUAUAGGAGAGGCCUUUAUUACCGGUUGGAGCCACCAACCGGUACUAAAGGCCAACUUUGGCCAGGCCAAGAGGCGGGAAGAGCACCCUUUAGUACUAGUUCGAGCCACAAACCGCUACUAAAGACCAGCCUUUAGUACAGGUUGGAGCCACCAACCGAUACUAAAGGUGGUGCGCUGACACCCGCGGUGCAAUAAGUUUAGUCCCACCUCGCCGGGCGAAGGGCAGCCGCACUGGUUUAUAAACCCAGCGCGGCUGCCUUUUCGAACUCCUCUAUAAAGCAGGCUUCUGGGCCUAACUACGGUGCGCUGCCCUAUGAGUCUGCUGGGCCUUGUGGGCCUGAAAUUGCACGCCCAUGGUCUAGCAGGCCCACAUGGCAGCGCCCCAAAUUUUUUUAUAUAGUUUUUUUUCUUUUCUGUUUUUUUCUUCUAUUUAUUGCUGAGUAGUUUUUUUCUUUUCUGCUAUAUUUAUUUUCUUCUAUUUAUUUCUGAGUAGUUUUUUAUAUAGUUUUUUUUUCUUUUCUGCUAUUUUUUCUUUUCUGCUUUAUCUAUUUUCUUCUAUUCAUUUAUUUUUAUAUACCAUGCCAAGUUGAUGGUUGAAAGUUGAUGGUGUGGCUUUGAAUGGUGCAUACUGAAUGCACAAAAAGUCUGGAGUUAUAAUAAGUUUAAAAAAAUGAAGUGCCGGUGUAACAGAUGAGUUCUCGUCCGAAACUCUGAUACUCCGAAAGAGAUUGUCCAGUUUGUAAACGAAGUGCGUACAGUUUUUUCCGUGACCCUCUCUACUCGUUCGCACAUGCUAUGCGGGUGAAAUGAUGAUACCAUACCAAAUUUCAACAUUUUCAUAGUUCAUUUUGUAGUGAUUUUCAAUUUCACGGUCAUUUAGCUCUCUAAACAAUUAGGUAAAUGACUGAAAAACAGCAAAUGAUGUCAGAACAUGUUGGAAAUUGAUGGCGUGGCUUUGAAUGGUGCAUACUGAAUGCAAAAGAAGUCCGGAGUUUAAAUAAGUUUUAAAAACAUUGAAGUGCCGGUGUAACAGAUGAGUUCUCGUCCGAAACCCUGAUACUCCAAAAGAGAUUGUCCAGUUUGUACACGAAGUGCGUCCAUUUUUUGUCGUGACCCGCUCUACUCUUUCACACAUGCUAUGUGGGUGAAAUGAUGCUACCAUGCCAAGUUUCAACAUUUUCACAAUUCAUUUUGUAGUGAUUUUCAAUUUCACGGUCAUUUAGCUCUCUUAACAAUUAGGUAAAUGACUCAAAAACAACAAAUGAUGUUAGAACAUGUUGGAAAUUGAUGACGUCACUUUAAAUGCUGCAUAAAGAACGCAAAAGAAGUCCGGAGUUCAAAUAAUUUUAAAAAACAUUGAAGUGCCCGUGUAACAGAUGAAUUCUCGUCCGUAACUCUGAUACUCCGAAAGAGAUUGUCCAGUUUGUACACGAAGUGCGUCCAGUUUUUGCCGUGACCCUCUCUACUCUUUCACACAUGUUACUCUUUCGCACAUGCUAUGCGGGUGAAAUGAUGAUACCAUGCUAAAUUUCAACAUUUUCACAGUUCAUUUUGUAGUGAUUUUCAAUUUCACGGUCAUUAAGCUCUUUAAACAAUUCGGUAAAUGACUGAAAAACAGCAAAUGAUGUCAUAACAUGUUGGAAAUUGACGACGUCGCUUUGAAUGCUGCAUACUGAACACAAGAAGUCCGGAGUUCAAAUAAGUUAUUAAAAAUAAAAAAGAGGUGCAAUGCUGGUUAAUUUACUUUAAGCCUUUCGGAAUAGUGUAGACUGCACUGCACAUAGCUCAAUGCAAUCUAUGCUAUUCCAAAAGGCUUGAAGCUAAUCAACGUGCAGGUGAGCAUUGCGCCUCUUCGUCAUUGUUUCUGCAGUCACGGCUUAUAAACCGCUCAUACUGCCUCUCUCUUGGCGAGGUGGGACUAAAAAUCAGCUUACUAAGAAACUCUAGUACCGGUUCAUGCCGUGAACCGGUACUAAAGGUCUUCGUGGGGGCCCCAGCGUGACCACAGCCGCACUGGCCUCAUUAGUACCGGUUCGUGGUAUGAACCGGUACUAAAGGUUUCCCACGAACUGGUACUAAUGAUGUCCGCCCGCCUAGCCAUUGGAACCGGCACUAAUGGUCACAUUAGUGCCGGCUCAAAUUCAAACCGGCACUAAUGUGCUUCACAUUUGACCCUUUUUCUACUAGUGUAACUGCUACUGCAAAUCGUAUCAACUGCAGCAAGCCUCCAAUGCGGUCAUAUAAUCUCUGCACCUAUCAUAUAUUGAUCCAUAAUGUCUCAUCAAGAAAAACUUACUUUUGUUUAUCAGAUUAUAUGGGGAGAAGAUGAGAGCCAACUAGGUGGUCUGCAUCGCAUAAAGUUUCACCUGGCAGUGAGAGUGUGUUAACUACAUUUCCAUCAAUCAUGGAAUCCAUAUUUUCUAGGUUCAUUUCUAACAAUAUAUGCAUGAUCUUUCUUUUGAAGUUCAAGGGUUCAGAUUUAUGGAUGCUACGUAUACAAGAUAUGAUAAUAUAUUUUUAGCUAUGAUAUUAGAGUGCCCUUUUUCGAUUUCCAUAUUUAAAGUGGCGAGCUAUGUACGUUUAUAAUGAUUCAAAUACUGUCGGCUAAACAUGACAGUUGUGCCUUCAGACAGUACUCUAAACUAGGAAACGUAAGAAAAAUAUAUGAGCUAACUUAAUCACUGACAUACUAUUUGUAGCUAAAUUGAAAAUAUGAUGUGUACUCUUUAUCAAGAAUUUUAAAUUAUUUUAACCACCUGCAAUUCCAGUAUGGUCGCAUCGUUGAUCACAUUGCAACUGCUCCUGCUAUUGCAGGUUUAACUUGAAUUUUGGUUUAUGUAGCCAAAUUGACUGACCUCUCCAUAGGUUUCUACCUCUCUGUAUUCCUCUUCGUGUUGCCAUGUAAUUACAUCAAUUUUUUUGGGGGAAAUCAAUGUAUAGAUCCAUUGUUUCUCUGUACAUUGAACAUGCACUAGUAGAAAAAGGGUCUUCUGUCCCGGUUUUUGAACCGGGACUAAAGGGUCGUUACUAAUGCCCUGGCCCUUUAGUCCCGGUUCAAAUAGGAACCGGGACAGAUGGGCCUCCACGUGGCCGGUGCGCCGAGCGCAGGCAGGAGGGCCUUUGGUCCCGGUUGGUGGCACCAACCGGGACCAAUAGGCAUCCACACGUCAGCAUUUCAGGGGCUGAGGUUUUUGUUUUUGUUUUUGCCUUUGGUCCCGGUUGGUGGCACCAACCGGGACCAAUAGGCAUCCACGCGUCAGCAUUUCAGGGGCUGAGGUUUCUGUUUUUUUAAAGAGGGUGUUGGGUGUUUUGGGAAGUUAAUUUAGGUGUUUCAUAUAUUGUGUUAGCUGCAGGAUUUAAAGAUAAAGAUAAAAGACUGCAAUGAUGUCUAUUCAUUGUGGGGUCUUCAUGCUAACUGAAAAACUUUUGUGUGUUUCAAGCCAUUCGAACUGAAGAAAACUCUGAAGUAGAGCAUCGAAAUUUGGAUUUCAACUUGCAUCGCCAUUGCAGUAGGUAGAAUGCUCACGGCGCAAAAUUGUAGCCCUGCUAGUUAUGUUGCGGAAUGUGGCCGAUAUCUCCGUUUAAAGCUUUGGCAUUUAUAAGAGCGCCAUUACAAGGCUUCCCUCUCUCUAAUGUAGCGUGAGGUUGACAUGCUUAGCUUUCCUAUAUAAACCAGAAAAUGCUUCACAAACUGGUAGAAACUUUAUGCAAAAUGCAAACUACUCGCAACAAAAAACAGCGCCCUAUAAUUAGAGCCUGUUAAUGAAUCCUGAUAUGCAGCAUUGGUUGUACAAGGAUGGUUAGGCAGGUGCUACAAAAAUACGAACUUCUCCUUGGCCAUGUAGUUCCUGUAGUGUAGCGCCAAGGAAACUCUAGAGCUAGGUCUAGCAAGCAAUGUGCACGAUGCGCACCUCUGUUUUUUUUUUCAAAAAAGGGUCAUCCGGUGCCUUUACAUCAGAACGAUGCAUACAACCACCUUUAUUACCAAGCAAAAAAGUACGACGACAGUCUUAAAGUCUCAAUAAAGUACAAAAAAUGCUCACAAAGAGCAAAAGAACAAAAAUCAAACCACAACCGGCUAGCAGGAUAAAGAUAGGGAAACUAAUUGCUAUUCUAUUACAUGACCGCCAUCCAAACCGGUUGAAAAUAUCCCGUGCUACCAUCUCCCAUCGGAUAGAUCCAGUAAUCAAACGCUCCCUGGCCUCCGUCGGAGUGAGUAGCGAUCACAUACGGAUCAACGCCAUAUCUCGGAAGAUAACCUGCAAAAAAUGAGUGUUUGUUGUUCUGUUAAAGACCAAAUCAUUUCUGCAAUUCCAGAUAGCCCAUAGUAAAGCACAUACUCCUACGCGAACGUGUCUCGCUGUUUGGAGCUCAACCCCAUCAAGCCAUGUCCCAAAUAACGUGUUGAUAUUAUUCGGNNNNNNNNNNNNNNNNNNNNNNNNNNNNNNNNNNNNNNNNNNNNNNNNNNNNNNNNNNNNNNNNNNNNNNNNNNNNNNNNNNNNNNNNNNNNNNNNNNNNCUUUAUGUCCUAAGUCAGAUGUAGAUAUUGAGUACAUGUCUAGAGUUCCCUAUUCGAGUGCAGUUGGUUCACUUAUGUAUGCCAUGAUUUGUUCUCGUCCGGAAUUAUCAUACGCAUUGAGUGUUGUUAGUAGAUAUAUGGCUAAUCCUGGAAAAGAGCAUUGGAAAGCAGUUCAGUGGAUUUUCAGAUACCUGCGAGGUACUUCUAAUGCUUAUUUACAGUUUGGGAAAAUUAGAGAUGGACUUGUUGGUUUUGUUGAUUCUGAUUUUGCUGGUGAUUUGGAUAAGAGAAGAUCACUCACAGGUUAUGUUUUCAUCAUUGGUGGUUGUGCUGUGAGUUGGAGAGCAACUUUGCAGUCUAUUGUGGAUUGUUCCACUACUGAUGCCGAGUCUAUGGCUAUUUCUGAGGCAUGCAAAGAAGCUAUCUGGGUGAAAGGUUUAUACACUGAGCUUUGUGGAUAUUCAUCUUGCCCUAUCAUAUUUUUUGACAGUCAAAGUGCUAUAUAUCUUACAAAGAAUCCAAUGUAUCAUGAGAGGACAAAGCACAUUGAUGUCAGAUUUCAUUAUAUUUGAGAUGUUGUUGCUGAAGGCGAUUUGAAGGUAUGCAAGAUAAGUACUCAUGAUAAUCCUACUAAUGUGAUGACAAAGCCAGUUCCGACCAAAAAGUUUGACCUUUGCUCAGGCUUAGUUGGUAUUUCUCACUAGUCCUAUGGACUUUGACGCACAAGGUGUUUAUGAUGAUUUGGAUGGAGUUAUUCACUUUCUUCGACUACUGCAGGAAAUUUGGAUCAAGGUGAAGAUUGUUAAAUUGUGAUCCAAGUUAUACCGUAUUGGACUAGACGUAGUACAUACGGUGUGGGCCUUUGCGUUGGUACCGACGCAUACGAUUACAACUCAUUUACUUGUCCUCCAAGGACUCUCAUGUAUUUCCCUCUUAUAUACCCCAUGUAGUCGCACCUAAAGACGGCCUGUCGUCUUGUGCUUGUAAAACUCCUCCUUAUAGUGAUUGCGUCUUCGUGCGUCCGUAGUUUUCUCCCGCAAGGGUUUUCACGUAAAAAUCCAUGUCUCUCGUGUCUCGUUUUAUCUCGUUAUCAUCUAACACUGGCCACCCAUGCCUCCAAUCCCUCCCAUGAAUCCUCCCAUCAAACCUCCCACAGAACAUGAGGUCAGUAAUUGAUCACACAUAAACUAAAAGUCUGCUCCUCCUUACCGAGACCGCACUUUGGUCCAUGAGCAUAAGCUUUUGCUAUUUUUCCUAGAACUAGAUUCUUGCCUUCCUAUCACUAAUACUAUGAGCAAGCGACCACAAACAAAGGAGGUGAUGUGUUGCACCUAAGAGAGACAAGUAGAGUAGGCAAAGAUUACCGCAUUGAACUUCUCCUCAUGCACCAGAUAAACAGCUCCAUGGAGUGUCACGGCUUCCACCAGCUCAGGUACCAGGGCUCCAAGGAUGGAAUCAUUGCAUACGGCAAUGUACCAUCUGUCCUGGUCCAGUCCAGUGCCGCCACAACCCCCCGCACUAGAUCCGCCUCGCUCGGAGAAGAUAGCUGCAUCAGACGAUCCAAGAAUAUAUUACCUGGCGGUGGCGGAGACCAACAGGAGCUUGAUGCCAGGGUCCCACGCCUAUGAACUCUACUUGUAUCUCUUGCAUGCAAAAGAGAAAAACAGAAGAAAAAAAGUCUGACAUGCAAAUGGACUAGAUGUAGUUCCAAUACGGGGGAAAAGGUAAGGUGUUUGGGCCCUGCUCUUGGGCCAGGCGUGGUGCGGAAAGGGUGGGUUGCAUUGGGCCAUGUUCCUCCCGCCCGGAAGAUAUCGCUAGCCGCCUCGUCCGUCAGAGCUGCCGACGUGGGGUGGGUCGUCCCUCCGCGUCUCGUCGGCGGCGAGGCACUCCGCCGCCCCUCCGACGACGCUGAGUUCUGCUGCGUAGAGGUAGAACCAACACUCAGCCGCGGCAGCGCCCCCAAAGAUGGCGCCGCCGGCCGAUCGGAUCGGUGCCCUCUUCUGCUUGCUCACUUUUGUAGCUUCUGUUUUUCCAUCGGCUCCUCUCUUCAUUUCAGUUAUAAACAUGCAGUUCUUAAGUUAGUUUCUUGGUGAGCUUCGAGAUACUACUGCUAGAAAGCUGAAAUCGAUUUGCGCCCUUCCUUUGAGCUCCACCUCCUAGGCCUGGUGUAAAUCAGUCUUAGGGGUACAUCGGUUUCGCCUUCUGUACAACUGAUCAGGUCUGAAUGCACAACUUAGCAGAGGUGCGCAGAAAGGCGGAUGAAAUUCAUACGAAAAAACUAGACGGGGUUGUUUUCAAAGUGGAUUUAGAAAAGGCGUACGACAAAGUUAAAUGGCCAUUUCUUCAAUAGGCCUUGCGUAUGAAAGGUUUUGAUCAAGCCUGGAGAUAACAGGUAGAGUCUUUCACGCAAAAAAGGAGUGUUGGAAUUAGAGUAAAUGAUGACAUGGGUCACUAUUUUCAAACACAUAAAGGCCUGAGACAAGGAGAUCCGAUGUCACCUAUUCUGUUCAACAUUGUAGUUGACUUGUUGACGAUUCUAAUAGGUAGGGCGAAGGAUGCUGGUCAAGUAGGCCGUCUGGUACCUCAUCUAGUUGAUGGAGGUGUAUCUGUCCUACAGUACACCGAUGAUACUAUCAUAUUUAUGGAGCAUGACUUGGAAAAAGCGAGAAACAUGAAGCUGGUGUUAUGCUUAUUUGAACAAUUGACCGAAUUACAGAUUAAUUUUCACAAAAGCGAAUUGUUCUGUUUUGAAAGAGCCAAUGAGGAACAUGAGGCAUAUAAGCAAUUGUUCGAAUGUGAAUUGGGGGCUUCACCUUUCACUUAUUUGGGUAUACCAAUUCACCAUCGUAAGCUAACAAAAAGAGAAUGGAAGAGCAUUGAGGAUCGUUUUGAGAAGAAACUGGGAUGCUGGAAGGGCAAACUGAUGUCAUAUGGAGGCCGUUUAAUUCUCAUUAAUUCAGUUCUCACAAGCAUGCCCAUGUUUCUUCUGUCUUUUUUCGAGGUUCCAGUUGGAGUUCAAAAAAUAGUUGAUUUCUAUCACUCCCGCUUCUUUUGGCAAAGUGAUGAUCUCAAGAGGAAGUAUAGACUCAUGAAACGGGACAUUAUUUGUCGACCGAAGGACCAAGGGGGUCUCAGUAUCGAAAAUCUUGAGGUCAAGAACAAGUGUCUUCUCAGCAAGUGGCUGUAUAAGCUAUCUAGUGAGACCGGGGCUACAUGGGCACAGAUUCUGCGUAAUAAGUACCUUCAUUCCAAAACUUUAUCCCAGGUGACAGUAAGGCCGAUGGAUUCGCCUUUCUGGAAAGGACUUAUAAGAGUUAAAUCGGUCUUUUUUAAUCGGACUAAGUUUGUUAUUGCGAACGGUACUUCUACGAGAUUAUGGGAGGAUACGUGGCUAGGGGAUACGCCCCUCGUGCUUCAAUAUCCUUCUCUCUAUAGCAUUGUUCAACGGAGAGAUGCAACCGUUGAGACAGUAUGUCAGUCCACGCCUCUUAAUAUUCACUUCAGGAGAGUGUUAGCUGGAAACCGUUGGGAAGCCUGGCUCCAUCUUGUGAGAAGAUUGAUGGAUGUUCAACUAACUCAACGACCCGAUCAGUUGUGUUGGAAGCAAACUAGGAAUGGAGAGUUUACGGUUAAAUCCAUGUAUUUGGAUGUUAUUAAUUCUAGCUCUAUUCCUAUUUCAAAACAUGUUUGGAAUGUCAAAGUUCCCUUGAGAGUUAAUGUGUUUAUGUGGUUUGUACACAAACAAGUCAUUUUAACUAAGGAUAACUUAAUAAAACACAACUGGAAUGGAUCCACUAGAUGUAGCUUGUGUGAUCAAGAUGAAUCCAUCAAACACCUAUUUCUUGAUUGCCCCUUGGCAAAAAUUCUUUGGCAGUCUAUGCACAUAGCCUUUAAUAUUACUCCACCGAAUAAUAUCAACACGUUAUUUGGGACAUGGCUUGAUGGGGUUGAGCUCCAAACAGCGAGACACGUUCGCGUAGGAGUAUGUGCUUUACUAUGGGCUAUCUGGAAUUGCAGAAAUGAUUUGGUCUUUAACAGAACAACAAACACUCAUUUUUUGCAGGUUAUCUUCCGAGAUAUGGCGUUGAUCCGUAUGUGAUCGCUACUCACUCCGACGGAGGCCAGGGAGCGUUUGAUUACUGGAUCUAUCCGAUGGGAGAUGGUAGCACGGGAUAUUUUCAACCGGUUUGGAUGGCGGUCAUGUAAUAGAAUAGCAAUUAGUUUCCCUAUCUUUAUCCUGCUAGCCGGUUGUGGUUUGAUUUUUGUUCUUUUGCUCUUUGUGAGCAUUUUUUGUACUUUAUUGAGACUUUAAGACUGUCGUCGUACUUUUUUGCUUGGUAAUAAAGGUGGUUGUAUGCAUCGUUCUGAUGUAAAGGCAGGGGGAUGACCCUUUUUUGAAAAAAAAANNNNNNNNNNNNNNNNNNNNNNNNNNNNNNNNNNNNNNNNNNNNNNNNNNNNNNNNNNNNNNNNNNNNNNNNNNNNNNNNNNNNNNNNNNNNNNNNNNNNCUCACCUCUAGCCUCCAGAUUGAAAGCUACACCAACCAGAGCGUCACCUCCAGCCUCCAGAUCGAGAAGCAGCAGUUUGGGUCAUGCCACCAGCAUUAUCAUUAUCAGUAGAUUUCAGUUCCAUCCCCGAUUCUUCCACGGUGCUGCUCCAUCGGCGGGAGCAUGACCUACAGCCUCUAGAUCAAGAAGCCAAAGUUCUCUAAGUUGAACAGGUGCCCUGUCCUCCAAGGCUCCAAUGCAUCCACCAUUCCAUGACGCUGCGCCACAAGGAGUCCAGGAGCGUCACCUCCAGCCUCCAGAUUGAAAGCUACCGAUUGGUUGUACCACUGGUGUCAUCGACGUACCAAGCUAAUGCAGUGUAGACUGUUGCUCUCACGUUCACACGGUUGGCAAUGUGCAGCUGCAUCCUUCCAGUGAUGAUCUUUCGGAUCUAACUAAUACAUUGAAAAUUUCACUUUAAUAAUAUCUUCAUGUUAGUUUUUGUUGGAUGCCCUUGCCAGAUCAUGCCAUCAGCCUCCACAUAGUUGAAUUCAAUGUCUUUUUGACCGACUUCUGCUCCAUGGCUGUUAAAUGUGCAACUUGCUAUAGCUUUUUUUCCUCCAUUGUUUUCAUAAAACUGUAUUUGCUGAUCCAAAGUUUCCUUCUUGCAGAUUUUAAUUUUGUCCUGGUACUCUACGUAGCAGCACACUGGAGUUGACUGAGAGUUCUCCAAUAUAUUAUUUUGUUUUGUAGAAUAUUAUUCUGGUAUGUGAGAAAAGCCAUUAUGCAAUAGGGUACUGAAGAGAUUUUGUGCAUCGAAAAAUCCAUGGUGUUUCACUAAUUGCAUGGGGAACAUAGUAUUGUAAUGAUACAAACUUUGUGACGUUAUCAUCAAGUGUGAGAGAUACAUGACAAGUGUAGAUGGUAAUCUGCUGCUAUUAACUGUACUUAUUAUUUAGUAUUUCCCAAAGCUCCAAUGGGUUCUUGACUUCGGUUUAUAAACAGCAAGCACAUUUGGCAAUGAUUGUGAUAUCUCUAUACCUUGAAUUUCAUACGGUAUUCUAGAGGAUGGCAUAGUUCUGCUGGGGGAGUUAUUGCAGAGUUGACAUCAAAACAAUUACAAGUCUUGGACAGGAGGUGAUGUUCUUUUUUCCAGUUUUUUAUGUAUAUAUGUAUGAAUUUAUUUGUAAGAGACCGCUAUUAUUAAAAGCGUUGUUCGAACCUGUUGGUACUUUAUAAGGAUAUCGGCAGCAUGCCAGUGCAAAGGCAAGCACGACGCCACUCCAUCCCAAUGUCACCUCUCCACAAACUACAGGUUUUGAUGUUGGAAGGCCGACUUCAUUAUGUCAUUCAUGUUUUAUUCUACAAUUUGAUGCAUUAUUUAUAGAUAUUUUUUCUGUUUUGUUAUGCUAGCUUUUUUGGGUGAAUCCAAUGGCAUGCUCACACCAUGUCUUUUAUCCGAAUCUCCACCAAUCAUUUAUACUGUUUGUUUAAAGCUUCAUGAGUCAUGACGCAAUACUUAAGGUAAAGUCCAGAGUACUGUACCAUUUGUUUGUUUCCCCAUCUUACCAUGGAUUCUUUUUGCUGUCUCCAUUACCACGGUUUAAAUCUGUCUUACUGUGGAUAAACUUCCACAAUAUGAUGCAAAGAAUUACUUGCAAAUAGGUUGCCAUAUGUGUAACAUGUAUAUUGUGGCUAUGUUGUAAUAAUAUAUCUAUACUUGGAAUUUUUUUGUCAAGAUGCUUUUAGGUACCACUCGAGCAGAAUAGUACCCAUCGUGCUUAAUGUUGUUGCCAAAUAGUUUUUUUAUCAGAUUAUUUCCGAGUUUUAUUACUUUUCGGGCUGCUUGAUUUCUCAAUCGUGGGAGCAAGUGUUGAACCGGGUCAUAUAUCGACGUGUCAUGUGUGUGACAUGCCAAACAAAAUAGUGUAAUGACCAUCUAAAGGCUGCUAACAUUUUUUGAAAUAAAACAGAAUCAUUUAAAGAGAAUUUGUGAUGUAGCAAUACUUAGGAGGCAAUAUCCAGUAUUUGGAAUUGCAUAAUUGAGAGAAAUCGACUCACCUAUAUACAUGAAGUUAAAAUACAAAUUUGAAAUAAUCAUGUAUUUGAUCUACAUUUUUUUCUUAGUAUAUUAUGCCAUGCAAGAUGUUUUGUAGGGAAAAGGGGUAUUAAUUCUACAAUCUUUAAAAUCAUCUGAUAAUUAUGUUAUGGGUCAAACUAUGAAAAAAAAAAUCAUGUGUCGGGUUUUACUUUAUGUUUAAUUUGAGGCAUCGGUAGUUAAUCCACAUUUUAAUUUCAUUUUUUGAUUAGGGAACAACUUGACUCGAUGAAAGUUGUUUGUUCUUUGUUUUUGUUCACGGAAUAGCGAAGGAAUUGUGUAGAAGCACCGGAAAGUGGAGGUUUCUAAACAACAUAGCCCAUAAAUAUAAUUUGUGGGAUUCCAUCAAGCAUAUGUUCUAUAGCCUCCAUCCUGUAGUUUAUUUCCUUUGUUCCAAGUAUGUAUACCUAAGUAUAAUGCUAGACCGUGCUGAUGCACGGGUUGAUAACUAGUGAUGUGAAUCAACCAGGACCAGACAAUUAAAGGUGAAUACAAGCUGAUGGAGACAUUCAUGUACGAUGCCAUGAUGCUGUCUCCAAUUGAUGGAAAUCAAAGGGUGGCCCAUCUCCAUCGUCAACUACUAUUUCAGUGUCUCGGUUAACUUAUAAUUAAUAACUAUAGACUUGUUUCUUACAACGACUACUACAUGUUUUUUUUUUUGAAAAAGAGGAUGACCCCGGGUUUCUGCAUUUAGGCGAUGUAUGCAAUCAUCUUAUUAAUUAUUUACAAAGGCCUUAUAAAGUAAUACAUUAGUAAGUAUUAGGCCACCAUCUUGACAACAGAUGUCACUACUCCUAACCUCUUGAUGAAGGGGUGCCGAUUGUCCGAGGCCAAUACAAAACAGGCCUUGCUCCAAAGCCUAACAUCUAAAGCUGGAGGGGCCAACCAAGCCUCAUACUAGGUCUAGGUCACACACCGGUCCAACGCACUCUCAGAGGUCGAUGCUGCCGUCUUCCACCGAUCCAUUUUCAGAGCAUGUACUGACGCAUCGACCUUGCCGGGCCUGUCGUCGAGGUCACCACGAUGUCAGACAGUGCCGCCAUCCUGCGCUCGUCCAUCACCACACUUCCACUGUCGAGACCCCGCUGCUCCAUGCCACCGAGAGACACCGUUGUCAACGUGACAGAUGCGACGCCGCUCCUCCUUCGCGAGAACCACCUGCUAGCAUGGGUCCCAUCGCCAUUGAAGACAUGGCUAAAGAUCAAGAGGACCGAGCCGCCUCCAGGAACCACCCAAGCUCUCUGCACCACACGCUCCAACCCACCACCCAAGACAAAGCCACCAAGGUGGAAACAACGCUAUUACGCCGUCGCCACCCAAUCCAAGGGAUUUGGGGUUUUCACCCGGGCAAGGUGGAAGAAGGGAGUGAGGGAGAUCUAAUUCAACAUCGCCUCCAAGGAGGGAUCUGACGCCCGCAGGACCGCUGAUGUCAUGGCCUCCACCGCCGACCAAGGGUUUCUCCUGGAUAGAGCUCCCCCGUCCGUGUUGCGCUGGUGCGGGAGCGGAGACGGUGGAGAUACAGAGCUGCCCCUGGUGUCCACCUUUGACCGCUCGAACGCAAUGCAGAGGGCCAGCUCCUCCUCGGCGUCGAGGUGGGAGCCCGAAUGGCUGUGGACCUCGACAUGUCACCGGAUUCGAUCGAAAUCAGAGAGGGGGAGAAGGAGAAGAAGCGAGAGAGAAGAGUGAGUGGUCUAGGGUUGAGAGAGGAGACAGAUCGAGGCCUUUUGUGCGGACACCAUGGAGUCGAUGGUGGGCCAUGCUAAGAUGAUGGACGCACCCGGGCCUACCCGGGCACCCCUAUCUGCCCUAUAUUUGACCUGGAUAUGAGGGGAGCUAGACAGCCCGGGCGUUUGAGACCGAUUUGAAACAUUCAGGUGGGUCAAUUUAUUUUUAACCGGCCAGUGUGCCCGUCGGGACGUUUGAGACGGGUUUAAGAUGGCCAGCUGUGUAGAUGCUCUGACUCCAUCAGACGCCAGACGAAUAGUACCUGAUGGUGGCAGAGACCAAAGAGGAGCUUGAUGCGAUGCAAGGGUCUCACGCCUACGAACUCUACUUGUAUCUCUGGCAUGCAAAAGAAAAAUAAUGAUAGUAAAAUGUCUCACUUGCAAAUGUCUCUCUUGCAUGCAAAUGUCUCAUGCCUACGAACUCUACUUAUAAGGCUAGUCAUAGUGGGAGUUGCUGGAAUUUAGUCUAUUUUGAGACAGCCCAAUAACUAUUUCAAAAAUUCCUAAAUAAAUCCUAGAGCCCCACUUAGUCCAUUUGUGCAAGGCAAGGGAUACUAUUAAAGUUUAGUCCCACANNNNNNNNNNNNNNNNNNNNNNNNNNNNNNNNNNNNNNNNNNNNNNNNNNNNNNNNNNNNNNNNNNNNNNNNNNNNNNNNNNNNNNNNNNNNNNNNNNNNGUGUGUGUGUGUGUGUGUGUGUGUGUGUGUGUGUGUGUGUGUGUGUGUGUGUGUGUGUGUGUGUGUGUGUACAUUGUACUGCAUUGUGAAGAUGGAAAUCAGGUGUCUAUAUAUGUAUAUUCUUAAUAACCUCUAUAGCUAGAUACAAAUCAACAUAUACAUGUUUGUUUCACCUAGUUUGGUAAGGUCAAGCUUCUGGUUUCUGUAGGUAGAGUUGUAUACUGUAUAAAGGUGUGAGUGAUUGAGAGGCGUGGUGAACUGUUUAGGAGGAAAAAAAAUUAAUUGGUCCAACUAAGACUGUAAGACAUUAAAGAUUAUGGUAAGUGCGACCCUGACGCCCGUGCAGGUGGCGACGGAUGAUUCCUCUAUGUAACAUUACAUGACGAAGCGGGUGUCUCGAUAAGUAGAAGAAAGAGUGAACUAUCCCGACAGCCAAGCGUGCGGAAUUCAGGGGUAUGGAGGCCUUUGGUGAGUUGUCAGAGAUGAACAAAGAUAAGCCCGCAAAAACAAGAUGUAAGUUACCUCGAUAUGUACAAUAAGCCACCUUCUUGUCAGGCAAUCGCGGCGAUCCACACUUUGGCGGGCAUUAACGAAAAGUCAAAGAUGGGCUUAAUCAAGAUAGGUGAUUCCAACACCCCGGGUUGCUCCCCACAGCUAAUGUUAGUCCAUGAUUGGGUGAUUCCGACACCCCAGGUUGCUCCCCGCAGCUAAUGUUAGUCCAUGAUUCUUGCAUAGACAGGCCGGGCCAUGUCUCCGGGUGGAUGACAUCUUUUUAUAGGGUGGUGGUCGUUUUGGUUGCACAACAAUUGUGCCUUACGGUUUUGGGCGUUGACACUCUUGUGUCUGGCUCAAAGUCAAACAAUGUUCCCUGAUGUUUAUGUGUGUGCUUGUUUAAACCCUACCCCCAACCUUUAAUUUUGUUUUUCUAUCUUUAGUGUCUGUAUUUCGGUUUUCACCCAUUUUUGCCAGUUUCUUUUUAAAUUACCCGGCCAACUCUCUUAUUAUAUGAUGUGGCAGAGCUCCCGCCUUUGCCUCAGCAAGCAUUUAAAAAAAAAGAUUAUUGUGAUAAGGGGAAAAAGCAGAUCCAACGAAAGCAUCUAGAUUAUGGUCUUGAUUGGAUAAACUAAAAUAAUCUAGGAAUAUUAAUUAAGGGUCACUAGCACGGUUCCAUUGUAAAUAUCUUACUUGAGCAAAUGGAGACAUGGUCAUCAGGGUCUACAUCCAAAGGGGGCUAGGUCCAACCUGAUACAAAGACUAGAGGCAGAGCUUCAAUGUUCUUAAUAGUUUCCGUCAACAGUAUCAAAUUCUAAUUCUUGUUUCAGAACAAGUAUCAAAUUCUAAUCCAUAUGAUACUUGAGUAGAAACCACAUUAAUUUAGAUAAUUCAGUUCGGAGCUCGAGCUCAUCUAUACCUAGGGAAAAGUAAAAUCAAAACAAAUAGUAAACAAAAUUCAAAAAAUCUGAAACCUUUUUGCGUGCAAAAUGCUUCAAUGCGCCAAGUGCUGCAAAAAUUCACGGGUAAACGCCAUUCGUGGAGCUCGCGCCAAAACGGACAAUAUCAGCUAUGAACACUGCGCUUUUUCAAACUUUCUCACAGACCUGAAUUUUUUCGUUUUUGCCAUGAGUUCCUCGAAUGUCCAAACUCCACCAAAUUUGGCACGGGCAUCACGCAUUCGAUCAUCUUGCACCAUAAAAAAAUCAUAAAUUUUAUAAAGUUUUCAGUUAUUUUAAACGAUUUCUUGAUCACACCUGGGAACAUCUGGACCUGUAUGCAGAGUGACCGCGUCGCAUUACUUACAUUGUUACAACUAAAAAUUACUCCCUCGCCGAGCUCAGCAAGCUUCCUCCCUUCCCAGUAUAUAGAUGGAUUCAAAUCAAUUAGCUUUCGCUGCCAUGGCUGAAGGUGACCGGGUAGAGUGAGCACCACCACAGACAGAGCACAGGGACUAAAAAUAAAUAACCCAAGAGUGCUUGAGCACGUAAACCAUUCCAUUUGCAGUAAUUAUCUUCAUCCCAGUAAAAAAAAUCGUGCAUUCGACGAGCAACUACUCUACUCUGACGCUGAGACCAGAAGGAUUGAAUUCAAUUAUAUAAGCCUAGCGUAAGCUGCUUAAGAUUAUUUCUGUGUGUACAAACACCUAACAGGGUACAGUUAUCGAACAUCCAUGACUCGAACACACCUGCUAGAUGCAGGUUAAAACUUAGAAUACAACAUGGUGUCGAAUUUGGCAUACAACAAACGCUUGAACUCGCUGAGAAUUGCAACCUCUAUAGACAUGAUGAUGCGCACACUGCCAUCACCCUGUGCGCUGUCAAUCAGGUGCACAAAACCUCCGCGGUUUGGUUCAGCACGGAACAUAGCGAAUGGCCUCCCCCAGCUGAAAUCCGCAUCGUACGACGGCAUGCCAAGCCAGCUGACAACUCUAAUGUCUGUCACGGGCAAAUUGCCUGUAGCCGGGCGCUCGUCGUCCCUCUUUGCUAGCUCAAGGUAGUCGAUUGCCGAAUGCACUAGCUCGUCGUUCACCCGUUUGUGGGUGUCUCUAAUUUGCCGCGCGAUGUAGCUCAGCUCGCGUGAGGCGAUGGCAUGCGCUUUGUCGCCGACACUUAGGUUUAUUAUCGCAUUGCCGAAGUAGCCGUCUGGGAGUGGUGGCCUCAUGAUGCGGCGGACGUUGGCCGAGAACAUAAGUUGUGUCGUAGCAUGCAUUGCCACAGGUGGGCGCUCACGGCGCUAAACGUGCUCACGCCAUCGCCACCAGAUAUGCGCUUGAGAGUGGAAAGUUGGUCCUUGGCAAGGGUGAAGACCAGAACCUCGUUGAUGACUGGCCCUGGCUGCGGGGGUAGGUUUAUCUUGGGGCUAAAAAUGGAAAGUGCGUCGGGAUGAACAACAGGUGGAUCACGCGCACACAAGCGCGAGCGGUCAUGGCAGUGGAGGUUCACCAUAGCCCGGUCGCCGUCUCUGGAGAAAGCUGACCAUGUCCUGAAGAAGUGGAAUACAACAGAUCCGUCCAUAGCAGCAUGAUGGAUUGCCGACCCUAAGACCACCCCACCACACUUUAAGAAUGUCACCUACAUACAUAUAUGGAUUAAUUUGUUGUACAUAUUACUAAUUGCUUCUGAAUAGUACUAGAUGUUAGUUCUGUUAAUUGUAGGUGUAGUUAGUAAUUGAUUUGGAUAGAAAUGACGUGAGGAACAAACAGCCUCCUCUGCUUCGUUGAUGGCUUGAAAUCGCUGAAGUCAUCCAUGGUGAGACGAGAGUGAGCCAUGAGGAAGAGCGUGCCCUUGCCGUUGCAGUCGAUCUCCAACCUGCCGUCUGCACCCGCCCUCAAGCGGCCGGCCAGGGGAUAGAAGGGCACAAGCGCCUUGCUCAACGCCGUCUUCAACCUGGUCACAUCGAAGAAGUCGUCUCCGGCGGUUUCUGGUCGGCGGUAGAAGUGGACGAGUGGGGUGUAGCCUCUACUGGCUAGCAUGAGGUCGAAUGGAGAGAGCCGGAGCGCCCUGCUCGGCGUGUCUGCAGCCGGCGUCACGAAGCAGGACUCCACCACCUGCACCCUCCUCCUCGCCGGCCAUUCCUAAGAGUAGUUGUGUUGUUGUUUCUCCUUGUUGCUCUAGCUACUACCGGAUGUUGUCUUGCUAUUCUUCUAGCGCUACUACUACUUCUAGCUACCGAGUUGGAAAUGGGCAAUGAGGAUCGGAUAUCUUUUGGCAUGUGAUCGCAUAUCUUCUAGCUACAAGUACGUAUGAUAAUGAUAAAGAAAGGUGAUCUGGCUGAUGGGGACAUACAUGGCUAAAUAUAAUAUUUCGUUGUUUUCUUUCCCUACAGUUGUAUGAUAGUGAGCAGAGCUUAGCAUUUUUGUAGUACCAUCACCAUGCUGCUGUGUAACCUGUGUUACCCAUUGAAAGAAACUAAACACAUUGUUUGGAGGCAGGCGCACGUCCCUCCAUUGAUUCUCUGUCGGGCCCUGUUAGAGGUAGAGCAGGGAGAGAUAGACGCCGGAAGAAGAGGAGAGAAGACAGACAGACACACAGACGGACGGACCGGUCAGUGGGAAAACAGCGAGACGUGAUCUCUCCAUCAAUAAUUGCUUGUGAAUAUGCCAUCUCUCUCUCUCUCUCUCUCUCUCUCUCUNNNNNNNNNNNNNNNNNNNNNNNNNNNNNNNNNNNNNNNNNNNNNNNNNNNNNNNNNNNNNNNNNNNNNNNNNNNNNNNNNNNNNNNNNNNNNNNNNNNNUGCUAGUUUAGUGAGAGUUGUACCUCCUUAUAAGAGAGGUUCUUUCCCCACUAGUAUGAGCAUGAGAACAAGAGGAACAUCCACGCGCGCUCCUCCUCCGCCGCCCGCCACGCCUCGCCACGCCACGCCACGCCACGCCACGCCUGCCUCGACGCGGGUUGCGGGAUGAGCCGAGCCGAUGUAUACGAAAGAACGCUGCAUCCUUCGGCUGCUGCCUGUUCGUUUGAUCUCCCUCGUUCCCUUCAGCUCCCGGCGCAGUCUCUCGCCUCCUUCUCUUGCGCCUAUAAAAGGGAGGUCUCUCCUCUCAGAGAGACGCACCGGAACUUCUUCUUCCUCUCGCAAACGGUUCCAAUCUCUGACCUGCUGCUGUCUUCCUCAUCCGGGCUUGCGGCAUGCACCGCGAGUCGUACGGGAGAAGGGUGAUAAGGCUUUUAGGGAGCGCUCCGCGCGACUACUGACUUUUUCAUCACGGACUCCGAUGACUACUUCCCCGAUGACGACUUCUUCCCCGACAUCGACAACCUCAUCGACGACAUGGCUGGAGAGGAUGUCGACCCCAACUCCAGUGCUUCUGCUGCUGCUGUCCCGUAUGUGUUCUUGCUAGAAGUCCUGUCACAGUUCUUUGCUCUAGUUUCUGCCCUACAUAUGUUAUGUUCUACUUCGCAUAUGCAAUUUCAUCUAGUGUCUGUUCUAGAUGUGUUUAGUUCAAGUUCAUAUAUGCAUAUGCUAUUUACCUUCUCUCCGUCAGAUUGCAUGACUUGCUUUAUCUCUGCUAUAUUAGUCAUGCUUUAUCUAGUAUUUUCGUUAGCAAAAUUAUUUGGUAAAUUGCUCAUAUUUCCAACAAUCCAAAAAACUUAUUAUAGGCAAUUUACACCAAGUGGUUUUGCUGCUUCCAUGAGACCUCUUAUGUUUGAGGGUAUCCACUAUAAGAGGUGGCACGUGAGAGCAGUCUUAUGGUUUCAAACCAUGAGUUGUUAUGACGCCACUCUUGGCAAACCUGAAGGGGAGUAUGAUGCCAAACAGGAACAAGCUUUUCAGAAAAUGGAUACUCUAUUUAAGGCUACUCUCUUGAGUGUUCUUGGUGAGAACAUAAUUGAUGCUUAUGCGUCAAUUGAUAAUGGAAAAGAUAUGUGGGACGCACUCGAGGCCAAGUUUGGGGUCUCGGAUGCUGGCACUGAGCUGUACAUCAUGGAGCAAUUCUAUGAUUACAGGAUGACCGAAGAGCGCUCUGUGGUUAAGCAAGCUCAUGAGAUAGAGUCAUUUGCUAGAGAACUUGAGCGCUUCAGUUGUAUGGUAUCGGACAAGUUUGUUGCCGGAAGUAUCAUCACUAAGCUUCCUCCUUCGUGGAGGAACUUUGCUACCUUACUGAAGCAUAAGAGCCAGGAGUUUUCCGUUCCGGAUCUCAUUGGUACUCUUGAUGUGGAAGAAAAUGCGAGAGCAAAGGACAUACGUGCUCGAGGUAUUGAGGAAGGAUCUAGUGCCAAUCUGGUACAGAAGAAGAACUUCCAGCCUCACAAGUUCAAGAACAAGGGCAAGUUUGAUGGUAGAGCAAAGUUUGAUAGGAAGAAUAAGGCUGUGCAACACACGAACUUCUAGAAGAAGAAUGACAAGAAGAAAGGUGUUUGUCAUGUGUGUGGGGAUCCUGAUCAUUGGGCUCCUAGUUGCCCUAAUCGCUAUGACAAGCGUCAUCCUGGGAAUGGCGGCAAGACCGCUAAUGUUGUCAUUGGAGACACUAACAUGAAGGAUGCUGGGAAUGGUAUAUUUCCCACUAUUCUUUCAGUAUGUCAUUCUCCUGAUUGGUUGAUUGACACGGGUGCUAAUGUGCAUGCAUGCGGUGAUAUUUCCAUGUUUUCGUCUUAUCGGACCGCAGGGACUUCAACCGUGCUAAUGGGAAACGGUUCAAGUGCUUCUGUUCGUGAUGUUGGCACAGUCGAUCUGAAGUUUACUUCGGGGAAGAUCGUGCGGCUGAAGAACGUGCAUUAUGUCCCCUCCGUCAAUAAAAAUCUUGUUAGCGGAUCUCUUCUGUGUAGAGAUGGCUAUAAGCUUGUCUUUGAGUCGAAUAAAUUUGUUAUAUCCAAGUAUGGAACCUUUGUUGGUAAAGGCUAUGAGUCAGGAGGCCUAUUUCGUUUAUCCUUGUGAGACGUUUGCAAUAAAGUUGUUAAUCAUGUUUGCAACAAUAGUGAAUCAAGUGUGUGGCAUUCAGGUCUUUGUCAUGUUAACUUUGGUUGCAUGUCGCGACUAGCGAAGUUGAACUUAAUCCCUAGUUUCACCACCAUCAAGGGAUCUAAGUGUCAAGUUUGUGUGCAAGCUAAGCAACCUCGUAAGUCUCACACAACUGCGGAAACGAGAAAUCUUGCACCACUAGAGCUCAUACAUUCAGAUCUAUGUGAAAUGAAUGGUGUUUUGGCAAAAGGUGGAAAGAAAUAUUUCAUGACGUUAAUUGACGACUCCACUAGAUACUGCCGUGUGUAUCUUCUGAAAACUAAGGAUGAGGCUUUGAACUUUUUGAAGAUCUAUAAAGCUGAAGUGAAAAACCAACUUGAUCAGAAAAUCAAGAGGCUUAGGUCCGACCGUGGUGGAGAGUAUUUUCCCAGUGAAUUUGAUGCUUUUUAUGCGGAACACGGUAUAAUCCAUGAGAGGACGCCUCCCUAUUCACCUCAGUCAAAUGGGGUGGCCGAAAGAAAGAACCGUACUCUAACAGAUUUGGUUAACGCCAUGUUAGACACAUCGGGUCUCUCCAAGGCAUGGUGGGGGGAGGCGAUAUUGACUGCAUGUCAUAUCCUAAACCGAGUUCCCAUAAAGAAUAAAGAGAUAACUCCAUUCAAGAAAUGGGAGAAGAAAAGAUUAAAACUCACUCAUCAUAAUAGCUGUCCAACACCCACCCAUACCAGACCAGCAUCAUUUUCGUCGUAAGAUUCCUUACAAGCACAUAGACAUCAGCUUCUCAUCAGCAUGGUACUCAAGAAAAAUAGCAGCAAUGAAAUAAACGCAACCACAUAGUUGCCCAUGUCUCGCAGUAACCCAAACAGCCGAUCCGAAAAAUACGCUCUGGCCCCCGCGUCGCUCGUCCUGGGCGACACGGGCGGCGGCACCGUCCCCCGCCCAACCUACCUCUCCUCCGGCCUGCCUCUCCGCCCCGCCAUCGCCGGAGGACGCCGCCGGCAAAGCUAGUGCGGCUGACGGCGGCGGCGGGGUCCCUGCUUGUGGUUGUUCUUCCCGAGGACACGGGGACCCAAAGAAAUCNNNNNNNNNNNNNNNNNNNNNNNNNNNNNNNNNNNNNNNNNNNNNNNNNNNNNNNNNNNNNNNNNNNNNNNNNNNNNNNNNNNNNNNNNNNNNNNNNNNNCCUCCCGCAGCAACUCACCCACCCCUCCUCCUCCUCCUCCUCCCCGACACGCCUCUUCUCGUCGUCAUCCACAGGUACGUCUGAACCGCCUCCUCCUCCCGCCGAUCCUUUUUCGCUUCCCCGUGGCCCUCGACCGGCACUGGUGGUCGUCGUUGGCUGAUGGAUAGCUCGUUUCCUGGCUACCGCAGGCGAUUCCAACAUGGUGGUCGUCGGCUCCGCGGACACCUUCGAGGACAUCCAUGCCAAGGUGCAAGGUGCGGCGCCGAUCCCCUCCCUUCUCGCCCUAGCUUUUCUACCGAUUCUUCACACUAUUGUUGACAGUACUAUGCGUGCGCAAGUUUCCCUCUCACGUGUGUUGCCUUUUGCAGUGGAGAAGCUCCCCGCCGUCUUCUACAUGGCUGUCUGGUGUGGGUCGUGUAAGUGCCGUCUCCGUGCCAUGAAUUGGGAUUCCAGUGUGUGACUGGAGAGAGCUACUAUUCUGUUGUUUGGUGUUGCAGGUCGGGCGAUGGCACCUGUGAUCGAGAAGAUGAGCAGGCAGUACCCCAAGAUACCCGUGUACAAGGUGGACAUCGACAUGGUGAUUAGGGACUGUUUGACAACACAUCAUCCUCUAUUUUUACACGCAGUUGUAGAAGAAAAUACUUUUACUUAUUGCAAGUCGCGACUGUCAUGCAUAUGUUAUGAAUUCAGAAACUAUAACAUGUUUUUUUGCCAUGGUGGAGUAAACUGAACAAUUAAGUUGCUAGUUCAGUAUGUGAGUUGCAUCAUGAGAUGCUGCUGAUAAGAGGGAGGCACUCUCUCCGUUGUAUUUUCUGUUUAUUGUCUUUAGUUAAUGCGUCCCCAUGUCUUGGUGGGUAAUCAGUAUCAUGUCCAUGUUGAUGUCAUGUGAUGCUGCUGAUAAGUCUGAAAUUUUGCGUGCCCAAAAUCUAGGCGUCCUAGUUUAAUUGGGAAGCACUUACUGGCGUUGUAGCUACGCUUCUGGUUGUUGCGAGAAAAUCCUCGCUUCUGGGUGCGAGAAAAUGGUCUUGCAGUCUUAAUUUUUUGAUCCAGUGGAUUAGGGUCAGAUAUCGUGCCAUGUUGUGAUGUUUGCUUAUUAGGUAUGUGCAUUGAUCUAUUCUUGCUAGAUGUGCAGCAACGAAUUGAGAGAUAUGAUACUGAUUCCUUUCUUGUUCAGUGUAAAUUUAUUACAUAAACAUGUGGAGGGCACUAUGACUGUAGCAGAGUUGGUGAUAUGAUACUGAUUCCUUUCUUGUUCAAUGUAAAUUUAGUUUGAGGAGAGUUGGUGAUAAACACUUACAAGUUCAUGAAUAACUAAGCAACUGUCAUGAUGAAAAAACACUUCCUGUUGUAGAUUAUUAAUCUUAAUGUCCAUGAGUAUAGUACGACUCCAUAUUUGGCAACCACAUGUCACAAGAACACCUUGAGACCGCUAUUCGCUAAAUACCUGUUACUUUUGUUAUUCCUUGUUCUAUCUUGUUCUAUCAUAUUCUGCCAUGUCCUUUUCUAAUUGGGGAAAAGCAAUAAUCCUGUUUGGCUUUUGCUCAAGCGAAUUUUUAUGUACGUACUAUUUUCCCCCUGAUCAAGUAGUUGAUUGAUUUGAAUAUACACAUAUGAUGCAGCACCGGACAUGAAGUACAUCACAAGGGUCAAGGAUUAGGAAGGCUACCUUGCCAUGGCAACUCGUCAACAAGGCCAACGGAGAGGCUAUCUAUGCUUUUGACAGCUUGAAGUACAUAAGCGCUGAGCUGUGGCAGGUUAUUGCUAUGAAGUUCAGUGACUUGCACAUCGCUGCAUUAUGUUCCUUUUACUUCCAGAGCUAAAGUGCUCUCAUACUAUCAUUGCAUUGCCUGCUGUUCUUGCUGCAUACCUAUAUCUCAAGUAUUUUAGAUUUCCUGCUAGUUGCAUAUCUGCACUUCACUGUACGUAUGUCCUGUUGGAUCUCAGUCUAGAAUCCAAAUCCAUAGCUUGUACUGCAACUAAUGUGUCAUGCGUUUUGUGGCAGCAACAUCAGCUAGCAGGAGCAAUUAUCUUGAUGGUAUGCAUGUAUGCCUCUGCUUUGGUCUUACUGCAUGUGAGCUCGGUUGUGUCCGUUGACGCAGUGUAGCUAUUCUGUUCCUGUAGAUUUGGGGUGGGGGAGGGGGGAUCUUUGCCCACUUAAAUUAAUUCUAUGUGCUCAUCGAAUUGGAUGGUUGCUCUGGUGUGAAUCAUACUAGUAUGCACUAGCAGCAAUCUGUCAAUGUUUGCUACUGGAAAAUCAAUUUGCAUUAACUUUUAAACUCGAAACUAUUCCCUUUUCUGUUUGAUUCAAGCUUACUCUCGUUAUAAUGUAUUGUGUAGUUGUUGCUUCAAACUGUUUUGCUACAAGUACCAUAAUUUGCAUUGAAGAUAUUGUAUUCUGUUGCUGUAUCAUUGUUUAAUAAAACCACAGCAUGAUGCUCACAUGAGAUAUCCACAUGUUUUUGUGUUGUUUCUUUCCAGCAUGAUGCUCUCGUUAUAAUGUAUUCUGUUGCUGUUUUGCUACAAGCUGUGUGUUGAUUUGAUAACAGGAGUUUCCUUGUCCUGGUCCUAUACUGCAUUUUGACUCCUAUGUUUCUGUGCGCGUGUGUUUAAUUGAUGUUGUUUCAACUUUGAACUGCUUCUGCAUAUGGCCUAUACUGCAAUUGAGAUUUAAAUUUGUGGUUGUUCCUCUUUUACAGAUGCUCAAGUGUGAAGUGUGAAGCAAGUGUGAAGCCGUGAAGUGUGAAGCCGUCAACUUCUACUUAGUGAAGAGUAGCAUAUUGUUAGCAUAUAUGUGUUGUAAAGAUUGUAAUAGAUUUAUUUAGUGGUAUAUUUGAUGAAAUUUAUGUAUUCUUUUUGAUUAUGUAUGUGAUCUGAAAACUUGUGAAAUGGAAACUUGACCAAUGGGUCCACUUAUGAAAAUAAUCUGUCAAAUUUGUACAUUUCUGAUAUGUGGGACCAAUUUGAGAGAUGAUCAUGACAAGUGGGACCCAUCUGACUAGUGGGACCAGCUUGAAUAUAUAAUGGCUGAAAAUAGAAAAGCAAUAAAUAAUAAAAGGCCACGGGCCAACAAUAAAAAAGGCUACAAUGUUGGGCUUGGCCCAUGAAGCAGACCAGAAUUAACAAGGAAAAAAAAUCCUAAAAGGCUGAAUUAAUGGGCUCGGCCCAUGUAAAACNNNNNNNNNNNNNNNNNNNNNNNNNNNNNNNNNNNNNNNNNNNNNNNNNNNNNNNNNNNNNNNNNNNNNNNNNNNNNNNNNNNNNNNNNNNNNNNNNNNNCACAACCACAACACCAAUUCCACCACAAUCCGCCACCACCAAAACCCCUUCCCUAGUUCGUCCUUCGGUCAUCUCCGCUGCCAUGGAAUCUUGUUCCGUCUCUCAGCCGGAAUCGCCCACCGUCAGCCACCCUCCUGCCCCGUCCCCCACCUCUCCCGCGACUGCAUCCUCUACCCCAACCGUCUUUUCCUCACCACAUCCUACCACGGCAACCACCUCGACACCCACCACCUCUGAUUCUUCUUCCUCACCAUCUUCUUCAACCGAAAACCCACUGCCACCCAAUGCCGUUCUUAUACCACCGCUCACCAAUGAUCAUGUCAUGUGCACCCGUGGAAAACGAGGAUUUCUUCUCCCCACCAAACGUCUCAAUCUUACCGCCACCCCAACCAUCUCUUCUAUUCCAACCAGUUAUAAGCAAGCUCUUCUUGACCCUCUCUGGCUUUCCGCUAUGCGCGAUGAAUUUGAAGCUCUUCAGUAAAAUAAUACAUGGACUCUUGUUCCCAAACCUCCUGGUGUUAACAUUGUUUCUGGCAAAUGGGUUUUUCGUCAUAAAUUUCAUUCCGAUGGCACUCUCGCUCAUUACAAAGCUCGUUGGGUGUGUCGUGGUUUCUCCCAGCAGCAUGGUAUUGACUUUGAUGAGACUUUUUCUCCUGUUGUUAAACCAAGCACUAUUCGUGUUGUUCUUAGUCUUGCUGUUUCCUCUUCUUGGCCUAUUCAUCAACUUGAUGUUAAAAAUGCUUUUCUUCAUGGCACUCUCAAUGAAACUGUUUAUUGUCAGCAACCCUCUGGUUUUGAGAAUCCCUCCUCUCCAAAUUUUGUUUGUCUCCUCAACAAAUCUCUUUAUGGCCUUAAACAAGCUCCUCAUGCAUGGUUUCAAUGCUUUGCUACUUUUAUUCAAACCAUAGGCUUUAUUCCCUCCAAAUCCGAUUCUUCUCUUUUUGUUUAUCAGUCUCCUACUCACACUGCCUACCUCUUGCUUUAUGUUGAUGAUAUCAUUCUCACGGCUAGUUCUGAUUCUUUUCUUCAACAUACCAUCUCUUCUCUCAAUCGGGAGUUUUCCAUGACUGAUCUUGGUCCUCUUCAUCAUUUUCUAGGUAUUCAUGUUUCUCGCACAAAAUCUUCACUCUUUCUUUCUCAACGGUCAUACAUUUUGGACUUGCUUUCUCGUUCUGGUAUGUCUGAUUGUCAACCCUCUCGUACUCCACCCGACGUUGGUGCUAAACUGUCGGCUGAUGGUGAUCCUCUUUCUGAUCCCACUUUAUAUCGUAGCAUCACUGGCGCUCUUCAAUAUGCCACUCUUACUCGUCCUGAAAUCUCCUAUUCUGUUCAGCAAGCCUGUCUCUUUAUGCAUGAUCCUCGUGCUCCUCAUCUGGCUCAUGUCAGACGCAUUCUCCGCUAUUUAAAAGGCACUCUUGAUCACAGUCUCCUUAUUAAUUCUUCUUCACCUACAAGCUUGACAGUUUAUUCUGAUGCAGACUGGGCAGGUUGUCCAGAUACUCGAUGAUCUACAUCCGGAUUUUGCGUUUAUUUGGGUGAUAAUCUUGUUUCUUGUUGUUCAAAAAGGCAGGUAACAGUUUCUAGGUCUUCUGCUGAGGCUGAGUAUAGGGCGGUUGCUCACGCUGUGGCCGAGGUGGUGUGGCUACGGCAACUUCUCGUUGAACUUCAUCGUCCGCUCCCACGUGCUACCAUUGUUUACUGUGAUAACAUCUCUGCCGUCUACAUGGCUUCCAAUCCAGUUCAACAUCGUCGCACAAAGCACAUUGAGAUUGACAUUCACUUUGUUCGUGAAAAGGUGGCUCUUGGCGAGGUUCGCGUUCUUCAUGUUCCUACAAGUGCCCAAUUUACUGACAUUAUUACCAAAGGACUCCCGACUGCAUCGUUCACCGACAUACGCUCCAGUCUCAACAUUGUUUCACCUGACGUUGAGACUGCGGGGGGAUCUUAGAGUAUAAGUCUAUUCGUAUUGUAAUCUAUCUCUAUUAGUCUAGUCUUGGAGCCCAAGCUUUGUAAUCUAUAUAAACAGCCUUUGAGGCCCCAAUCAAUACAACAAUUAUUUCUCCAAUAUCUCAAUCUAUCACUAGUCACAUCAAAGAAGGCGUCGUCGAUGGUACACCGCCGGUAGAAGCGGACGACUGGAGUGAGACCUCUUGGCUAGCAUGAGGUCGAGUGGCGAGAGCUGCAGCGCUUUCCUCGAUGUGUCGCCGGCCGGCAUCACUACUCUACCACCCACACCUCCUCCUCACCAGCCAUUUUAGCCGCAACGUUGUUGGCUUUCCUUCUUGCUCUCCUUUCCAUACCGUGCUCUUUCUUUCUUCUUUUGCUACUGGGGUUCCAAGUGUGUAAGCAAUGGGCACGUAGGAGCGAUCAUAUAUAAUAGAAUGGCUUUGGACAUGUGAUCGGUCAGUGAUCUCCAAUCGUGAAGGUACAGUACAUAUAUAUAAAUUGAUAAGGAUCAGCAUUUUUUUUGGACGGCACCAGAACCAGACCAAAUCAAAGGUAGACAAAAGUAGUUGAUGGAGAUAUUCAUGGCGAUAGCAGAUCUGGUUGUUUUCUUUCUUUCCCUACAGCUGUAUGAUACAUUGAUACCAUCCAUGCUGCUGUCACCUAUUGAUGGGUCAUGGUUUGGUGGCCCAUCUCCUUCUGAUAACUCUAGUAAACCUUUCCUCAAAAAUAGAAAAUAAAAAAACCCUACACACAUGCGUAUAGAACCACAAAGAGAUAGCGGUGUGUGUGUGUGUGUGUGUGUGUGUGUGUGUGUGUGUGUGUGUGUGUGUGUGUGUGUGUGUGUGUGUGUNNNNNNNNNNNNNNNNNNNNNNNNNNNNNNNNNNNNNNNNNNNNNNNNNNNNNNNNNNNNNNNNNNNNNNNNNNNNNNNNNNNNNNNNNNNNNNNNNNNNGAGAGAGAGAGAGAGAGAGAUCUUUCAAGCCUUAGUUCAAAAAUUGUGUGAGAAGUGAAAUCUUGAAGACAGAACAUAUGUAUCCGUGGAAGAGCAAGUAGGUAUAUUUCUAUACACAAUAUCAAAGAAUGCAAGCAAUCGGACGGUGCAAGAUAUGUUCCAACAUAGUGGAUCAACGGUCAGUUAUUAACUUUGAGUUGUGCUCAAUGCGAUAACAUCACUAUCAUGCAACUACAUACGCUUGCCAUCCUUACACCCACAUCGCAUCUUAAGACAGCAAAAAUUUGCAUACUUUCAGGUAAUACUUAUGUUCUAUUUUGAUAUGGUAAAUUCAUACUACGGAAAUUUGAUGUGUGCAUAUCUCUAAUUUUAGCAUGAAAUUUACAGAAUUGUCUUGGAGCUAUUGACGGCACUCACUUUCCCAUGACCAUUCCACCUGGACAGCAAGAUCCGUAUAGAAACAGAAAACAAGGACUUUGAAAAAAUUGCUUGGUCGCAUGCGACUUUGAUCUAAAGUUCGUGCAUGUACAUCCUGGUUGGGAGGGGUCUGCUUCAGAUGCAAUAGUUCUACAAGACUCACUUAAGCAUGGUUUUAGUGUACCCCUGGUAAAUUCUAUCUCGUAGAUGUGGGCUAUGCAAACACACCUCAAUUCAUUGCUCCAUAUAGGGGAACAAGGUCUCAUUUGCAAGAACAAGGAAAAGUACACAAAGGCCACAAUCCGCCAAAGAAUCGUUCAACCUCCCCAUGCUCAGCUUCGGAAUCAUGUUGAGAGAAUUAUCGGUAUAUUAAAAAAGAGGUAUCCCAUACUAAAGGCUGCUAGGUAAUAUUAUAUUGACACUCAGGUUGAUAUUUCUAUGGCUUGUUGUGUGAUGCACAAUUUCAUACGGCUACAUGACGGUGACAUGUCAUUACCGGACAGAUGUACAGAGAUAUAAAUUAUGAAAGCAAUAUGGAAGAUGUACCAGAUGGAGAUACCAAAUACAAUGUUGAUGUGCCCUUAUUUGACAGCAUGCAGCAUGCUGGUAAUGCCAUGGCAAAUGCAAUGUGGGCUGACUACAAUGCAAGGCGAUGAACCAUAUGUAAUAAAUGUAAAACAAUUUGGUUUGUACUGGAAGUAAUUCUAAUCAAUCAAAAGGAUUUGUGAUCAAGUUUCAUUUAACAUUGCAUUAUUACUAACACAUCUAACCAGGAACACAUACACACAAGUCACGUACCCUUUCCUAGCCUAGUACCGUAGCACUACAUGAUAAUUUGGUACCAUUAACAUUGCAUUAGUAGUACUACAAGUGCCUGCAACAACAUACAAAAGCCACUUCUGUAACUAAAACAAAAGCCUUCUCCAAGGAGCAUAUUGCCAUAGCUAGUACACUAGGUGUUUUGAAUUUUAUUUCUUAACCAGCCAAGCCAUAAUGCAUUAGUUGAAACUGAGAGGACUACCCUGUUGUCCUUGUUGUCGGUGAAGAGGUCAGCUGCUUUUCGCAUAUCUCCCAUCUGUAAAUCCGGCAACCCCUCAAGUGAAGCAAAAUGCAUUUUUUGUAUGCUACAGGGAUCCUCCAAUUUCCUCUCCUCGAUGGCUUGCAAACCAUUCCAUCUCUUCUCUUUUGAGCUUCAGGUACCUCUCAUGGAAAUCAUCAAUACUAGAAUUAAUCAUCUGUCUUUUCCCCUGCUUAGCACUAGUAAGCUCAGGAGCAGAAUGAGAUGGUUGAAAAUUUCUAUGUGUUGGUAGUGCGUCUUGUGAUUGAACAACUUCUAGGUCUAAUGGAUCAUCGGUGUAGAACCAAUCAGUGCUUCCAUUGUCCUCUUCAGUAUCAAUAUGCAUGCGCGAAUCACCAGGAGAAGGUAGGUUUGGUGUAGGUGAGCAAAAAUGCUCCUCCGAACCUUACAACUGCUGCGAAUAUGAUGUAGUGACCUGGGAGAAUUUUGUGGCCGUGUUUGCAUAAUAGUCCAUGCCACGAAAACUCCUUCCUUGAGUGUGGCUCCCUGCAUAGAUUAUGUCCAAAAGAAUCUCACUUAAGAUCAUUGUACAAGACAAACCGUAAGUCAAGUUGAGGAUUUAAAACUCACCAUCAUAUAGAGAAAAUAGAUCAUUAUUUUAUGGGAAUGACUAGUCUUGCCAUCGGAGAGCAUCUUUGUUCUUACGGGCCUUUAAUUCUUCCCAAACACUGUCCCAACCAGUUUUUGAUUCAUUCUAACACAAUCAAUUGUAGUUAUACAAACAUAUACUCCAUAUAAAACUUGUGCCGCAAAUCCAUAUAUGUAGGUGAUAUUUCUGAAGUGUGGCAGCAUGGUCUUAGGGACGGCAACGCACCAUGGCGCCAUGGACAGCACUGCCGUGUUCCACUUCCUCCAGACAUGGACCGCUUUCUGUAGGGACGGCGACUGGGCUUUGGAGAAUCUCCCCUGCCAUGACCGCUCCCGCUUGUAUGCGAGCGAUCCACCUGUAAUUCAUCCCGAUGCCCUCUCUAUUUUUUGCCCCAAGAUGAUCCUAACCCAGACGGCUGUGGUCAACAAGCUUGAGGUUUUCACCCUUCAUAAGUACCAUCUUUCUACUCAUAAGCAUAUGUGCAGGAUUGGUGGCAUGAGCACAUUCGUUGCCCCCAGCACCCAUCCGUGGCAGUGCAUGUGUGUAGCCCGGAGGCUCACUAGUAGAAAAGGGGGCAAUGGUCCAGGNNNNNNNNNNNNNNNNNNNNNNNNNNNNNNNNNNNNNNNNNNNNNNNNNNNNNNNNNNNNNNNNNNNNNNNNNNNNNNNNNNNNNNNNNNNNNNNNNNNNCGCAGGCGGUACGCUCCACCAGUCAGGACUUGGUCAAUUGUGAAGGGACCUUCCCAUUUGGGCUUGAGUUUGUCCUUUUUCUUGUCCGGCAGGCGUAGAACUAAUUCGCCAACGUUGUAAUUUUUGGCCUGAACUUUUCUGCUUUGAUAUCUUCGAGCCUGCUGUUGAUAAAAUGCGGAACAGGCUUUUGCCACGUCACGCUCCUCCUCCAAGGCGUCCAAACUGUCCUGCCGAUCGAGCUCGGCUUCUCUUUCUUCGUACAUGCACACUCGAGGUGAGUCAUGAAUUAUAUCACAGGGCAAAACUACCUCUGCGCCGUACACCAUAAAGAAUGGUGUGUAUCCGGUGGUGCGACUCGGCGUGGUCCGCAGCCCCUAGAGUACGGAGUCGAGCUCCUCUACCCAGUGCGUAUUAGAUUCCUUAAGGGACCGCACUAAUCUGGGUUUGAUGCCGCUCAUGAUAAGACCAUUUGCGCGUUCGAUCUGUCCGUUAGUUUGUGGGUGAUAGAUGGAAGCACAAUCGAGCUUGAUGCCCAUGUUUUUGCACCAGAGUUUUACCUCAUCGACCGUAAAGUUUGUCCCGUUAUCAGUGAUGAUGCUGUGGGGGACGCCGUAAUGGUGUACAACCCCGGAUAUAAAGUCUAUCACCGGUCCGGAUUCGGCCGUCUUAACAGGCUUGGCUUCUAUCCAUUUGGUGAACUUAUCCACCAUGACCAGUAAGUAUUUUUUCUUGUGGGUUCCGCCUUUAAGGGGUCCAACCAUAUCAAGCCCCCAGACCGUGAAAGGCCAAGUGAUGGGGAUAGUUUGGAGGGCGGUGGGUGGCAUAUGGCUUUGGUUUGCAAAAAGCUGGCAACCGACGCAUCGUUGGACCAAGUCCCGAGCGUCCGCCCGGGCCGUCGGCCAAUAAAAGCCAGUACGGAAGGCCUUGCUUACAAGGGACCGAGCUGCAGCGUGAUGACCACCGAGUCCGGCAUGAAUUUCAGCCAGCAAGUUCCGCCCUUCCUCUUCGGAGAUGCACCUUUGAAGGACUCCGGUAGUGCUUUUCUUAUAAAGUUCUCCCUCAUGGACUUUAUAAGCUUUAGAUCGCCGCACUAUGCAGCGUGCGUCAUUUUGGUCCUCUGGGAGUUCCUACCUAGUAAGGUAGGCUAGGAAUGGUUCUAUCCACGGGGCGAUGAUGGCCUUUAUUGCGUUGGCUGAAGUUGUAAUUUCAUUGGCAGAACCUCCAAUUAUGUCAGAUUGUUCGGUGUCGAGCAGUGCGGCUGGGUCCGGGCUGUUAUUGUCAGGUUCCCCUUCCCAUACUACGGAUGGCUUGAACAGCCUUUCCAAGAAGAUGUUGGGGGGGACUGCAUCGUGUUUUACGCCGAUGCGUGCCAGGACGUCUACCGCCUGGUUGUUUUCCCGGGCUAUGUGGUGAAAUUCGAGCCCCUCGAACCGAGCUGACAUUUUUAAGACGGCGUUGCGGUAAGCUGCCAUUUUUGGAUCCCUGGCAUCGAAGUCUCCAUUUAUUUGGGAUAUCGCGAGGUUCGAGUCGCCGCGCACCUCUAGGCGUUGAAUGCCCAUGGAUACUGCCAUCCGGAGACCAUGUAAGAGGGCCUCAUAUCCGGCUGCAUUAUUGGAGUCUGUGUACAUAAUCUGGAGUACAUAUUGAACUGUGUCUCCUGUGGGGGACGUCAAAACGACGCCAGCCCCUAGUCCGGCCAACAUUUUGGAGCCGUCGAAAUGCAUGAUCCAGUUUUGACACAUCAAUAACGAUCUUGUCAUUUUUUGCAACUUCAUCUUUUUAAUAUACUCUGCAAGUUAUUACUUACCUUCUUUUUCCUCGAGCUUCUUCUUGGCAAGGCCGAGCUCUUGCUCGGACCGCUUGAGGUUCUGCUUCAGCGCAUCCACCUCCGCAGUCAGUGCAGCAGAGGCCAACAGUGAAGCCUGCAUACGCAUAUCGACAUAAUUAUAUUAGACUCCUGCGAAUAUUACUAGAUCCUCUAUUCGGCUUUUCUUUGUGAACGCCAAACAGAGCAUCAGGGGCUACUGUCUAUGCGGUAAUAUUUUCAUAUAUUUUUUACAUACCUCAAAGCCUGUUAGCAGGCUGGCACAAGCUUCAGUCAGCCCGCUCUUGGCAGACAGAACCUUUUGGAUCACCGCACUCAUAAUAGUGCAGUGCUCCUCGUCGAUGGAGGCGCCGUUAAGCACCUCCGUCCAUUCUGCGACGAAGUCGGCCAAAACUUACGACUUAAUAGCUCGUCGUGGCUUAUAAGUUAUGUCGAAUGGGAGGAGCUCGAUGGCCCAUUUUGCAAUCCGGCCCGUUGCAUCGCGGUUGUUUAUAAUAUUGUUGAGUGGUACUUCGGAGGCUACUGUUAUCGAACACUCUUGCAAGUAGUGUCGCAGCUUCCGGGAUGCCAUGAACACCGCGAAUGCAAUCUUUUGAUAAUGCGGGUACCAUGAUUUGCAUGGAGUGAGGACAGUGGACACGUAGUAGACCGGCUUUUGAAGGGGGAAUUUGUNNNNNNNNNNNNNNNNNNNNNNNNNNNNNNNNNNNNNNNNNNNNNNNNNNNNNNNNNNNNNNNNNNNNNNNNNNNNNNNNNNNNNNNNNNNNNNNNNNNNCCAACCACCAAGGCACUUCCUCCCGGCCCAAGGCGCUUCCUGAUUGUAGGCACGUCCGAUUUCUUAGCUAUGGCGCUCGCUUGGAUCCCCAUCAAACUUUUCCUGGAAGGAGUGAUCGAUGCCGCCAUCCUCGCAGCCAAAUCAGUCUGCGCGCACGCCGUUGAUCUGCUCCGGGUCCUCCUUGCGCCGGCGCCUCUGACGCGCCGUUCCGUUCCACCCCGCGGCCGCCUGUUUGGCAAAUCCGAGUCACUCUACGAGUACACCUUCGUCUUUAUUAGCUGUUCAAUCAUCUUGCAUAAUUUGGGAAUCUUAUUAAUCCCCAAUCCAUUGACUCUUGCUUCCUACCCGUUCAAUUUAUUCAUGUACCAGAUUCAUGGUGUUUGGAUUUAAUUGGAAGAAGUGACAUGUGUCUUUCAAUGUGCAAUCAGUUGGACAAAACAACGAAGAACACUUCAUUUUUGUUGUUGCAACAAAUUAUAGGCUACCGCACGCAUAUGUUCAUCUUCCUCAAACUAGAUGAUGAAUGAUGCCUGAGCCAGUCAUGUCGCUCAUCUUGAUCUGCCAUCACCAUUUUCUCAGUCAGGUUGGAUGUAGAUCUACAUAACUAUAUUUCGUGAAAUUUUAUUCUUCGUCAUGUGUCAGGCAGGCCAGUGCUACAGAUGGAUCCAAUUAAAUUUACUUGGCAUGUUCUCCACAUUUCCAACUGAUGGUUUUAUGAAAUAUGGCGCUGGAGCAUAUCAUUAAUUUCCUUUUGUUCGGUCAUAUGAAUUCUUGUGAUGAGAUUGGAUUCUUUAUAGACAGGAAUCAGUGACAAACAUGGUUGAAUGAAAAUAUCACGUAUGUGCUAAUACUGGUAUUUUUCAGUUGAAUUUUUUUCCUCAAUUUGUGAAGAUCUGCAACAUUUAACACGUGUUUUUCUUAGUUAUGGUUGUUUGGACCAAUUCAAUAUUUAGUAGUCCCUACUCAAGGAACUAUUAUUCCCUUGAAAAAGAACCAUCGUUUUCGCCAGAUAAGAAUGGACGAGGUUAGUCGAUGCGACCCCUUUUCAGUUUUGUCAAAUGUACGUCUUUAUAAUUGUCACCUUAGCUAACCCUUUUGUUCUAUUUUUUUUAGAAAAGGAGGAAGACCCCCGGCCUCUGCAUCUGGGCGAUGCAUACAGCCACUUUAUUAAUUAUUCUCAAAAGACCUUACAAAGAAAUACAGCAGUAAGUCUGAAGCCACCGUCUAGGCAACAUCUGUUGUUACUCCUAUUCAUUUGAUGAAGGGAUGCUGAUAGUCUGGGCCUAAUACCAAACAAACCUUGCAGCCAAACCUAACAUGUAAGACCUGAGUUCCCAUCCAAGACGCCUGUCGGGUAUGGGUCACCCACCGGUCCGGCGCACUCCUCAACCAGGACGCCUGCCGGAUAUGAGGUCGCCGCAGCCACCUGCCACCAAUCCAUCUUCAGAGAUGUAGUGCUGCAUCUACCUUGCCCGGUCUAGCUGCCGUCGACACCAUCACGACGCCAGACAACGCCACCAUGCUGCGCUCGUCCAUCAACACACGCCCAGUAGCGAGACCCCGCUGCUCCAUGCCGCCGAGAUCCGCCAUUGUCGACGAAUCAGAUGCAACGCCGCUCCUCCUUCGCGAACACCACCUUCUACCACUGGUCCUAUCCCCUCCACCUGUAGAUCCUCUGCACUCCCAACCGAGCCCCAGUGCCCCUGACGACACCUCCAGGAAGGUCACGACGCAAAAAGCGCCGCUGCCGCCAGAUCCGAAAAGGAUUGAAGGUUUUCUCCCGGCCGGGGAUCGGGGUGGGUAGAUUGGGCCCUCAGCUGCGCCUUCAUGAAGGAAAGCGGCACCCAUGAGCGUCGCCGCCACCGGGCCGGCUAGACUGGCCAAGGUUUCCCCCGGACCCAAAGUUCACCACCAGGGCUCACCACCACCGGAGCCUGCAGCCGCAAACCACCGGGACGACGACAGAGGCAGCAGGAGAAAGAGGAACCUCCAGAUCUGACGCAACGGAGAACCGCGCCAUGGCCGGACUCCACCAGCGACCCGCCACCCGCGCAGCCGAGUACGCUGGCCAGCGUCGCCUGCAGACGUCUCCAGCCGCCGGACGCCGCUGCCUCGCCGAUACGGCCGCCGCCCAAGGAUCUGUAGGCCACCGACGCGAUACUCCAGCCCGCAGACCGACGAGAUCGAUCCGGGCGCCUAGAUCCCCGCCGCCACCUUCCCCGGCGUCCACGCGGGCGUUGCUAGCGGCCGUCUUCGGNNNNNNNNNNNNNNNNNNNNNNNNNNNNNNNNNNNNNNNNNNNNNNNNNNNNNNNNNNNNNNNNNNNNNNNNNNNNNNNNNNNNNNNNNNNNNNNNNNNNUAUGUUAGCUUAUGCCUCUCCCUCAAAUAAAAUUGCAAUAAUGAUUACCGGUCUAGUUAUCGAUUGCUUAGGGACAAAUAACUUUCUUGUGUGACAAAAAGCUCUCUACUAAAACUAACUUAGUUGUGUCUUCAUCUAAACAACCUCUACUUUUUAUUUACGUGCUCUUUAUUGUCUUGCAAACCUAUCCAACAACACCUACAAAGUACUUCUAGUUUCAUACUUGUUCUAGGUAAAGCGAACGUUAAGCGUGCGUAGAGUUGUAUCGAUGGUCGAUAGAACUUGAGGGAAUAUUUUUUCUACCUUUAGCUCCUCGUUGGGUUCGACACUCUUACUUAUCGAAAGAGGCUACAAUUGAUCCCCUAUACUUGUGGGUUAUCAAUCAACACCAUGGUAUGCCUUGUGCUUCGCUUCAUCUGGCUUGAGCGGAAUAAACGCGUGUUUGACAAAGUAGCUGACAUGCCUCAUCUAGUGACUCGGCGCAUCAAAGAGGAAUUUCAAACGUGGACUAGAGCCGAACUAGAUGGGCUAUCAAGAGGAGUGACUUAGUAGCUCUCAUUCUGUGGAUUGCGUUGUCUAUCGGCGCUGCUGUAACUCUUUGUAAAAUUAUCCUUCUCCUUAAUAUAAAAAGUGUGCAAUCCUCUUGCAUGUGCUUGAAAAAAAAGUUCUACUCCCGCCGGUAUAGGUGAUCAGCCUGAGCCAGGGGAUGUGGUGCGCAACGCGGACCGCUCACGAGGGAUCCGCUGGUACCACACGUUCCACCUCAUGUUCGACAGGUUACACUGACGACCAUAGUUGCCAGACAAGGAUAAGGAUGGACACCCCCGAAAGUCUAGCUUUUCUUCUUUCAAAAACAAAAGAAAUUAUGUCAGGAAAAUUCAGAUGUAGCAUUGUGCAAUUUUGAGAGGUCCACUCUCAUCAUAUACUAGUACUCACGUAAGCUUUGUAAUUAGUAAUGUAGUUGUCAAUGCAUAGUUGUGUUAAUUGUUUAUCUUUUUGGAGAGAGCAUAGUUGUGUUUUUUUUUUGCGAGAUGAGAACAUAGUUGUGUUAAGUACUCCUAUUAAAGAAGCUUGGUGGGUGUACAUGCGCAAGGGCUAUGUCUCCAUUAUUAUGAGACAAGCUAUCGUCUCAUCUCUAGCAUCCCAAUGUAGCUUUUGUGUAUCGAUUUUCGAAAGCAACAGGUUUGGACUGGUUUUAGAAGUUUCCACGCGUUUUUUCUUACAUUUUUGUUUGUUUCCAGUAUCGCUUUUUAUUUUUUGUUUUUUUUAUAUUUCCCUUUCCUUUUUUGAAUAAUGUUGACUUUUUAAUACAUGUUGUACAUUUUUCAUAUACACAUGAAACAUUUUUUUGACACAUGCUGAAUAUUUCUGAAAUACAUGAUGAAUAUUUUUCAAAUACAUGUGAAAGAUUUUUCAGAAAAACCUUGAUCAGUUUUGGAGGACACGUUGAACAUUUGUUGAGUACAUGUUAAACAGUUUUCAUAAAAUGCCAUAGGUAUUUUUUUAAUAGCACAAAAUAUUUGUUUUUUGAAUUUUCUAAAAAUGUGAUGAAGAUUUGGUUUAAUGUUAUGAAAUCUUAUUUAAAUUAUGUGAACCAUUUUUACAUUGUAUAUAUAUUUUAAAAAAUGUUCUGUACAUAUUUUUGCACAGUAGAUCAUUUCUAAAUGUCAUGAACAUGUUUAUGAAUGUUAAGGACACUUAUAAAAUUGUGUGAACACAUUUCUUUACACUACAUCAAUAUUCUUUUAAUGUGCGCUAACCAUUUUCUUAAAAUGUAAGUAAAUUAUUUCCAAAAAUGUUUGUACUCGGAAAUUUUUCAAAUAUGAAAAGAAAGAACAACCGUCAAAAAAACAGAAGAAUGAAUAAGAAGCAAAAGUGAGAAAAACAAAGGAAGAAGCAAAUUGGGCCCACCCACAUCAGUGACGCAUCAGGUGAACGAUCCUUCUGUCUCGCAAAUACUAUCUGCGGGGAAUAUGCGGCUGAUAAACAACAAAUUAUAUUCGGCCCCUUAAGGGCCACUUAUAGGCAUUUUGUUACAUGUGGCACACCCCCCAUGGCACUAUGUAGCAAAAUGGCUCACCUGUGUAGGGCUAGUUUCACUGGUAUUUGGGAACCUUCCCAUGAAGGUUCCGCCGGUUUUUCUGGACAGGUUUACUUACACUUUUUCAUGCAUGAUUUUGCUUGGUUUUCUCAGGAUUUUAUUUUUAUUUUUCUUGUUCUUUGCCUUUUCUUUCUAUUCCCUUUUUCUUUUUAAGUUUUGUGAAGUUUUUUAAAAUUCGUAAACUUUUUCCAUUGCGAACUUUUUUAAAAUCCAUGAAACUUUUCCAAAAUUUGUGAACUUUUGUCAAAUAUACAAACUUUUUCAAAUUUUUGUGAACGUUUGAAAUUUUUGUGAGAGGAAUGUCUCAUAACUACCAACCCUUUAUACGCUUGCAACACAUUGAGUUUUGGUGAAAUGUUAUCAUUCACCCCAAUGAUAUUAUGGUGCUUGAUUUUUUGCCAUAAGAACGAGAAAGCUAAGAAUUACCAAGCCAUGUAGGUCAAAAUUACUGAUCACAAUAAUGAACCAAUAAGGCAAGUUUGUGAAAUAAGUAUGGAAGGAAGGAGAUAACAAGGACAAAACAGAGAGUUUAGCACUUGCCACUGUUGGUGAGGACAACAACGAUGGUGAAAUGUUGCUAUGUAUGUGUGCGACCUAUAUAUGCUCGUCUUUGAAGUGCACACCCUAUCCAACUUGAAUGUAUUGACAUCCAAUGAGAAACAACCAACAUCAAGCGAUGUGCUUCCACGAUGAUAUAGGAACAAAUGCCCCUCAGUUGAACCCACAAAAAUAUACUGAAAUCCCAAUCAGAUGGACUUCUCCAAGUGCCAUUGAACAUAACUCUCACCAUUAUGGUAUGAAAUUCAAGGUCAGUUCACCUUUUCCAUACACAAACACCCUGAGUUUGACUUCCCUAGCCUACGCAAUGGUUGUAUCAACUUUGUAGAAGGCUCCCACUUUACAUGGAAGGUUAGCAAUGUAAAACUCCGUCCUCUUCAUGUCAAGCACCGACAUUUUCUGUCACCAACCCGACACCCAGUAGAAGCAAGAAAUAUGGAACACCCAAGAACGUAGAGAUGACUUUAUUGCAAGCAUAGUACACAUCUACCAUAUGGAACGCCCAACUGCUACACCCCAUAUGCUCCUAAUAGAAUCUAAAGCCAGGAGUACUUUGGUGGAGGAAGCAUAGCUCAUGUAAAAAUCAGUUCUCCACGGAUCAAUUAUAUGUCUAGUUGCAGCAAAAUAAUUUCUAGAAAAUAUGCUAGUGAAACUUAGAGAUUGGGAGGUGGCUUACAAACGAAUAUACCCGAAGCUUCUCCUGUGUCGGCGGAUGGUAGAACUACUCGCGGGGUGGUGGAGCCACGUGUGGAGAAUGGCGGAGCAGGGUAAGACGUCAGAGAAUAGUACCCUGGAGAACUUGUUCUGACAGCGUUAGAGCGCAGCUAUUGGGGAGAUCUGUCAUGGCAGCUCGAUUGCCGGAGAGUAGACGACCAGGAACCGUGGGGACGUAGAUGUAACACGACCUCCAGUAGCCGUGGUCGCCCAGCUAGGCACGAGAUUUAGACCGUCGCCGCCGUCGGCAAGGAUACGAGCGGAGGCCUGUUACGCCGCUCGCGCUGGGGAUUUUUUGGGCCUAGGCCGCCGCUCACAUUCGGAGUAGAUCAUAAGAAAUAUGACAAGAAAUGAGGUACCUUUCUGCAAAGAAGAGCGCACACAUCCAUCCGCUAGAAUAUGGGCCAUUCAUGUUCGAUCUGACAACCCAGGAAUAAAUUUUCUAAUUUUUACCCCUGCACCAUCAAUUCUAUUGUGGUCGUUCCCAGUUGUGUUAAGUACUCCUAUUGAAGAAGCUUGGUGGGUGUACCCACGCAAGGGCUAUGUCUCCUCUAUUGCGAGACGAACUACUUUCUCAACUCUAGCGUUACCCCUAACGGGAUGGCUCAAUGUACCUUUUCUUGAUCGGUUUACGAAAGUGACAGGUUCGGACCGGUUUUAGAAGCUUCCACGAAUUUUUAUUUCUUUCAUUUUUGUUUGUUUGAUGUAUUUCUUUUCAUUUUUUUUGUUCUUUGUUUAUUUUAUUUCAAUCCUUUUUCAAAUAAUGUUGACUUUUUUAAUACACGUUGUACAUUUUUCUAUACACUGGGACCACUUUUUAUAUACAUGUUGAAUAUUUCUCAAAUACAUGAUGAAUAUUUUCUAAAUAUAUGCAAAAGAUUUUCAGAUACACCUUGAACAUUUUUGGAGUACACAUUGAACAUUUUUUGAAUACACGUUAAACAUAAAUGCCAUAGGUACUUUUAACGCGCAAAACAUUUGUUUCUUAGAAUUUUCUAAAAAUGUCAUGAACAUUUUUUAAUGGUACAAAAUGUUUUUUACAUUGUAGAAACAUUUGAAAAAAAUGUUACGAACAUAUAUUUGGAAUGCCUAAUCAUUUUCUAAAUAUCAUGAACAUGUUUUUGCAUGUUAUGGACAUUUUCAAAAUGGUGUGAACACAAUUUUCACACGGCAUGAAUCUUUACACAUGCGCGCUCAACAUUUCCUUAAAAGGCAAGUAAGUUAAUUUCUAAAAUAUUUGUAUUUAGCAUAUCUUCAAAUAGGAAAAGAAAGAACAACCGUCAGAAAAGAAAGAACGACCGUCAGAAACAAAAAGAAAAUGUGUGAAACGAACGUGAAGCAAAUUGGGUCGGCCCACUACAGUGACGCAUCAGGCGGAAUAUGCGGCAGAUUGCCACUAAAUUCUAUUUGGGGUCUUAAGAGCCACUUAUAAGCAUUUUGUUACAUUGACGCACAACCGCACACCCCCAUGGCACUAUGUAGCAAAAUCGGGCGCCCAUGUAGGGGUAUUUUUCACCGGUAUAUGGGAACCUUCCUGCUGGUUUUUCUGGGCGUUAUUUCUUUCGGUCUUUCCAGCAUGAUUUUGCUUGGUGUUCUUAUUUUUUUUCUUCUUUUUUCUUCCUUUAUUUCUCAUGUAUCCUCUUUCCUACAACAUAAUUUGCUUUUAUAUGCCAUUCUGAUUCUACCAUGCUGGUGAAGUUUUGCAUCAACCAUUGCCUGUAUGUGCUUCUUAUUUUACAAACAUUUUCCCGGAAUUACAUGUGCUUCAAGCACUGUGAGUAUAGCUUAUUCUAGUAAACUUCCAGUGCACUAACAUUAUUCUUAUUGUAAUAAAAAUUUCCACUGCAACUUUUGUGGUUCCUUGUUUCUAACUAAAUUUUCUAUUUAUAGACCUUUUGCUGCCCGACUUCAGGCAUGCUUCUUGUUUGCACACAAUGCUAAAUGAGGCUAUUGAUGUUGAGUGUGAUGCAAACAUCACAAACAUGACAAGGCACCGCUGUUUGCCGCCGACUGUUCUGUUGGUCACAAGGAGGUUGCGACAUGUGUAGAGCUUAUCCAUGAUCAUCUGUUCAGCACGCGUUGCGACUUUUGCAAGACAGAAGUGAAAAUAGUGUCGCUGUAACUGAUGCUUUGAAGUAUCCACGCUUCCUCAGAUUUAUGUUUGUUUAGUUCAGAUAGUUUACUGCAAUAGAAUCAUGCUUCAAAAUAUCCAUUCUUAAGCAUCCAAUGUUUCUAUAUAUGUAUUUUGAAGCUUCUUUCUAGUACUAGUUGUUGCUUCCUACCUUCUAUUCGGAUGCAUGGUGCCUAAACUUUUUAUGCUUCAAAGGUGCUCAAAGGUUGCUGGCACUGCCCGGGUGACGUGCUGGCCAGCGGGGUCGUCGAGUUCAACAAUGGGGGGCACUAGUGGCAUGCAGACGAGUCACGAUUGAUGGCAAGCACGCGAAUCAACAAUGGGAACUGGUGGCAAAAAUCCCAUUGGCGAUGGAGACCUUUGGCACCAUACAACCUAGCUCAAGAUGAUUGGCAUUCUUGCUUCCUAAUACUUCAAAAUAGCAUGCAACACAACUGCAUCAUUAAGCUUCAAGAAGCAAGUACGAAGCAUAUGUCGCUUAGAAAACGGAAACGACAUGGCCGGAUGUCAAUGUUUACGACAGCAUAGAAGAAUCUAGUAGAAAGCAUGUGGCAAAAUAAAUAGGAAUAUUUGCGAUUACUGACCUUACAAAAAAUUGUUGUAACUAUAAUUUGAUUUGUUUUCUCCUAUAUAGAAGCAAACUCACCCUAGGACGAAGCAGAAGGCCGAGAGAGUGCAGAAGGCCGCAGCAACCGUCGGCCCCAGUUGACAGUGAGGGACUGCCGAAACGCAGAGACAACUCCACUCCCUCUUCCUCAUGACCCUUCGGCUUUGUUUGGUUGGCAAUGGAAAUAGAACCACUAAAAUUGCUGGCACAAAAAAAGUCAUCAGGCAUGAUGCAAGUAGGAUGAAAAACGAAAAAAGGCCAGAGGUUACUAGCUUUUCAAAAAAAAAAAAGCUCAUGCAAGGAGCAUAUUGGUGCGAGGCAAACCUGCAAUCUGCAUCGCUUUUAGAGAAGGGCUGGCCGAGGCUUGGGCCGGUUGGGGCUUCAGCAGCGUGUAUCACCGUAAGGCCAUGAUGGUUGCGACUUGCGAGUAUAUUUAGAAAAAAUGCCAUUUCAAAAUGAUUAGAUCAACUAGUCGGAAACCAGCGCACCCGCACAUUAGAAAGUACGAAAUUUUGCCAUGAUAAUUGAGUGUCAUAUUCUGAACUUGGCAUUCAGGACUUAACGAUCCAGCUACAGUUACUCCACUGCCCCUGUUAACUGAACUUGACACUUGAGGGUUCAGCUUCUAAAAUAACUUGACACUUGGCAAUCAUGCUCAAUAGUCAAAUACCAUGCAUAAUGCCGAACGAUUAACCGGCUUUCUUAGCUCGCACAGCACACACACUUGGGCUUUUGUUCACCAGCAUUGCCUUGUUCAGCAAGUUCACGGCGAUAGGAAUAGCUCAUACUAUACGUAUACUAUGGUAUUGAUGUAAAUGCUCAGAAAGUUGAUCGAUUUGACAUUUUAAGCAACCGUACAAAUUGAUGAUAAACAAAAUGCAACAUUUCAAACAUUCACUUCUAGCUAGCCCUUUUCCACAACGCACCUAAACAUUCUCUAGAGGCGGCGGAGAUUCGGGGAGAUUAGGAACGGCGAUGAUCGGGCUCCGCACAACAUGCUUCGCCGACACCCAGCUCAAGCUUCCCUCCACGUGUCCUUGUCCGUGAACGUCCUUGCCACUCACCGACACGGUGAACGUCUUUUUCUCCCCAGCCUUGGAGAACACCAGCUUGUUCGGGGCGACACGUACCAUGACCGAUUUGGGCAUGUCCAACCUCACGGUGUACGUCGAUGCUGGCGGCCCUACAUUCGUCACUGUCCGGUUCACGCUGAAGGUUGUUGACUUCAACGGCACAGUUAUGGUCGGGUAAUUGAGUUGCACGUCUUUGACCUUGGGGAGCUUCGCGCAAGUCGAUCUCUUGUCGCGCACGAAGGUUGCCAGGCCUUCGUCGCCGAGGAGCCAGCAGAUGUAACUGGCAUAGUCGGUGACACCCAUGUCAUACACCAGGCCAGGGUCGGCGGCCCUCGCCGGAUUCACAUGCCCCGCGCCUUUCGCGUACGCGUCGGCUUUCCUGUGAUUCUCGUCCAAGAUAGAGCCGCCAGUGCUGUUAACAGCGUCCGCCGUCGUCAAGAUGGCCGACUUGACGGCCGCCGGGGACCAGUCUGGAUGCAAGCUCUUGAUAAGCGCGGCGACGCCACUAAUGUGUGGUGUUGCCAUCGAUGUGCCGGACAAGAUGUUGAAAGGGCCUAUUAUAGAGUCCGUUCCCGGCGGCCAUGCGGCAAGGAUGUUGAGCCCCGGCGCCAAUAUGUCCGGUUUGAGCACGCCGGGGAUGUCGAUGCUUGGACCUCGGGAAGAGAACGAUGCCACCACAGGGGCCGGAUGGACGCCAAGCAGUGUGUUGUGGUACGAGAAAAUGGCACCCGCCGAGCUGUUUGUCGUCGAUGUCGCGUAAGCUCUGAGGAUGGCGCCAUCGUUCGUGCUCACCUGCACCACGCUGGAGUUGUAAUCCUCAAGCUCAAUCGUGUAUCCGUUGGAUUCACCGUUCAAUAGCACUACGCCGGCCGCACCGGCACUCAUUAUGUUGUCGAUGCUCUCCCGGGUAGUAUCCGUUUCACAGACGACGAUCUUCUCACUGACGACAUGGUUAUCCGUGUAGUCAAACUUGCCUCGUUCUUCGGAGUAGAGGAGUGGGUACAUCUUUGACCUCGGCUUUGCCACCUGGCUAAGCCCUUCUCCAUGGAUGCACUUGCCAUUGCUGAGAUUCACGCCGAUGUCGAAGCUCCGAUCCACCGAGCUAGCACCGACUGUGAGGAUCCAUGGUGCAUCAUUGUUUACUGAGUAUGGAUCGGGUCCUUCGUUACCACCCGUGGAAACCACGACGAUGCCCUUUGAUAUGGCACUGAAUGUGCUGAUGGCGAUGGGGUCUUUAUCGAACCUGAGGCUGCCAAGAUGGCCAAUGGAGAGUGAGAGCACGUCCACCCCAUCCUUGAUGGCUGCGUCGAGGCCGGCCACUAUGGCGGAAUCAUUACAUUCUCCAUCAGCGCACACCUUGUACAUGGCGAUGUGGGCACCAGGAGCAACUCCUGAUGCGGUGCCCGCUCCCAUACCAUGAUACGACGCGUCGAUGACGAAGUUACCGGCUGCCGUGGAUGAGGUGUGCGUCCCAUGCCCCUGUUGGUCGCUAGGGUCAUCAUCUUCUUCGAGGAAUGACUGUGCACCGAUGAGCUUGUUGUUGCACCGGGUCGCCAUGCAUGAUCCCUUCCACCUUGUCGGGGGCGGCGCGAUGUUGUCACCAUCAAAUGAAGGGUGGUCCGCAUAGAUGCCGCUAUCGAGCAACCCAAUGAUGACUCCCUUCCCGUAGCUAGCGUCGCUCCAGAUCCCGGUGCCGUUCCAGAGCCCAAGGAACUUUGGAGUGUGUGUGGUCAUGAGGUGCCGUGUUUGGUCCCUAAACGCACGCACGAACCCCGGAUUCUUCGCAACUGCGUUGAGCUCCCGGGCAGUGAGCCUUGCGGCGAAGCCGCUAAACACCUCGGUGUAGGAGUGCACAAUAGGUGACUUGCCUGAGUCGCCGUCGCGUGAUUUGGGCAAGAAAGACUCAUACCAAUGACGGUACAUGUCUUCAUCGGCAUUCAAGGGUGUGGGAGGUGGCUCGACGAGCACAAUGUAGGUGUGCUGGACAGACUUAUUGUUGGCACCAUGUAUGGGUGCAGGAGAGAAGGUGGCAAUCAGUAGAAGCGAUACUAAGAGGUUGGCCAAUGAUGCCAUUAUACAACACCUAGUCGGGAAAGAAGAUGAUGGUGAUUCUUUUCCAACACCCGGUGUUCUUAAUUUAUAUCCCAUCCAUGGUAAUGUUGUAAUAGUUUUCUAAUAAAUGAGAUAUAUGAUCUUGCCAUAUCUUGUUUUAAGAUUAAUUGCAUGUAGGCGAUAUGCAUGUUAGUGGCUUACUGCUAAUGGCCAUAGUGAGAAGAAAUUACCAACCUAUUAACGUGGCAUAGUGUGUACUGGGAUGAAAUCUCCAAGCUAUUAAUUGCAUAUCCUAUUAAUAUUACUAAAUACGUUACGUGCAUUUCACGCGUAUAUUGGUAGAAACUAAUUUCAUGUUGAUAUUAGGUAGGAUAUUAAUUGUAUGUUGAUAUUAGGUACUAUAUUAAUUACAUGCUUAAUUAUGUGAUUAGAGUUAUUAUUAAUAUUCAGUAGCAUAUUUAUUAUACGCUAAACAUGUUGAGCGCUCGUCAUCGGAAUCAAUCUAGGUCGUUGAAUUGACAUGCAUGUAUUGAUGGCCGAGAUUAAUUGGAUCUACCCCUUUGUGUCUUUUUAUAUUGGUAAUAUAUACUAUACUAGUAAUCGUGUAUGUGCAAUGCAAUUUAUUAUUAGGAAACAUAUUUUUAGUAUAUACUCCCUCCGUCUGAAAAUAAGUGACUCAACUUUGUACUAAUUUUAUACUAAAGUUAGUAUAGAGUUGAGUCACUUAUUUUGGAAAGGAGGAGUAUUAGACAAUAUAUUAAUUCCAUCACACACUAGUACUAUUUGGUAAGAUCUUUUUUUUUUGAGCAUCAGUACAGACACAAGCGCUCAUAUACACGCGCAUACACUCACCCCUAUGAACGCACACACGCACACCCUACCCCUAUGAGCACCUCCGAGAGACUGAGCCUUUAGUACUCCCUCCGGUCCUUUUUACUCUGCACAUUGGAUUUGCCGAAAGUCAAACUUUGCUAAGUUUGACCAAAUUUAUAUUAGAAAUUAUUAGCAUCUAUAAUAUGUAAUAAAUAUAAUAUGAAAAUAUAUUCCAAGAUGAAUCUAAUGAUAUUGGUGUUGUUAUGUGAAUGUCUAUAAUUUUUUGUAUAAACUUGGUCAAAGUUGGAUGAGAUUGACUUCGGUCAAACCUAAUAUGCAGAGUAAAAAGGACCGGAGGGAGUAUAUAAUUAAUUGAUUGACGAUGAUGUUGAUAUUAGGAAUAUUAUCCAUUAGGGGAGGAUGCUAAUCUUAUAUAGUGCUAAACAUGCUUAACUCUAAAAUAUUGGGCAACAUAGACCAUUUGAUAUAUGCAGGGGCGGNNNNNNNNNNNNNNNNNNNNNNNNNNNNNNNNNNNNNNNNNNNNNNNNNNNNNNNNNNNNNNNNNNNNNNNNNNNNNNNNNNNNNNNNNNNNNNNNNNNNNNNNNNNNNNNNNNNNNNNNNNNNNNNNNNNNNNNNNNNNNNNNNNNNNNNNNNNNNNNNNNNNNNNNNNNNNNCUUGAUGUUUAUAUGUCGUCUAGCAUAUAUUAACAUAGUGAUAGAGGCAUGUUCGACAAUUACCAAUGUAUAUCUAGCUCUAAUACACCUACACUAUGUGUGUAGGGGUUAAGAAUUGAAGCAGGUCCGUAGAAAGGAAACAAAAUAUUUUUUUUCACUCCAUUUUCAAUAGAAAUUAUAGCUAAUAUAAAGGCAAAAGAUUAAUCAUAUCUGUAUUCGUCAUAUGAUUACAUGCAUUACCACAUCAGACAAAGCAGAUUUAGUGAUUUACCCAAGUGUAUUGAGAUAUUUUUUUUGCUGGGAAUAUACCUUGAGAAUUUGUUCCACGACAAUUUCAAUAGACGUGAUACAUGUGUGACUAAUCCAACAAGGGCAAUCGACACCAGCCUUCGGAGGAUUGUUAUAUGAACGAGGAGCGGAGGAGGCGCCAGCGUUUGUAAUCUGAAUCUGGUCGAGAGAAACCGCAAGCAAGAGCAGCAGGACGGCAGCGCUAAUCAUGGGAGAUUUGUUUCAGAGAAGCUAACUCACGGAAGAUCAGGGAGGGCUUCCUUUCUUUUACGGUAAAGAUGAGAAGGGCUUGAUUGGGCUUUAGUAUGGGCCUUUUUAUUGUUUUAGAGAUUAUGCUUGAGGGAUUAGGGGGGGCCAACACGUGAUGUCACUGCUAAUUAGUACCGGCUGUUACGGGAUUACUAGAUCGAUAGGGGGGGCCAGGCCCCUGCUCGCCCCCCCUUGUCUCCGCCACUGGAUAUACGUGGUUGAAUGGAUGAGAUAUGUUGGAUCUUCGCAACUUAUUCUUUUUAUAUUGGUAUAGAUAUAGAUAGAUGCAUGUGUGUAUUUGCACGUUGGUUGGAUCCAUCCACUCAAUUUGUAUAAUCUUUCCAAAUAACUUUCAAAAUAUUGUGUCUUUAAAUCCGGAUUUUGUGAAGGUUUCUUGUGAUGGAACCAGCCCACUAGGGCUCCAAUCCUAGAUUUAGUACUAGUGCUCGUAUUUUCCUAAAUUUAUUUCUGGCUUUUUAACGAUGUUCAUUUACUGCAGGGGGCGUUCUUCUUGACUACGAGAAUCCUGUAGUUAGGGGUGGGCAUAAAAGCCGAUAAACCGAAGACCGAACUGAUGCCGAACCCGAAUAAACCGAAAUUUCGGUUUUUUUGGCUAAUACAGAAAAAUUUGGUUUUCACACUUGCUGACCGAACUAAUUUUUCUCGGUUCGGUAGUACCCAAGUUAACCGAAUAAAAAAACCGAGCGUAUGCCAAAUCAGCUUGCUCUCCCGCGCCGCCAGAAUAAAAUAUCAGGCGCUAGAUCAGUGCGUGACUGCGUGCAACAGAAGCGCAUGCAAUGCAAGGGCCAAGCAGAGAAGCCGUUGUGGGCUUCUUUCUCUAGUGUGAUGAGGCUGCUGUAUGGCCCUAGUGUGCCUGUAGUAUGUGCGUAUCUACAGAACCACGAGGCGCUGCCCGUUGUAGUUUAGUCCCACCUCGGCCGGUCACGCACAAUCAGUUGAAUAGAUUGGCUAUAUAAGAGCGCACGAGGAUGGGUGCCAUGCACGCAGCUCAAAAAUUCUUUUAGCAUAUUCGGUAAAUAUGGUAUAAACCGAAUAGCAAACCGAAAACUUGGUUAACCGAAUUUCUGGUUAGCUAUUUUAUAAGAUGUAAUUUCGGUUUUCAACUUUGGAAACCUAAUUUACUAAAACACCGAACGGUAGAAGGCCUAGGCCUACCUGUAGUGAUUUCAUCAAUCUUAAGUGUUGUGUCGGCUCAGUAUCUUUGGAUGCUCACAGGGGUAGGGUGCGUGCAUGUCUAUAGAGAUGAGUGUAUGUAUGUAUAUGUGAGCACACCCUUGAUCCUUUCCCCUCGCUUUGAACCUGUGUCUGCCCUUUACCCUGCAGCCUGGAGGGAAACUUAGACUGGCGUAGCAUUGGAACUGCUAUGUAGACUUUUGUUUACCAAGGGUUCGAAUCCCUCUCUUUCCGUUUUUCUUAAUUCAUCAACGGUGAUCCCUUUCAAGCAUACAUGGUUGAAUGGUUAAAGCGUCCAACUCAUAAUUGGUAAAUUUGAGGGUUCAAUUUCUGCUGGAUGCACACGAACGGGAACAUUUUGCAGGAUUUAGACCUGACCAUUCAAGGAGAAGCAGUGGGAACGACGGAACCUAUGAUUCCAUAGGAUUUUAUUGAAAAUAAUCCUAACACUUCAUUGGGUGGGAUGGCGGAACUUUAGAAAGAAUGCCCUUUUCCAUUUUAGCAAAAUUCUUUCUAUUUAUACCUACUUUAAGGUAUUCAUCAUUGUAGUACAACUACGUUUCCCGUACCUCUAUAGAAACAGAAGGGUUGCAUGUUCUUUCAUCGAUUGGGUAUUCAUCUCCUUUUGUAUCUCAUCUGCAAUUGUACUAUUUAAAAGAACUUAGUUUCUUCUUUAAAAGUAUUUGAUUAAUUUUAGACGCAAAAAUCUUGCAAUAGUUGCUUGAGAUUCUAGAAGGCUCAAAUAAAUAUGUAUGACAAAAUUGUGGUCCAAUUAGAAGUNNNNNNNNNNNNNNNNNNNNNNNNNNNNNNNNNNNNNNNNNNNNNNNNNNNNNNNNNNNNNNNNNNNNNNNNNNNNNNNNNNNNNNNNNNNNNNNNNNNNNNNNNNNNNNNNNNNNNNNNNNNNNNNNNNNNNNNNNNNNNNNNNNNNNNNNNNNNNNNNNNNNNNNNNNNNNNNNNNNNNNNNNNNNNNNNNNNNNNNNNNNNNNNNNNNNNNNNNNNNNNNNNNNNNNNNNNNNNNNNNNNNNNGUACGAAUUAGGACUAGUAUAGGAAUUUUAUAGGAUGGCACUUGUUGCUAUCUUAAGGAAUUGACUCGGCCCGUUUCUAUACGCAAAAUGAGUUUUGAGUGGAUGUGUAAUUUCCUCCAAAAACACGGGAAAUGAAUAGUAUUCCUACAAAAUUCCUGUACACAUUUCCUACCAACCGAACGCAUCUAUAGGAAAUUUUCCUCCAAGAUCCUUGUUCCUAUGUGUUUUCUAUGAAAAUCCUCCAAACCCCUGAGUUUUAGAGAAAGGGAAAAAGGCCCCAGUGAAGCCCACUAGCGGCCAGGUUGGCGACUGGCCUAGUCUCCUGGUUUGGGCGUUGCGUUCCAAUGUGAAUUGCCCGUACGUGGAUUAUAUUAGAAGGCAAAAAGUAAUCGCCGCUGUUCCUUUCCCUCGCCCGCCUGGUCGCCUCUGCUAUCCACGCCUCGCUGCUUCCGAUGCAAUUCAUACGGCGAUGACGCGACACAGGCUUCUUCAGUUACCAAAUCUUCCGAUCCAGCCAACAGGAACUAGCCAAGGACCCAAGGUUCAACACUUCGCCACAUCAGGCCAUCUACUAAUCUCAAUUCUUAUCUUGUAUCAUUGUUGAACUUAUACAUCAGAGUGUUGCUGUUUAAUUGUAUUGGUUGUGUGAUUUGUGAUGCUAUGAUUCGAUGAAUAAUUCCUGCCUUGUAUUUGCCCUAAAAAAUAUCAUGAUCGUGAUGCAAAUUAUUUUGGAUGAGUUCCUAUUUGUAAUUGAAUUUCUUCCUGUGUCGAACUUAUCCAAUAUAGCUAUGUGGCGUAAAUUACAGUAUGAUGAUUGUUAUUUUUCGGUCUAUUGGAAAAAGUUAUGAACUUGACUUGAUCCCCCCUAUACCAAAAUCUUGGCUCCGCCCCUGCUUGUCCUAGCCUCCUCCCAUAUUCUAGGUGGGACUAAAGUCACUAGCGCUGCCCAAAGUCAGGUCCUGACACCGACCGGUUCUCUGCAAACCGCUAGGUUCGCCGGUUUUCAAAACCCCGCCCGGUUCGAUCGGUUUUCCCCAAUUCGAUUGCUCAAACAGUCUGCAGAGCUUCACCAACCGCCAAGGUCGUUUACCACUGCAAGAAACCUGUUAGCUAUUAGUGGUACACAUGUAGAAUCAGAAAAUAGUUAUCUUCAAACGAUAAAUAAUCAUGGUUAUGGCCAAGGUGUCACUGCCAAAAGUAAUCUCUUUAACUGUACUUAAAAGGGGAUGGGUGCGAGCGGGGCUGAUUUGAGAAGAUGAGAGGGAAAGAGAGUGAUUUUUCAGCUCCCGGGUGCCUAGGCACCCUAUGAACAAUAAAAUCAAACAAAAUAGAAAAAAUCUGAAACUUUGCAACAUCAAAGAUGAUCAAACUUUGUAGGUACUUGCAAGUUUUCAUGACAAAAAACCGCUCGAGGAGCUCUACACACGAAAAAACAUAUCGGUGCUUGAAGUUUUGAGCACUUUUAGCACUGAAGUCUAAAACUCGUUUGUACACCUUUCUCUACAUGAUAUUUUGACAUGAAAACUUGCAAGAACCUACAAAGUUUGGCCAUCUUUGAUGUUGCAAAGUUACAAAAAAUUUUGAUUUUUUCCUAUUUUUUUGAAUUUACUGUUCAUAGAGGGUGCCUAGGCACCCGGGAGCUGUUACACCUUUCUGGGGAGGGAAAUCCCCUGAUUUUUUCCACGCGGCAAUGGAGUGUUUUGGGGAAUCAGCACCGAACCGACUGGUUCUCUGCAAACCGCCAGGUUCGCCGGUUUUCAAAACCCUGCCAAACCAAUCAAACGUGAGUGUGCUAUUUUUCCCUUUGAAAACAUUAUUUUCAUCAAGCUUGGCUCAAAUAAAUAAAUUGGAAGGCAGGUUGACAAAUCUUUUUUGAGGAACUGGAAUUUUCUGCCGAUACAUUAAGGAGUAAACAGAUACAAAAUCCUUGAGUUACAGGAGGUUGGGAUUAAGAUGACCCACACCAAAAUAAAACAGAGAGGUCCUAGUCAGGCUCGUUCUGGACAUCAGUAAUCCAGCGGAUGGAUACCGUCGGCUGUAAAAUAUCCUGCUUAAUCAGGCAAAAGAGAGCAGCUUCAUUCAUGAACUUUUGCUCAAAGACUCGCCUGUUACGCUCUUUCCAGAGAUGCCAUGCGCUGAAAAUUGCAGUCGAAACAUGCUUCUUUGGCAGGCUGCGCGUGCGCACAUUCCACCACUCAAUGAUGGUCUCAAUAUCUUGGGCAUUGGAGGCCAAAGCGGGACAGUCCCUCCAUUCCGCAACCUGCUGCCAAACAGUUCUAGCAUAGGGGCAUUUGAGAAUAAGGUGCAUAGCAUAGGUGAUUCGUCCUCCUGACCGCAAGCAUCAUUGUGGGGAAUGCCAUGAAUCUCCAGGUUGUCAUUAGUUAGGACUCUAGCACGAAGCCAUAACCGCACGGAAAACCGGCAUUUGGGAGGAACCGAUGUUUUUCAAAGUUUGUAAAAACUGAUGUGUGAGAAAGAACCAAAGAACUGGCAGCGGUACGAGGAAGCAGCGGUGUAUACAUUGGAUGGAGUCCACACCCAACUGAUGGUGUCCUCGAUGUCGGCUUGCAAGCGUGCCUGGCUCAAACGCAACCAAACAUGAGUGAGUUGCUGGAGCUCGAACCUCGCUGUGAUCCUGUGCAGACCGGCCAUCCAGCCCAUGAGCAGUAAGUGCCUGGGCAACCUUGAUGUUUUUGCGCCUAGAUAGCUUGAAGAUGUCUGGAGCCGUGUGCCGCAAAGCCUGGCCAUCGAGCCAUCGCUUCGCUCCAGAAGCUAGUGCGCUGACCAUUUCCAACCGUUGUUACAUAAGUAGAUGCCGAGAAAAGAGCCAAAUCAUCUUUGGUCACAUUGGGUUGAGGAACUAGACCAUGGCUGACCCCAGGAGCAGCAGAAUUUGCUUAGUAAUACGAAUGUCUACUGACGUAGGAGACACGAACAGGGCAGCAUCAUCAGCAGAGGCUGACCCGUGGCUGGGAAGGUAUAGUCCACUAAGAGCUCCAACGGAGUAGGCCUUGGCAAAUAACCAAUGCAAAGGAGCGAUAGCAAUUGUGAAAAGCAUCGGGGAGAGAGGGUCUCCCUGACGCAGGGCUUGCUUGUGGCAAAAACGCAGACCAGGCUCUCCAUUCACCAGGAUCCUAGAGGAGGUGGAGGACCAUAACAACGCAAUCAGGUCACACCAACGUUGGCCGAACCCUAGUCGGUCUGGACAUGGGUUUGAGCAGGUAACUCCAAGACACAUUAUCAAAAGCGCCGGCAAUAUCCAAUUUCAGCAGCGAGGCCGGCUCUUUGUUCUUGUGCAGCUUUCUGCAGGGCAUUUCUGACAUAAUUAAAGAAAGUUGUCUUGGAUCGAGCGGCUCUUGAUGAAGGCACUUUGAGGGUGGGGGGGGUCUUGAGCAGGAGGGGUGUGAGUCUGUUGGACAACAACUUGCAUAUGAUCUUACCAAUGGAGUGCAUAAGGCUGAUUGGCCGAAAAUCCUUGAUCUUGGUGGCAGCAUCAGAUUUUGGCAGAAGAGUUAUAUGGGCAGAAUUGAGCAAGAAGCACCACUUUCCCCUGAGAGAGAACAGCUGAUUGAGGGUGCAGAUGAGAUCAAACAUAACCACAUGUAACUUCACUCUCUAAGAAAAAGAGCAGCACAAAGAGGGUACAACAUUAACAGGCAUCACAAGCAUGUUCCCUUCACUUUAUCAUUGCUCAUGGAGUAGAUCAGCACUUGUCCUUGUUUUCCAAAAUGCCUGACUAGUACAACACAUUUGGCAUCUCACAGAACUUCAAGUAGCUUCACUGUGCAAGAAAAAGAGCAGCACGGAAAGAGAUCCCAUGAAACACAAAUAGUACUGCUAAAAGUAACUUCACUGUCCAAAGAAAGAGCAACACAAAUAGAUUAUAAGCCAACACUUCUGCUUAGUUGCAAAUACCUCACAAAUUCAAAUUGUUCACUUUUGACUACUCACAUAGUCUUUAUGCGGCAAACACACCAACCAUCGUCAUAUUGAAAGCACACAUGAUAAACUUCAAGUCAAAUCGAAAGCACACGGGAUAAAGGUAAACUCCAGGUCAAUUAUUACGGACCAAACAGAACCGCCUAUUACAGACCAACAUGUGGUCAGCUGUCUGAGUUGCAGCACAAACUCAA
rnacentral:lncRNA from 1 species